UAAACUCUAUGGUAUGUAAUUGUGAAUAAUACAAGUUGUACCAGACAUGGCGUGGCGAGGGGAGCCAAGCAGACAGGCAUGCGGUGUAGUGAUGUGGUGUGUUAAGCACUCACUAAUUACAGGAGUUUCAACUCUGUGUUUAACUCACCAUUUGCUGUAGUAAUGUGGUGUGUUAAGCACUCACUAAUUACAGGAGUUUCAACUCCGUGUUUAAUUCACCAAUUGCUGUCUCUUCGGCUGUCAUCCCUUCCUCUCCUCCCUCUCCUGCCGCAAGGCUAUAAAGAGGACAUAUGCCUUUGGUCUUGUACACACACAACACAUAACUCAGAACAUAAUCCUAUUGCAAAGAAGGAAUCCUCAUCUCGUAACUCCGCGCGCACGGAGGAGCGAGAGGGUAGGUGCCUUCGAAGCCCUUGUCGUUCGAGACCUUGCACGAGGGAUCGGCAAUUAGGUUUUUGGGGAGCGACUACGCGACUGCCCAAUCCACCGCCGCUGUUCGUCUUCCUCAAGCUGGUUCGGGCGGAUUUUUUCUUCCUGGUGAAAAGAUCGUCUUCAUCCUCUACAUCAUGGAAAUUGGUCAAGGAUCGGGAUCAUCGGAGCGCAUGGGAGGGUAUGAUCCGUUCAUCUUCCUGUUGUGUUUCGUCUUCCUGUUCGUACAUGUUGCAGUAGUGUGUUUGUUUUGUUGCGCAUACUAUCCUGGUUAUGUCUCAUAUGUUCUACCAUGUCUUUUCUAUUUUUAUCUUAUAUAUGUUUCUGGUAUAAGAUCAAUGUCAUGUCUGCUUGUUUUGCUGGUUAAGUUAAAACUUUUCAUAUGUUGCUGUCUCUAUGUUUCACUAGUGGUUCAGUCACGUCGUUUGACAUACUGUUUCUCAUAUGUUUUAGUAGUUCUAUUUCGUCGUUUAACAUGCAGUCUCUUGUUUAUUGCUAUUUUAAGAUAUAUGUCUUGCCUUGUUAUUAUAUUUCAUAUAUUAUGCUUUUAUAUUUUUAAUAAUCACAUGUUCUACAUGUUCAUGGAUCACAUGUUCUAUAUUCCUAAGAACAUGUUUAAUAUCAUGAUUUCUAUGAUUAAUUAUAUUAUAUAUGUCAUCAUCAUAAUGUUGAUUUAUGGAAUUAAAAUGAUAUGGAAAUUGCCUAUAAUUCUAACAACUAUGUUACAGAUGCUCUCUCUCACCACCCUUUGCCUCCAACAGUAUGUGCAGCUGCCACUUCUCUAGUUCCUUCCUGGGUAACACAACCGUCAUCGCCAGCUACCACAAUGACUCUAUGGCUACUACAAUGAUUACCAAAUUGGCAAUUGCUCCAGAUGAUCUUCCACAUUAUUCUCUUCAUUCGAGCUUGCUCCAUUACAAGAGUCGCGUCUAGAUCGGAAAUGAUAAAACUCUCCAACAACACCUCAUUGCUUAGUUGCAUUCCAAUGCUUGGGUGGGCAUUCUGGAGCCCUGGUAACCUAUAUGAAGCUGAAAUAGUGUUUUGCUUGGACGGGAUGAAAACUGCAGUUAAGGAGUUUGUAAACUCGUGUUCUAUAUGUCAAUAGUCCAAGUAUGAUCACUCGAAGUCCCCCAAUCUCUUACAGCCCUUGCCGGUUCUAGUUUCAGCUUGGCAGGUAAUCGCUAUGGAUUUUGUGGAAGGCCUACCGCAAUCUAAUACAUUCAACUAUGUGCUGAUGGUAAUUGAUUUGUUGACAAAUAUGGUCAUUUCAUCCCUCUACCGCUUGCAUGACCUUCCUAGCUCUAUUGUCUCGGAUCGUGACCGUUGUUGAUAUUUGGUAACGCAUUAAGAAAAUGAUCCGUAAGCGCACGGAUAUCGGUGAGCAUUUCACCCAGGAGGUUAUCCAGAGUUAUCGUAUUUAUAUUUUUACCACUUGGAGAAAGGGUGCAUCUGACUAACCAAAUUUAUUGCUACUAUCCCUUUAGGCUACAAAGAAUGUCUCUCGAUGUGAGUGAUGUAUAGAGAAGACUGCAGCCGUAGUCUCAUUCUAACCUUGGUAAGGAUGAUCUACUAUUCUAUUGGGGAGGCUCACGGAAUCUAGACAACACAAAGGAUGUUCGACCCGCACCUAUAAACCUACCCGUCCUGCUAACAAGAUGUGAUCUGCAAAGGUAACUCGGAAUUGUCACGUUCCUCGCUACUACCACGGUCCAGCUAGUCAGGGGAUAUCUAUGAGUACCCUAGCCUAAACACCACGUUUACGCUAGCAAGUGAUUACUCUAAUACUCAACCGGAAGAGGAUUAAAGUAAACUCAUAAACCAAAGAACAAUAAAACAAGAACUUACUAGUAUUAGAAGUCGAAUUACUGAAGAAUCUUAGAAGCAAGCCUCGGGUUAGGAGACUUGAUCCCGCAGGUACAAUUUGGAGUAGACACCGACAGGCCGGCCUUCCUCCGAUCCACACCUCCACUCUAUCUCUCUCAAUCUAGUAGAAACUAGAAGAUCUAUUUCUACUUUACAUUGGUUGCUAAGCCUAAAAAGAAAUAUUAUUUAGAGAAGAGGUUUUCCUUCGAGGGCACCCCUCAAUCUCUAUGAUAAUUUCUUGUCCUCUCCAGGGGCCAGGGGGGUCUCCUUAUAUAGUCCUCCUCCUCUAUGCGUUUUUGGGUCGGUAGGCGAGGUGGUACUAUGUUUUCCUUGAUCCAAUAGGUCGGUGGAACGUCGUGUGCGAAGAGAGUCCGGAACGGAGUCCAGAGGUGGGCGGGCGCCCAGGUCCUCAGGGCGGGCGCCCUGGGCCUGGCCCCUCUCGGCCUCUGCUUCCUUCCCGUGGCUUCUGGAGUCUUCUAGAUGGUAGAAAAUUACGCGGUGCGUUGAUAGCUCUAUGUAAUCCUGACAUGUGGGCCUUUCUUCCUUAUUUCCUGAUAACCCCUGCAGAAAUAGACAAACACCAAAACUCGUGGAAUUCUGUCAGAUAAAACCCUAAGUCUAGAUGUUGAUUUCAUUUGGAUCCUUUUCUUUGUUUAUUUGAUAAUUAAAUUUGAUACUUAAGGACCGUCAACAAACUCCCCCAAGCUUACCUCUUGCUCGUCCUUGAGCAAGGAUGAACUCAAGAGUUUCUGCAGUGGUUUCAUGCCUUAAAAGUACACACGCAUUCAAGCAAGAUCUCAUCUCUGAGUUAGAAUAAACUGUUAAGACUUAAAACAUACUCAUUUUACCUUCACCAUGGGGCUUGUAACCGUCACUUGUGUCUUGAGCAGUUAAAAGAUAGAACGGUCAAGUCAAGCGCCAUGUCUCUUAUUCUUGAUCAGCUAUAGCUCUGGGGUUUUUACAGAUUUUUCAAAUAAAACUCAGAGAUUCCUUAUAUGACUCUCUCAGAUCUCUCUUUUGUGGUAUUUCUGGAUCCUUACCAAGGCAGUAAUGGUACAUGCCUUCUCUCAAAGUAUGUGGUAUUUUUGGUAUGAGGCAUAGUGAUAUUGCCUUCUCUCUCACCCUACUCUAAUAAGGUUCUGAUAUCUGGAGCUCAUAGGUGGGAGACAGCUAAUACAUACUUACAAGACAUUUAUUGCAUAGUCAAACCAUGGAUCCAGAGAAACAAGUCAAUAAGUCAAAUCAAGAUGUGCAUGUGUGGCGAAUGAAUGGCGUAUGGUGAUGAUGGUGAUAAUAGUGGUGAAAGUCUAAUUCUACUUUUGCUCUUUUGAGGGGAUACAUACCUUUCUUGCACUUUGAAGCUUUUUGGGGAGAAUGAGAUGCUCUAUAUUUUCUUUUUCUUUCCUCUCAGGUGGGUAUCUUGUACCCCUAAUUCUACUGUCGGACACUUGUCCAUUUUUACCUCUCAUCUCACUUUUUUCUUUUUCUUCGAGGUUCCGGGCACUUGCCCCUUUUUAUUUCCUCGUAUUUUUUUUUCUUCUCUCUUUUUUUUCUUUCUUUUUUUUCUUUUUUAGAGCACUCAUCUCCUGAAAUAAUGUAGCAAGUGGUAGUAACCAAAAUAACUGGAGCAUUUAUUUCAUAGGGAAUAACAGGGAUUGGAAAAUGUUUUUGGCUAUUCUCUCCCGGAUUAGGAGUAGAAUAAUUUCAGGUGAAUGUGGAGAUGGAAAUGAGUGAAUAUAUGUGGAUGGUACUUCCGGAGUAGAAGUAGCAUGUAUGAGUGAACGUGCAAGUGAAUCUUGAUUUUAACCACAUGACAAGCUCCUAAGGGUCUACACAGCUUGACUACACUCAAUGCUCAUAAGCAGUAAAAAGUAAAUAUGUGGCUCAAAGUCUAGCAAGCAUGUAUAUAUGGCUGUGGUAGGAUUUUAAACUCUCAUCAUACAGGAACUCAUCAUGUGUUAUUUUAAAGAUUUUCAAAGAUAAAAUUCUCCAGAAUUCUAGCAUCUCUAGGAACAGAUAAACAGCAGCUCAACCUUUCCAUAUCAUAUCCGUUAACAACUUAGACUUUUGAUCAGGUACUCCUCCCACAAGUUUAGUUUAGAGCAAAUCUUACUUCAUAAUAGUCAUGCCUAAACUUGAGAGAGAUUUCAAUUUUAAGAACUAGUCAUGGCAGAGCAACUAUUCAUCAUUUCCAUGUGAGAGUUUAUCAUGAGUGUUCAUAGCAAACUUUAUUUAUUUAUUUAUUUAGCAAACUAAGCAAAGAUAUAUAUAUAUAUAUAAGCACAAAAUUUUUAUUUGGGUUUUUAUGAUUAUGCAUCUUUUAUCAUUUGAGUAAAGUAUAAACGCGAGUAGAAAUACUUAGCUGGAUAAAUGGGGGUGCUCUCCCCCAAGCUGGAUUUUGACGUAAUUUCUUCUGAUGUAGCUAGCAGGUGAUGGAGGUGUAUUUGAAAGUCGGCAGCACCCUCACAGCAAUUUGGAUGUCCUCCGUCUGCUAGUCUUCUUGAUUCUUAAAUUCUGUAGAGCUCAAAUAGACAACAAAGCUUUGUGGAACUGGUUAAGUGUUAGCAUAAAUAUCUAGCCUUUAUCAUGUUGAGCCUCCUCAAUAAAUAUUACUUAAUUAGCAGGAUCAUGCACUUUUUAUUUUUAUAUUUUUAUUGUAAGAUGAAAAUUUAUUUAUUUUAUUUUUAUGCCACCACAGUGAAUGUACUUAUGAGUUUUAUGCCAUGAGCAAACUCACAUGGGGCUUACUAUUUUUUUUUAACAUUUUUUUAUUUUCUUUUUAAGAUAGCAUGAACCUGAUUAACUAAGCAAACUAUAAUUGAAUAAUUGAAAGGAAAAGGAUAACUACCAAGUUUACCUCUUGGCAAGGCGUUCGGUGUUUUUAAGUCCUCCGAACGGGACUCUCCGUUUUCUCAGUCGUCCUGGGAUUCGCUAGGUGGCGUAGUCGGUGGUUCCGGCGGCGCCUCUUCUUCGUGUAUAACUAUCUUCUCUCUCCACACCUGACUCGGUGCUACAGUCUCCUCAGGAUAGUUGUAUUCAAGCUGUAUGUCUUCAGUCCUUAUCACUUCUCCUUCGUAGUCUACCCAUCCGUCCUUGAUGAUUUGCCCACUCUGGUUGCGGUUGUGUUGUCUUCUUCUUGUCCUAAUCUGCUUAGAAUCUUCAACUAUAUAGUUAGAAUCAUUAAAGUAGUGGCGUACCUUCUCAGAGGGGAAGUGCAUGUGGACUUCUCCGGUUCCAAUAUAGAUAAUGGCUUUGAUAGUGCUGAGGAACGGUCUUCCAAGGAUGGUGGAUGGAUCAUACUCGUCUUCUCCCAUGUCAAUGACCUGAAGAUUAUCUGGAGCUGAAUGUAUGUUGGUUAUAGGGGCAUGGUUUCAUGCAGGAGCUGAUAAGUGACUGCGGCCAUUAUGUUGUCGUCAGAUCCGGUGUCGUAGAGUGUCUUCUGAAAAGAGUAUCCGUUGAUUGUGUACUCGAUGCUUGGAACACCAGGGUCGUUCUUCUUGAUCAAGAAAGGUGACUUGAGUCGACGAUCUUGACCUCCUUGAGCUGCAGUGACCAUCUUAGCUGACUCGGUCCACAUUUGCUUGUUCCUGUUCCUCCUGUUGGUCCUCUUCCUUGGUUCAUGUCGGGAUUGCUCUGAAAUUUGUGUACUCUUGUUCUUGAAGGAAAGUCUCCUUCUUCCCCUUGAUGUAGAGACUAAUCUUGGCAGCAUUAGCGUAGAUGACAGCUCUGGUGUUUAGGAAUGGCCUCCCUAAGAUGAUGGGUGCCCUCUCCUCAGUACCAAUCUCUAUCACCAUGAAGUUUGCUGGAGCGUACAACGUACCAACUCGGACACAGAGGUUCUUCAAUAUUUCCUUUGGGAAACUAAGUGUCUCAUCUCCAUUGUGUUUGUGCUCGUAGAUCCCGGUUCUUCACUUGGUGAAAUCUGGGAGUUGUAAAACUCCUCCAUGUUUUGUUUGAAGUGUACCUAUUCAUAGAGACAAGGCAGAGAUCAAGUGCAUGGGCCCUGUUGGUGGAAAACACCAACAGAACCAAAAGUGUAUUUGUUCUUCUCUAACCUUAAGCAUAGUGAGCAUGACAAAGUUGAUAGAUCAUGAGUGUAGCAUUUAAAACAUUUGUUUGAUCAGAUGGCUCAACCUAAUGGAAAGAUAAUCUAUCUAUAUUUAUGUUUUGUUUAUAUCUUCCAAAGAUUGAAUGUGCAACAUUUUAGCUUAUAUGAUUAGGAGUGUGGGAUCACGAAGGUAGUACUAAGAACAAAGAUUAAGGACUAAACAUGUUGAAUUAAUUGAGUUGGUUAAUCUGGAGUUAUAAAUCAUACAUGUUUGUCUCUUUAUUUAUGUGAAUGCUAGAACCAAGGAGAAGCUUAUAAAAGCGAUAGUCAAGUACCUUAAAAUGUUACCUUACUUGAAGAGUGACGGUACAGUAUCACCUUGUGGAAGCUUUCCUUUCUUAGCGGUUGUGCAUCGUGUUUGUGGCACCCUCCAUGAAUCAUCUCUUAUGAGGUACGUCUUUCUUGUGCAAAUUGUUAAACUUCAUGUGUCACUUUCUUCAUCUCCAAUGUGAGUUUUAUCUCAGGACUUCCCAGGUUGAUAUUGAAAGUUUUCCUGCAGGGGUUAGCCCGACAAAAUAUACCAAUGCCUACUCAAGUAGUUUUUUAGUUCAGUAACCAAACUAGACUCCAUGUCUAAUCAGAUUAAGGAAGGCUGUUUAACCUAAGCACCACACUUAAUUUAAAAGCCAAUAGAAGUAUGUGCAGUACUUCCAAACUCACACUUACUAGAGUAAACAAAGGUAGCAUGAUGGCUUAUAGAGAUCUACUUACGUGGAGAUGAAGUAGUGUGAUUAGUAUUUAACAAAUUGAGCAUGUCUCAAAGGUAAGGACAACCAACAUAGUAGCAUGGCAAAGGAUGUUUUAUGUAAAGUACUCCCCCAAGCUUGAAUUUUGCAAAAUUCAAGAUUGGAUGAAUUUAAUUUAAUGUUGCAUGAUGAUUGGUUGGGCAUACCUUGCGCUUGUCAUUCAUCCGUUCUUCUUGCUCCAAUCCUGGAAAGGUUAGUGACAAGAAUACCCGAAGGAAUAUUUCUAUAAUUAUCUCAAUAUGCUCAAUACACAAGGCAAUGUUGCAAAUAAUUAGAAGUUCAUGUUACGAUCUGAUAAGUGCUUGUUUAAGGACGCUAAGCUUAUCCUUGGGAAACCAUCAAGUUAUGUUGGUGAAGUGGUUUCCCCUCCAACACCUACCUAUAUCAAGAUCAACUCAACGAGAUCUAUAAUAUUUAUUAUAGACAUAUGCAUCGACAACUGCCCUUUUAAAGUUUUUAUAAAUAGAAAGGAAGAGGGGGUUGGAGAUCUCAAAUGUGGUGAUGAUGGAGAGACCGAUUGAUUGGGGAGAUGUUUUAUAUGAGCAAGGACUUGGUAAGGUAUUUAUGAAAUAACAUCCAUGCUCACUGUUGUUUCUCUCAUUCUCAAACUCCAAGGAUGAUUCUUCAUGAAUGCUUAAAAUUCCUCUAGGAUUGUCUCUCAAGUUUGUUUUAUCUAUCCAUUCAAUGGUGAUAGCACAUGGAUUUUUAAUGCCCUCUAGCCAUUGAUGUUGCUCUUCUCGAUCCUCCUUCUUAUGCAUGGGAUGUCUCGAGCGAUUCAUAGGAUUAUCGAGAGGUUCAAGAGAAAGAGCAUAGUAGAAACUAUUAAGCUCAAGGAUGGGAUGGAUAGCCGAAUUAUGGGAUUGAAAUGUUUGGAAAUUGGCUAUGGAAACUUCCUUUCCUCGUCUGGGAGAUGAUUCCUUCUCUAUCUCUAUGAUUUUUCUAUGAAGACUAGUACAAGAAGGAUGUCCACAAAUGAAGACAUACCUUCCUUUACUAAUAGAUAAAGAAAGAAAGACUCUACCAUAGGUUAUAUGAUUAAGACCAAUGUGAAAAUAUCGAGAAAAAACAUGGUCUUGUAGGGCUAGGUCUAAACCAGAAUUUAUAAAAAGAUUAACAGAUUCCCUAGGUGUAGCUAAAAGUGCAUUAUCUUCUUGAUUAAAAGAUAGGACCUCGGCUAUAGAAAAGGGUUGGUUUUGACCUAUUACAAUCAACUCCGGACACAGAUCAUAAUUAGGGGCAGGACGUGUUGACUCCCAUGGUCUAUGGCUGGUCUCCGAAGAUGCAAAGAAUUCAAUAAUAGGUAUGGAAUUUGAGUUAUCCAUAAAGAUAAAAAUAAAAAGAUAAAAGAAUAAAAGUAUAAAAGUAUAAUACAAGAUAAUAGCAAGACUCAAAGUUAUCUCAGCAAACCGUCUUUCUCCCCGGCAACGGCGCCAGAAAUGCUUGUUGAUAUUUGGUAACGCAAUAAGGAAAUGAUCCGCAAGCGCACGGAUAUCGGUGAGCAUUUCACUCGGGAGGUUAUCCAGAGUUAUCGUAUUUAUAUUUUUACCACUGGGAGAAAGGGUGCAUCUGACUAACCAAAUCUAUUGCUACUAUCCUUUUAGGCUACAAAGAAUGUCUCUCGAUGUGAGUGAUGUAUAGAGAAGACUGCAGUCGUAGUCUCGUUCUAACCUUGGUAAGGAUGAUCUACUGUUCUAUUGGGGAGGCUCACGGAAUCUAGACAACACAAAGGAUGUUCGACCCGCACCUAUAAACCUACCCGUCCUGCUAACGAGAUGUGAUCUGCAAAGGUAACUCGGAAUUGUCACGUUCCUCGCUACUACCACGGUCCAGCUAGUCAGGGGAUAUCUAUGAGUACCCUAGCCUAAACACCACGUUUACGCUAGCAAGUGAUUACUCUAAUACUCAACCGGAAGAGGACUAAAGUAAACUCAUAAACCAAAAAACAAUAAAACAAGAACUUACUAGUAUUAGAAGUCGAAUUACUGAAAAAUCUUAGAAGCAAGCCUCGGGUUAGGAGACUUGAUCCCGUAGGUACAACUCGGAGUAGACACCGACAGGCCGGCCUUCCUCCGAUCCACACCUCCACUCUAUCUCUCUCAAUCUAGUAGAAACUAGAAGAUCUAUUUCUACUUUACAUUGGUUGCUAAGCCUAAAAAGAAAUAUUAUUUAGAGAAGAGGUUUUCCUUCGAGGGCACCCCUCAAUCUCUAUGAUAAUUUCUUGUCCUCUCCAGGGGCUAGGGGGGUCUCCUUAUAUAGUCCUCCUCCUCUAUGCGUUUUUGGGUCGGUAGGCGAGGUGGUACUAUGUUUUUUACUUGAUCCAAUAGGUCGGUGGAACGUCGUGUGCGAAGAGAGUCUGGAACGGAGUCCAGAGGUGGGCGGGCGCCCAGGUCCUCAGGACGGGCGCCCUGGGCCUGGCCCCUCUCGGCCUCCGCUUCCUUCCCGUGGCUUCUGGAGUCUUCUAGAUGGUAGAAAAUUACGCGGUGCGUUGAUAGCUCUAUGUAAUCCUGACAUGUGGGCCUUUCUUCCUUAUUUCCUGAUAACCUCCUGCAGAAAUAGACAAACACCAAAACUCGUGGAAUUCUGUCAGAUAAAACCCUAAGUCUAGAUGUUGAUUUCAUUUGGAUCCUUUUCUUUGUUUAUUUGAUAAUUAAAUUUGAUACUUAAGGACCGUCAACAACCGCAUCUUCACUAGUCACUUUUGGUCAGAGUUGUUCAAGUUGGCUGAUGUUACCCUCUGUUGCAGCAUUGCCUAUCACCCUCAAUCUGAUGGUCAGAAUGAGAGGCUUAACCAAUGCUUGGAGACAUAUUUACGCUGCUUCGUGCAUGCUUGUCCAACAUGUGGAGCCAAUGGUUAACUUCAGCUGAAUUCUGGUACAACACAAGUUUCCAUUCAGCUAUUGGUCGCACACCAUUCAAGGCAUUGUAUGGCUAUCCUCCCCGCCUCUUGGCUAUCGACCCCUCUAUAACUGCUCAUUCUGAGGUAAACAUGUGGGCUUCAGACCGACUGUGGAUGGAUCACCUUCUCCACCAUCACCUCUCUAGAGCUAAGAACCGUAUGAAGCAACAAGCUGAUCAGAAUAGAUCAGAACACACCUUUUCAGUUGGUGAUUUGGUCUAUCUGAAGUUGCAGCCGUAUGUGCAGUCCUCCUUAGCCCCUCGCUCCCACCAGAAGUUGGCUUUUCGUUUCUUCUGGCCAUACCGUAUUAUGGAACACAUCGGUACCGUGGCUUACAAGCUUGAUCUUCUGCACACUCUGCAAAUUCAUCAAGUGUUUUAUGUCUCCCAACUGAAGCAAGCCGUCAGUGCUGCUCAUUAGGUAGUUCGAACCUUACAUACUGACUUUGCUAUUCAUUUAGCUCCAUAAAAGAUCCUGCAGUGCCGCACAGUGGUUCACGGCUCCUCCAAUAUCUUCUAGGUGAUGGUGAAGUGGAACAAUCUACCAGAAGCUUUGGCCACUUGGAAGAUUUUGAGGCUUUUGGCCAGAAGUUUCCGAGUCCCAAGGGGAGGGAAUGUCAGCCGUUGUCAUGACCAAAUCCAAGUAGAAGAAGUCACACCUAAGGCCCAACCCAGGGAGCAGAGGUCCAAGAAGCCGAACCCGAAGAUCUUUGGCGAGCAAUGGGCCCAAAGAUAUCACUUGCAUGCUUAAAGAGGCAGCGCCUCUGUAAUGGCUAAUGAGUAUAAGACUUAGGCCUUGUCCAGUUGCCAAUUUCUUUAGUUUCGAAUACUGUAGUAUUUUUAUUUGUAUUUGAUAAAUAUUAUCCAAUCAUGAAUUAACUAGGCUUGAAAGAUUCAUCUCACAAAUUACAGACAAACUAUAUAAUUAGUUUUUAUUUUUAUCUAUAUUUAAUAUUCUAUACAUGUGCUAUAAGAUUCGAUAUGAUGUGAAAUCUUGAAAAUUUUUGAGAGAUGGGACAUGUUUUUAUAGGAAACUAUUCUAAGGCCUUGUUUAGUUCCCAAAUUCCCUGUCACAUCGAAUCUUGCAGCGCAUGCAUGAAGUAUUAAAUAUAAAUAAAAAUCUAUACCUAUCUACAAAGAGGGAAAAUUUCAGUCUGCCCAAAAAUUUUCUGCCCACCGUAUCCGCUUCCAUCUAGAAUCCGAGGCUGGUACGUUGUGGAGUAGAAAAAAAAAGAAUAGAAAUUUUUCUAGGGUUACCAAUAUAAAAUCUCUUAUAUAUAUUAGAGUAUAUUAAAAAUAAACAAGGAUCUAAGUGCAAAUCUAUCCUCUCUGCAUCCGUCAAUCGGCCUGUAGGGAGACUGCUGGAAGAGAAUUUUUUUUUUCUAAGGUUCUCAAUGUAAAAUCUCCUAUAAAAUUAAUAAAUUUAUAGUAAUUCAUAGAUAAAUCUAAAAAUUACAAAACAAAUGUUGUUUAGCUCCACAUAUUUAGAUCCAUGUAGUAAAAAAAAAUAUCACAAAUUUUAGUAUAUUUGUUUUUGUUGGAAAUGCUUGCCUAUACUUUUUAAUGUAAAAUUAAAAUUGUAAUUAUCUUACUCCAAUUAUUAUCAAAAUUUUAUGAUAGCCUAUUUAAUGUGAUGCUUGAUUUGUGGUAAAAGUUUUAACACAAUUCCUGUAUAUCUCACUGAUUUACUAAUUUACCUAAAUUUAUGCUUGAGGAUACUUCCACUACCUUUACAUGAUGUGGUGUUAUGUCAUAUGAACACUUUAUAAGUCCAUAUGUUCAUAAUCUAUAUACAUUUAACUGAUAUAUCAUAUUUUAUAAGAAUCCUAAUCUAAAUAAAAAAUAAAGCUAGCAACAAACUUCUCAUGUUUUAAUAUAAUACUAAAGUAUAUUAAGAGGUAAUAUUAAAGUAAGAUAAUGUUUGACUAAUUUCUAUUUUUAUUAUUAAAUAAAUAUGUCUCUAAGCUACAUAUUAUUUUAAAUAUUAACUAUCUAAUACCAUAGAUGUCAUGGUUAUCAAUAAAAAAAAUUAUGGACUUCAAAUUUUAUAAAAAAAUAAAUAUAAAUAGAUAUGUAAUAUUAUGUCAUAACUUUCUAUGGUCAUUUGAUGCUUUUCUCCCGUUACAACGCACAGUAAAAAUCAAUCUCAAGAUUUACAUAGACUUCGGCUUACCAAUAAAAAGUGUAUUGUUAGCUUCUUGUCUUUUCACGAACAAUGCACAAAUUGAUAGAAACUUAUACAAUCUAUAUAAAAUCAAAAUCAAAUCUAGAAAUUAUAAUUCAAAAGUUUAUUAGGCUCUUUUCAACCAGAGAGUAUAAGGUGCCAUUACACGUGAAAUAAAAGUCCUAAAAAAUCUAAGAGCAUGUAUAUAAACUAUAUAUGGAUAGUCUGCUUCAAAGUCAGUUUUAAAAGCUUAAAAUUUUUUAAAUUUAAUACAAAGGAUAAAACACAAAUAAAUAUAACAAAGUGCACAUUUUCUACGGACGUCUAUUUGCUCCCGUAGCAACGCACGGGCAUAUUUUGCUAGUAAUAACUAAUUAUACAAUUUGUCUAUAAUUUAUGAGAUGAAUCUUUUGAGCCUAGUUAAUCUAUUAUUGGAUAAUAUUUGUCAAAUUAUCAAAUACAAACGAGCAAUGUCUAUUUUAUAAAUUUUUUUAAACUAAACAAGGCCUAAAACCUAAACCUAAGAACUUCCGACUACUGUUCUUCUUCCUCCGCCGUCCCCCUUCCUUCUCCGCUCUUCCAAUCCCCUCCCCACUGCUAUCUCUCACAGUGACUCCUCCGCCUCGUUCCGCGCCCGCCUGACUCCUCCGCCUCCUCCCUCGGCGGCGUCGAGGGUGCGCUCGCCCGCGCGGUGGCCGGGCGGAUCUCGCCGGGCGGCCGAGCUCCCCGGCUAGAGGUCGCCCGCUUCUUCCCCAAUUCCGGCCGGUGAGCCCCACUUCUUUCCCGUCCUUAAGCCGAUGGACGCCUCCGCCGCCGGUUCGCGCGGCGGCCCAGCCCUGCGCUUCCUCUGUCCUAAGAUAUCCCUACUCUCCCCGCCCUCGCGCUCCUUGCUGCGCUGGCUCGUCGGUGCGCCUCGCGUCCUCCCUCCCUUCACCGUCGCUGCUGUCUUACGUCCCACUCACGGCGACCACGCCGCCCCUGAUCUCCCCAGGGAAGCAGGCAAGUCUCACCAACCCACUCUCUCAACCGCUCAUGAUUCCGCCUGACGAUCUCCCUAUACCUCUAUGCCUCCCGCAGAUGAAAUCCGGGGGUUGCUGCCGCGGGGUUUCGACAUCAUCGGGGCAUUGCUCGUGGGGGGAGGGGGUUCUGAUGCGGACGUCACUUGCGCACUGGAGCAGGCUCGGGUGCUGAGGGAGCUGCUGUUCGGUGUGGCGGCGAGCCAUGGCUUGGUCGGAGGCCACAUGGAUGCAGCCACCGGGGAGAUUCGAUUUGUUCUAUCCGAGAGCGGAGGGACGGACUCGGUGGAAGGGUCUGUGGUUACAUGGGAGGAUGAGCCGGGGAGGUUGUUGUGGGAGAAGGGAUGCCUCCUGCGCUGCCAACUGCCCCUGAAGCUUCCACUCUAUCUUAGGCCUGAUGUGAAUUCUGGUAAAUGCUCGGAAGCUUACCUGCCUAUUUAAUCAUUUACCGUACAAAUGAAUGGGCAAAAGUUCAAUCAAUCAUGAUAUGAUGUGUCUUGACAUCUAUUUGAAGAACAUGGAGUUCUGUGAAUUCUUUUUGCUGCAACUGGUUCAAUUUUUUGGAUUAUUAUAUAUUGUGUUAGGAUACUGCUUCUACCUUAGUAUGUGCUUAGAAAAAAAUCAUUGUUCUUAGCAAUUCUCAUUUCAGAACCCACCCGUGAUCUGUGAAGCUAAUAAUUGGUUGGAUAAGGUGGCAAGUUACUACAUCUUGCAUAGCUGGAGGGUUUUGUUUCAACUAUGUGAUUUCUUAAGCCUGUCAAAUAUUCAAAUAUGAAAGAAGCUAUUAGAGAGCUUCUGCAUUUCCAUAUUCAAUAAACAUAUAGAGAAUCUAGAAUCUAAAACCAAACAAUAUGAUUGUAACAACAUACAAGAGGUGGAUCGCCUCUUGCUUCUUGUUCUAACUGAAACUAAAAUUUUGCAUUAAAUCAUUGAGCUAAUGUAACAAUUCAAAUUAAUCAAAUAUUAAAAUGACGAACUGUGUUUGUAAACCUAUUUAUCAUGAACAAAUUGUUACUAAUUUUUAACUUGCACAUAGAGUUUGCAUGUACAUGCAGUCGUAGAUCAAUUCACAGAAUAUCCUUUAGAGGUGAAGGUGGAAGAACAUACCGCUACAACUAACACCAGUGUAAUUUCUAAAAUUGUAGUUAGCAAAGAACAAAAAGGUUUGACUGUGCAUAAUCAUGUCUGACUGUACUAGUAGUUUAUAUGAAAUCUGUUUUUUUCUCUGUUUAUGGUAUAAACAGUUGUAUCGGGUAGUUAGGUGCCAACUAUCUGCUUCUGAAGGGAAUGAGAUAACUUUGUUGUGUGUUACUUUGAAGGCAUCGAAGAACGGUUUUCUUCACUUAUUGAAUCUACAAUUGCUAAACUCAGAGAUCCUCAUGUAUCGUAUUUAGUUGAGGGGCCAAUUACAUCUAGUGAAUCACAUCAUUCUAUUAUCUUGCGUGGUGAUGAUUUAAGCUUUGAUUCACAUACACAUGGAAACUCAAGAAAGAACAAUUGUACCACAAGUAUUGUAUCUUGUUCAGAAUUCUUCACAGAAAAGAGGUACAACUUCUCAUUGACAAGAGAGGUAAGCUGAUACUCAAUCAAACUUGUUCUUUAAAGUUAUUUUUGAGGACUGUAGUUAUUAUCGAAUUGGCUCGCUUAUCUUUCUUGUAUAAGCAUCAAAAUUGAGUAUAAUUGUUUAUUUUUCAUGAAGAUCUGUUAUAAAUUGAACUGAGGGGUUGUGUGUCAAUAUAAAAUAUAUGAAAGCCAGCUGCUAAUGAGCUGCCAUUUCUUUUCUGGAGUUCUAUAGUUGGAUAAAUGGAUAAUGCAGAGUGCUUUUUCCAUGCAUACUUCUGUAUCACAUGACAUCUUGGGUCAAAACUUUCUACAAUUUCUGUUUGCUAGAAUGCAGAUGCAAUUGCAAUAACUGUCAACCAAUCAGCGAGUAGCUUGAAGCCUGGCACUACCCCUGUGGUAGAGUACUUUCCUGGUAAUUAUGUUACCCGUGUUCAAAUUCUGCUUUUCAAAGUUGACUUUUUCACCAUAUUGCUUUAAAUGUUACCAGCAGACAUACAUUUUCUUUUUUAGCGAAAUUAUGUAAGGACCUGUUUGAAUCCUAUGAAUUGAAUCUGAUUCAAGUAAUAGGAUUCCAGCAAUUGCUUUCAUGGAAAUUGAAUCGGCCAGAAUUUAAUUAGAAUAUAACAUUCUUGUUUGGAUGUACAUAUAAUAUUUCCAAGAAUUGAAUUACAAAAACUGUUUGGAUAAGAAAAAGUGGAAAUCAUCAAACCCCUUAUCUGUUACGUCUCCUGCAAUGCACGUUGGGCCCUGUGGACGAUGACGCCUUGGACCAGCCAGCGGCCAUGGCCAUGGCGCUGUUGUGUCUAAGUUGCUGUCACUGCCUCCUUCCCACGCCACCUCCACCUGGCCCUGCCGCCUCCUUCCAGAGAAUCCAUGCAUGUGAGAGAGGGAAAUAGAUAUAGCACAUGCCAGCAAUCUGUGUCGAGCAGUCAAGGAGAGAGACACAGUAGUAGUCGAGAUUUGAGAAGGACUAGGUUCGCACCCGUGUGUUGCUAUGGGCAAAACAAAUAUAGAAUAUAGUCAAUAUAAAAUAAGUAACUUAAUUUGUAGAAGCAUUUUAUUAAAUAUAUGCUCAUAGCUGCUCAAAACCAUUCAAAAACUCAAAUAUCCAAAAGUAAAAACAUAAGCAAGUCUAGAUUCUCCUAGUUCUCCUAGCAGUCUCUUGCCAUCAGUUUUUUUUUGUAUUCUAAAGUCCAUCGUAUUCUUAGCAGAGGAUAAACAUGUGAUGCUUAAUUUUUACACACCUUCUUAUGCUUGGCUUUCUUCUGACUGUUUCUUCAGUUUGCUUGAUCUUGCAACACUCUCAGAUUAUUCAGUGGCAGCACAGUUAGAUUAUACUUACAGGAGUAGACGGCACAAAUAAAAUAACAAUUAUUCAAAAAAAUAUAUGAUGCAAAACAGACAAAUGCAAGAUGCUGGGCAACAAAAAUAAAAUUACGCAAGAGAAAAACAUAAUCCAACUCAUGGAAGAUGCACUUUUAAAGGCAACUAUCACUGUGCCUUGAAUUAAUCCUCCGGCUUCUUAUUAACCCCAUUACAGCUGAAGCCUUAAUGUGAUGUGAGUUUGGAAUCAAAAUUGAAGAGUCAUUUGUGGAUUAUCUACAAGAGAACUAAUGCAGGUAGAUUGUCAGCAAGUUUGCAAACACACACACACACACACAUGUGAUUGCUAAAGAAAAUCAGAAAAAAAGCAGCGCAAAGAGGAUGAAAAUAUUAUAUGUUGAUUAUGAUAGAUCUCUUAAACUUAAUUUUCAGUAUAUCUUCUGCAUCACAGAAACAUGCUACAGUCAAUUCUUUCUAUUUUAUAUGAAACUAAUGUAGCAUCUAAGAUAAUCUCCUAGAACUUCAGGUACAUUGUACACUGUACAAUAAGGAUUUAGCAGCUUCCAACCAGCCUUGAGAUCUCGGGGGACCAUGAUCUCGCGAUGGCUUCUCACCAACUUCAGAUUCAUCUCCCCCAACACAGGCCAUUUUAUUCAAACAAAAGAACACAAACAAUGCAAUCAAUCCUGCAAGAUGUUGUUAUGGAUAAAUAGAGUAAUUAACUCAUUGUGUUGCUUUCAGAACCUAGGCACCACAUAUAUUGCUUCCAGUUAAUCAGCAUACCUCUAAUCCUGGCUUCCGAACAAGAAUAUUUUCUCACAUGUUCCAAUUUGACCGAAACUGAUCCUGUCAGACCUUCUGAUGCAAUUGAGGAACAAUAGCACACCUCUACGAGCAAAGGCAGCUCUUCAUCCCUGGAUUGAUCUAUGGCUAGAAGCUUUUGUGUAACCUUUUUAAUUUUUUUUUUGUAUUUUGUUUCGUAAGUUCUCCUUUGUAAGUGAGCAACUUUCUGUUUUUUCAAUAAAGCUUUCCAGUAGGGUGCAAACCCCUCCUGUUCUGUAAAAAGCACACCUCGAACAUGCUAAAUCUCCCUAUCAGCAUUGAUCAAAUCUGUAACCAUCACAAACUCCAAUAUCUCUGCAAGACUUCCCUGCAUCAAAACCAAACAACAUGUUCGCUUCAGUUCAAAUGCCUGCAAAUGAAAAGUAGGUGGUCGCUGUAGAACAGUGGCGACUAGACUUCAUCCUGGCCUGCGCUGGCCUAUCGACUGUGUAAUGUAGCAUGGGGUCCUGCCUCGUUGGUUGAGUCAAUCGCAGCCCUUCUCCUAAUGCAUCCCUGGAAAACUGUGUGUUGGUUCCCGUGCAUUGGGGGUGGCUCGUGCCGGGGCUGGGCUGGUGCGGCAUUGGGAGGCAAUGUCCCAGGGCAGUGGGGGCUGGGCUGGAGCGGUGUUGGGACGCGGCGGCGCGGAGAUGUGGUGGCUCGGGGCGGAGCAGCGACUGAUGGACACGGGGUAGCAGCAGGGGAGGCAUUGUGGGCAAGGCAGGGCAACAUUGUGGCGCUGUGGUGGAGGCAGGGUGGUAGAAGUUAACCUGCACAGAACACAACAAAUAGGACAACCAUGAAACUGAAAUUAGUUACGGAUAGCUGCCGACAAUGGAGAAGAGAAGAUAUAUUACCUCAAAGGCUUGCCGGUAGGUGCUCGUGGGCCUCCUCUUGGUGGGUAGCACAAGGAUGGCGGGUGAGGGCGAUGACGGCACACCCAACGCAGUUGCUCGCUGGCCUGUGGCCUCCUCUUGGCCGGGAGGAUGAGGGCGGCACACGACGGGCAGAGAGUAGACUAUGGUCACGAGGAUGGGGAGGUACAGUGGUGGACGUCGUGAUGAGAACACUGCCGGCAACAACGGUCUUGGACGCUCGGUCGUGUGAUGGGAUUGACUCGACAGCUGAGGCCUUUUUUCCUACAACAAAGCUGAUGCCUUGAGGGGAUCAAAACUGUAACCAUGCAUUCAUGAUUGUGGAAGAAUCGCAUGUGUGGUGGGCUGGACUGGUCUCACACGGUGGUUGAAGCUGGGAGAGAAAGGAAAACCGAUGUCAUGGGGUCGUGGGAACGAAAUCAGAGGAAGGCCGAAGAAAACCGUCGGGGCAGACUGACACACUUCCUUCUUCGUAUAGUAGAGAUUUGCAGUCAUUGGGUGCUAGCUGCUGGGGCUCAUCGGUGCUGGGUGGUGUGCGCACGCUGCGUCGUGACUUCGGGUCUGCGUUGCCAUGGCGGUGCGACGACGAUCCUGGCCGAAUCUGAGGACUUAGGUGUCAAGCUGCAAGCGAUGAGUUGAUGUGCUGAGUUGAGGAGGCGUGCUGCUGCAGCGACAGCGGCAUGCGGCUCCGGGUCUGCCCUGCUGUGCCAGUGCGACGAUGAGCCUGGCCACAGCCAAGGAGGAGGAACUUGGUGUGGUCUGGACGAGUCGAGGGGGCGGCGGCGCUCGGGAGGAGUCGGGAGAGAGAUGAGGGGUGGUCUGGAAUUGUAUUUCUCAUUUUAGCCUGUGAAUUUUUAGUAGGCUGCUGUUUCUGGUCGUGGAAAUGGGCAGAAUGUUUGCUUUCCGAUUCUUGGUUCAUCCAAACAAGAUUGCCCAAGAAAGUAAUUUCAAUUCAUCCCAAUUCAUAGGAUCCAAACAUGUACUAACAGAAGUUUGCUUGUCAAUUCUUUUGAUUCCUUUCUAGUCCUUCCCUCUUUCCACUUUAAGUGUGGUAAUUUGUGUUCUCAUGUUGCUGAAAAUACCUUGUUUUCUUUUUUUUUAGCCUCAGCACCUGCCAGCCUCAGAGUAAUCAUCUUGAAGCUUGAUAUACUAUGCUACACAUCAAUAGAUUUUCCAGUGGCAGCUGCUGUAUCUGAACUUGUUAUUCCAGGAUUAGCUGAUCAGAUGAUUGUAAUGAAGAGGAUUAUUGCUUCAGAGAUAACUCAACAAGUACAGGUAUGUGAUUUGCUCAAUGUCACAAUUGAUUAAUUCCCUUUACUGAAGCAGCACAUACACAUGGUGCAUAGAUAUCUUUGUAGAACCACAUAUGGCUUUGGUGUUACAGAUUACUUGAAACCUAGGUCGGAUAAAAAAACACAAGAUCUUUAGCUAUUGCAGUUGCUGCAUGUUUUGGAGUUUAAAAGCUUUGUCACUGCAUAUGUGAAGAUAAUUUUGUUCUCAAACGACGCAGAAGAUUUGUCUCAUUUCAUUAAGAAAGAAAAAAAAGGAAAUGCUAGUAGGCAUCCCAGAGAAGUAUAGUUACAAACGUGCCAUGUACAUUAGAACCUAGGGAUGGCAACAGACACAUUACCCAUGGGUGGAGCCUACAGACACGUGCAAUGAGCACUAUGACUAUUGAGAGCAUAGCUCUUACGGCGUAAAGGCGAGGCACGGCGAUUGGGGGGGGGGGGGGGGGGGGCGCCUGGACGCCUAGGCACCCGCCUUGCUCGCCUAGGCGCCCAUUCUGCAAGGCGAUGGGGGGGGGGGGGGCGCCUGGACGCCUAGGCGACGCAUUGAGAACUAUGAUUGAGAGAGCAAAUGAAAAGGGGCAAGCAAGGUCGUCUUUGUUUUAUAGUCCUAUAUAGGAGGAUUAGAGCAUUAAAGCUCAAGUAGUUCUCUUACAACCUAGUCAGGGCCAUUACUAAAGAUGCCUGCCUGCUGCUUUAUAUGGAGAAACUACAAAAAGAAAGGUGAGCGCUCUCUCUAAUAUAGACCUGUCUUCUCAAACCCGUGUCCAUACCCGCCACCCGUCAAUGUUAUCAGACAUAUGAUUGAGGCUACUCGUGCCACUUCGGGGUCAAUAAUCAGUCCCAUUUAGUCGUCUACGUGCCUAAAUGGCUGAUCAACCAUGUAUAUAUGGUGUAACCAUAAAUUGGCAAAUUGAAGAGGCUGGUUCGCAAUGCUCCCUAUGCAUCAUUAAUGCUUUCAUUGCUGUCUUUGCUGCUUAAUGGCACCCUCUACUGCUGUCUUUACUGCUUGCUGGCAGCCUCCUUGGAAAUAUCUCAGUAUGUGCUUCCUUUAGUGUUGGGCGUCGCCUGGCUUCCUCCCGUGGCUGCUGCCUCUUAAUUCUAGUUUCUCCUAGCCGCCACUUUUCUGCUCAACUGGUGCCCCUCCACGUCCAUACAGCAUGCCAUUCCCUACCAACUUCUCCACUGGCAGCCCCCGGAUUACUCUUCCCUCUGUGUGUUUGGUUGUCUCUGCUACCCCAACCUCAGUGCCACAACAGCCCACAAACUCCCUUCAUUCGACCCGGUGCGUGUUCCUCAGCUACCCUUCCUCUCACAAAGGGUACCGCUGCCUGGACAUGGCCACUCAACAUGUCAUCGUGUCACGACAUGUGCUCGAUGAGUCUGUGUUCCCUUCUGUUGCAGCUCCGUUGGUGGCCUUAUAUGCAGAUCUUUGUGCUGUCAUCCGGUUGCUCCCUCCAGCAGCGAGGCUGAGCAGUAGCUGGACCUCUAGGACUCGACAAUCAUCUAUGCUGGCCCAGUGCACCUUCCUGGUCGCGCCCUGCCCAUACUUCCGAGUGGGCCUCUGGCCCUAGUGCACCUCGCUCCGCGCUCGGGUGGGACUGGCUGUUUUGGCUCCACGUAUAAGCGACGUCCCUGACCCCCUUUAGUGCUCACGAUUGCAAGGCAGCGUGCAUCCGGUUGACUGCUUUGGCUUCUCUGCCAUGACGGCCUCGCCGAUCCCGACCAACUAUUGCAGCGCCCUUUGCUGACCCCAACUAGCGUGCUGCGAUGGCGGUGGAAUACGAUGCUCUCAUCGCCAAUGGCACCUGGCGCCUGGUACCCCGACCGCUUGGUGCCAAUAUCAUUUCUGGCAAGUGCUUGUUCAAGCACAAGUUCCACUCCGAUGGGACCUUGGAUUGGCACAAGGCGCGGUGGGUCGUCUAGCAAGCUGGUGUUGACUACGAUGAGACCUUUAGCCUGGUUGUCAAGCUGAUGAUGAUCCGCACCGUCCCGAGCAUUGCCACCUCGCGUGCUUGGCCUGUUUACCAGCUCGACAUGAAGAACGCCUUCCUCCAUGGUCACCUCGAGGAGACGGUCCACUGCCCGCAGCCAUCUGGCUUCAUUGACUCAGCUACUCCUAACUACGUCUGCCUGCUGCAGAAGUCCCUGUACGGACUCAAGCAGGCGCCCCGAGCUUGGAACCAGUGCUUCGCCAACUACAUCAGCACCAUUGGCUUCGCUAUGUACAAGUCUGACCGUCUCUCUUUGUGUACAAGUUGGAGAUCACGUUGCCUAUCUUGUCGUCUAUGUCGAUGAUCCUCACGGCGUUGUCCACUACGCUGCUCUAGCACAUCACCACGCGCCUCCACUCGAAGUUUGCCAUGACCAACCCGAGUGACCUAGGAUUGUUGUGACAUGGGACCACUCCGACUUGUUUAUGUGGCAGCGACAGUAUGCUGUCAACCCCCUCUAGCAGGCUGGCAUGUUUGUCAGAGUGCCACCCUAUGGCACGCCAGAAGAUGCACGGACCAAGCUGUCCGCCGUUGGUGGUGCCCCGGUCGCCAACCCCUCUGGGUAUCGGAGCCUCGCUAGGGCCCUCCAGUACCUCACCCUGAUGCAGCUUGACUUGGCCUUUGCAGUUCAGUAGGUCUGCUUGCGCAUCUUGCGAUACGUGAAGGGCACGCUCUUCGCUCGGCUCCACCUAGGCACUGGCUAGUUGAUUAGGUCACCGCCUACUCCGAUGCUGAUUGGGCAGGCUGUCUAGAUACACGCCGCUCCACCUUCGGGUUCUAUGUCUUCCUUGGCGACAAUUUGGUGUCCUGGUCCUCCAAACGCCAGACCACAGUUUCCCGCUUCGGUGCUGAGGCCGAACAUCGUGCCGUUGCGCAUGCCAUGGCCGAGUGCCAUUGGGUGCGGCAACUUCUUCAGGAAUUCACAUCUGGGUUCCCUUCCCUUGGCCACUGUGGUCUACUGUGACAAUGUUAGUGCCAUCUAUAUGACUGCUAACCACAUCCACCACCAUCGCACAAAGCAUAUCGAGAUCGACAUCCGCUUCGUUCGCGAAACAGUGGCAUUGGGACAGGUUUGCAUCCUUCAUGUUCCCUCAGCGCACCAAUUCGCGGAUAUCAUGACUGUUAGAUUGUAUAUAUAUAUGUGCUGUGCGUGUGUAUAUGGUAGGCAUGUGCCUGGUAUGGUAGCCGGCCAGCCCUGCUUGAUUAGAGAGAUAUGAGAAGAUCUCGGUUGGUCUUAUUUCUAUAAACCACCGGAUCUUCUCUUCCCUAUUUAUAUAUAUGUACAUAGGUCUCAAUCAAUCCAAUCUAUUAUUCCACGCAAUAUUCAUUGCUUUCAUGGUAUCAAAGACCUAGUUUUUCCUUUCUGGCCGCUUAUUCCCCUGCGCCUGCUCGCUGCCUCUGCACGACCUCGCGCCGCCAUGGAUCCCGGCGCCUGGCUGGCUGAUGGUUCUCUUGAGCGCUACAAAGCGCGUUGGGUUCUUCGUGGAUUCACUCAACGUCCCGGCAUCGACUAUGAUGAGACUUUCAGUCCCGUUGUGAAGCCUGCUACUGUCCGAACAGUUCUGUCUCUUGCGGUCUCUCGCCAUUGGCCAGUGCAUCAGCUUGAUGUGAAGAAUGCUUUUCUUCAUGGGAACUUGUAUGAGACAGUUUACUGUGUCCAGCCUUCGGGAUUUGAGGAUUCAUCUCACCCAGAUUUUUUGUGCCUCCUAAAUCGGUCCCUCUAUGGGCUGAAACAGGCGCCGCGUGCUUGGUACAGUCGCUUUGCAAAUUUUCUUCUUCAUCUGGGUUUUGUGGAAGCCAAGACGGACACCUUGUUGUUCGUGUUUCACCGUGGUCAAGAUACUGCCUCUCUCUUGCUGUAUGUGGAUGACAUUGUGUUGACGGCCUCCUCCACAGAAUUGCUUCGUCGGAUCAUUGCAGCCAGCAAGAGUUCUCUAUGAAAGAUCUGGGUGAACUUCAUCAUUUUUUGGGGAUGCAAGUUCAGCGUACUCCCUCCGGGCUGUUCCUGUCCCAACACCAGUACAUGCUGGACAUUUUGGACCGCGCUGGGAUGGCUGCUUGUAAGCCCUGUUCCACUCCAGUAGAUCUCAAUCCGAAGUUGUCUGCUGAUGGUGACCCUAUUUCAGAUCCUACGGAUUUUCGCAGUCUAGCUGGGGCUUUACAGUAUCUCACCUUCACUCGGCCUGAUAUCGCAUAUGCAGUUCAGCAGGUGUGUCUUCACACAUGCAUGAUCCGCGCGAGCCUCAUCUUGCAGCCCUCAAGCGGAUCCUUCAUUAUGUUCGUGGCACUCUUGACUUGGGUCUUCAUUUGCGUGCUUCUAAUCAGACUGAGCUGGUGGUCUACUCUGAUGCGGAUUGGGCCGGAUGUCCUAACACUCGCAAGUCUACCUUAGGCUACGCAGUUUUUCUUGGUGACAAUUUGGUUUUCUGGUCUUCCAAGCGUCAGAAUACUGUCUCCCGUUCCAGUGCCGAGGCGGAGUAUCGCGCUGUCGCCAAUGCUGUGGCUGAGGCAUCCUGGCUGCGUCAGCUGCUUGCAGAACUUCACACUCCUUUGGGUCAAGCCACCUUGGUUUACUGUGAUAACAUCAACACUGUAUACAUGUCUGCUAACCCCGUUCAGCAUCAGCGUACCAAACACUUUGAGAUUGAUCUUCACUUUGUUCGAGAACGAUUGGCCCUUGGAGCAGUUCGCGUUCUCCACGUCCCGACGACGUCACAGUUCGCUGACAUCUUCACCAAAGGCUUGCCCACUUCUUUCUUCACGGAGUUUCGGUCCAGUCUCAACGUCCGACGACUCGACGCUGUGACUGCGGGGGUGUGUUAGAUUGUAUAUAUAUAUGUGCUGUGCGUGUGUGUAUAUGGUAGGCAUGUGCCUGGUAUGGUAGUCGGCCAGCCCUGCUUGAUUAGAGAGAUAUGAGAAGAUCUCGGUUGGUCUUAUUUCUAUAAACCACCGGAUCUUCUCUUCCCUAUAUAUAUAUGUACAUAGGUCUCUCAAUCAAUCCAAUCUAUUAUUCCACGCAAUAUUCAUUGCUUUCAAUGACCAAGGGUCUUCCACCUUGUACCACUUGUGAUCAAUGUUUUCUGGUCAGCUGGUCGAUCCUGGUCGACCUGGGACCGACCAGGCGAUUAAUCGUGAUUAAUCAGCGACCAUGUUGAUUAAUCGACCCUGGUCGUCCAGGCAUAUCAGCUGGUCGACCUAUAUAUACCCCUCUAUAUAUACACAAUAAAGGAAGCAUUAAGACUGCAUUAGUGUUCAACUGGUGACUUACUUGUGGGAGUUCUUUUCUUCUCUUUUCUGCACUAUCCAUACCUCCAUAUUCCUGUCCCAAACUCCAUUUCUUUGCUGACUUGCUGCUGGUAGCCUGGAACACCAAAGAAACCAUAAUUAUCAAGUAGCAACACUAACGCAGCCUUGAUCUUCACAUACCUUUAAUGCAGUAGCAAAUAACUAACAUUUAACAGAUCAUAGCAGUCACAAGGCCAGCAUAUUACAUAACCAAAGUCCAACUAGUUCAGUACAAAUAAGCGUGUUCAACACAGAGUCACAAGCAUUGACAUUCAAUAGUCCAACAAAAGUAGGAAACUAGCCAUCUAAUCAAGCAAUUCAUCAUUGAAAUGGAACUCUCCAUCUCCAUCUUCAGUUGCAGGAACUUCAUCGAGUUCAUCCUCCUCCAUUACUGUUGCUGAAUCAGAUUCCACAUUCUGAACUUGGUGUUCAUCAUCAUCUUCCUCAAUAUCUGGAGCCACUGUAUUCCUUUGACGCUUCCUGGUCCUAGUGUAAGUGUGACUCACAGGGGCAGGGGCAGGGGCACGAGCAGCAGUCCUGCGCAUGUUACGUCCCUCUAGUUCCUGGGUCGCACCAAUAGCUUCAUCCAGUUGAGCCCAAGUCACAUCAUUACCACCACCUUCCAUAACUGGUCCACAGUUUUCAUCGACCCAUUCACUUUCCCAAUGAAAUUCUUGAAGCAAGAGUGGAUUGCUUCUCUUUCCUUUAGAACCCAGCUCUCUAAUUUUUUUGAAUCUGUUUUCCGUCUUCCGUCUUCCGGUUGUAACUGACAUAUACCAACUUGUUUAACCUUUGAUGCUCUUACCGGUUUCUCUUCUUUGUAUGGACCUACAUAAUGCACCAUCACAAUCACAAUAACAUACCAAUAAUCCAAUAUUGCUAAGGCUACCAAACUCAAUUUAACAGCAGUACAGUAGCACUUACACCAGAAAAUUCACUCCAAUUACGCGCAACAUAGGCUAACAAUCCUUUUUGCUAAACAUUGGAGUUCAAUUGUCAGGCCACCAUAUGCAACACACCAUAGAACUGCAAUUUCCAUUCCAAGCAUAGAAUUCCACUAUUAGUUCUUUGUUGAUUGCUUUUAGAAAAAGAGAAGGAAAUUAGAGAACUUACUAGGAUUUUUUCUAUCUCUGUCUCUUAUUGCUCCUUGCUUUGAGAAGGAUUCACCUUCAGCCCUCUCAUAGUCAUCUGCCUGCUUGCGCUUAUCUUGUUCUGCUCCUCCUCAUCACUCACCAUCUUCCACAUUAUAUUAUUAAACAUGGUCCUCACUCCUCAGCCUUGCGGCUUGUCUCAUGUUUUUUUUCUCUUAUGGCAAAGAAUUUGCUUGGAUUUAAGUAUAGCGCUGCUCCGUACAGCUGCUGUUCCAUUUGGUUUUCCUAUCUCUUAUCAUAGUAUGUUAGUACAUCCCUGAGUAAAUCUGAUUUGUGUUUCAAAGAUUCCUUGAUUGCAGGCUUUGCAACAUCCAUGGCUGCCAUAAUCUCAGGAGCAGCUGGUGUCUCAUCUCCAUCUACUAUCCUCAAAGCAACAAGAAGUGGUUGUGAAGCUCUUAGGCAUAAUUCCACUUUGCCCCAAAUUGCCGCUGAAAGGAUAAUGUUCUCAACGCGCCGGCCUUCUGGAGUGGUAGAGAAAGAAAGAGCAUUCUAUUCAUCGCUAAUCACUAAACCCCUCAAUGUACGACUAUGCUUAUGCAAGCUUGCCAAUGUGAGAAAUGAAGUGGCAAAACGAGUUACACCUGACCUCACAAGAUCUCCAAUCUUAUCUCGCAUUAGAUCUAGAACAAGACCAUGCUUGUACACAAAUCUAGUCACCUUCAUUGCCAUGUUAAUGCAAAUGCUGAAUUCCUUGAUCUUCCCAAUGUCCUCCAGCAACAAAUCCAAGCAAUGGGCUGCACAUGGUGUCCAAAAAAGAUGUGGGAUCCUCUCCAUUAAAAGCCUCCCUACUGCCUUGAAGUUGGCUCCAUUGUCACUGACAAUCUGCACCACAUGUUCCUUCCCAACCUUAUGAAUUUGCUUCUCCAACAAGUCAGCCAACAUAGGUGCAUUUGCUAUCUCACUUGAAGCAUCAACAGAUCCUAGAAAAAAAGUCCCUGUUGGAUUGUUAGCAAGGAAAUUGAUGAGAUGGCGGUGGCUUGUGUCAGUCCACCCAUCAGACAUUAUGGUGCAACCAUAUUCCUUCCAAGCCUCCUCAUGCUUCUUCCUCAACUCUGAUGUUCUAGUUACAGCUCUUUCAAGCAGUGGAUUCCUAAUUUCAUGAUAUGAUGGUGAGCGGUACCCAGGACCAUAUUGUCCAAUUGACUCACAAAAAAUUUCCUAGCUCCUUGAAUUAAUGGCAUUCAAUGGAAUGCGAUUCUCAUAAAAAAAAUCUGCAACAUGAUCAUCAACAAUUACUUUGGCCUCCUUACUUUUCUUUGUGCAUUGUUCAAGUGUAGGCUGAGUGCGCUUGGACUUGUGCCUCUCUGCAACUACUUGCUCUGGUGACUUGGACAGCAUGGAACUCACUGACCUGGACUGUUUUUGAGUUGCUGGUUUUGCUGCAGCAGUAACAGUGAAACAAGUGAUGGCAGCCUGAGCAAUCUUCUUCUUGACUUGCUUACCUUUUGUUCCAGAACUUGGUACUCGUACAGGUGCAACUUCUUCUGCAGCAACAACAUCUUUUCCUCUUCAUUUUCAACUUGUGCUGGCGCCUCUACUAGAGCAGUCCUUGAACUCUUUUUUGAUGUAAACCAACAUCUCCUUGACUAUUUCUGGAGAACAGGGACAACCAACAGCAUCUCCAUACCCCCAGCAAGGUGCUGUUUGAAUCUAUUUAUGCCUGCAGGGACCAUCUUCCUGCAAAAUAUACAUGUCACAAAGUCUUUCUUGGUUGGAUCUUCCCACCACCCAUACUUCCAUCCUGGAUCUUGUGAUCUUGCCUUCCUCUUUUUGUCAACAGCUUGGGCAGCAAGAUCUGGAGGUAGUUUUGCUAUAGCCCUCUCAAUUAUGGAAGGAAUAUCUAGAGCAGAUGAGGCAGCAUCUGACCCAACAAAUUCUGGAGGACCUCCUUCAAGGUCAGUCAUAGGCAUUAUCACUUCCACGUUUGCACAUCAUCGGUCCACAUCUGCAGAAGCACAGAGGGACUUCACAACAAGCAUCAAGCAACCUAGCAGAGAGCCAGAGAGGCUGCAGAAGUGCAGAGCGAGGGAUGGGGGAGGAGUGAAGAAGAUGGAGAGGGGAAAUGCACAUACCAUCGUUGGAGCAGCUUAUCAUGUAGAUUGGCGGUGACCACUUCACCUGGGACCUGAUAGAGGGCGUCAAUGGCUCCCUGCUGCACACCAGACUAGCAGAGAGGAGGCAAGACCGCAGGAGACAGGGAAAAGCGCGCGGGGGUGGAGGAAUCCCGUGCAGGAAGAGAGGAAUCCCACGCAGGAAGAGAGGAACCGUGCGGGAGAGUGGAGUCAGCGCCCAGGGGAGGAAAUUGCGGCGAUUGGGAGAUGGGAAGAGUGUCCUGCGUGCCUCCCUGCUAUAUUCUAACCCUAACAGGCCAAGCUAUAAGCCCAGUAGCCCACAUAUCUGCCCAGUCAAAGAGGCCCAAAAAUAGAGCACACAACCUGGUCGUCCAUGUCCUAAUCGGACGAUUAAUCGCGAAAAGUGGACGACUAAUCGGACGACUAGGUUUCUGGUCAACCUGGUCGGGUCGGACCUCCUAAUCGAGCACUCAUGACCGACUAGGACGACUAAUCGCGAUUAAUCGGACGACCUGAAAACAUUAAUUGUGAUCAUGGCUAUAUACAUGACAGGUACUCUCCCCACAUUGGGUGUGUGUGGUGUGAUUCCCAUACCUUUCCACAACAACGACAUGCAGAAAGUUUAACCAUGCUUGGUUCAUUUCUGAACUAAUAAUUUUUCUGGUUCUUUUACGUUAAAUGUGACUAUGACCAAUGACCAUUGUGUCACCAUGUCAUUUACAACGUACACGAAGUCAAGAACUCAUUCAUAUCGCCACCCUUGAUAAUCAUUCGCACACAUGUUCAUUCUAGGCCUUCGGAAUUUGAUUCUCAGUGUAUUGGUGUAUUAUGGAUUGGACUUCAGCUACUUCUAAAUAAAAAAGAAGUAAAGCAUACUAUUUUGGAUCUGUGUGGGCAAUUGGGCAAUUGAUGUUUGGUAUUUUCUUGGUUGCAUAUUUCUCUUGCAACACAUACAAGUCAAAUCAAGUUCACUUAAUCAUUAACAUUGAUUCUUUUAGUGUGUCAUUUCAUUAUAAACAUGAUUAUUAAAUGCUUUAAUUUCUCAUUAGAAUGUUUUCUCAAACGCUUCUUGACUUUGUUUGCAGCUUUGUCCAUUCCAUUUCAUUCCUUCUGGUUUGCAUGUUCCAGUAACAGCCAUAUACAAUACAAGAUAUGGUGAGAUCGAGGAGAGGCAAAGUAUGAAAAAUUCUAUUUCUGAAAAGUUCAUAUUUCUUUCAUGAAGCAUGGUAGUAACUAUGGGGCCUUUAUACUGUCUCUCUAUCUCUAUACCUAAAAAUAUCCCUUAUUAUUUACAGGUGAGCUGCGAAAAGAACUGCAUAUAAGGCUAGGACUUCCCUUAGAUCGGCCUUUGUUGCGAAUUUCUAAUGCAUUGACUUUUGGCAGCAUGGGAAAGAGGAAGAAAAGCAUGCCAAGAAGUGGUAUUCAUCCUGCAUAUGUUGCAACAUAUACUCCAUUACUAUGUUUUCCCCCUGAAUUACAUGUGGGAUCUUGUGGUAAAUUUGUGCAAUUCAGAGUAUAAUAUAUGUAAAAACUGCAAAAUAUCAUAUUAUGCUAUGUGAGAAGCUAAUAACAUCAUCUAACAUGAAGAUAAGAACUUAUCUUUGUAUAUGUAAUACUGCGCUAGUUAAGCCUUCUGUUAUGUUUUCACAUUCAGGUUCUUCGCUGCUUCGAGAAGUCCACAGAGAAAUUCCAUCUAGUGGUGGUUAGUUGUAUCUCUAUUUCUUGCUUUAAGCAAAAUAAGAAAUUUGGUGAAUGUAUUUUCGAAGGAGAUAGUGACGUAAAGUUUUAUGUUUAUUGCAGUAUCUGGAGGUGUUAUGUCUUUGAUUGAUGGUUCGUAUGAGUAUUAUCACUACCUUCACGAUGGUAUUGAUGACAAUGUAAUGUGAUGCAGACAACCAAUCUAAUUUUAAAGUGUUUCUUCAGCUGGAAAUGUCCUUCCCCAGACCUCAGUGUGUGGGGGAUUACAUCUUACAUUAUUUCCUUGAUGAAUGCAUAAGAUCAAUUUUAUUAAAAAAAUGCUUUCCCUUCUAGAUUGUUUCCUGUGAUGUUUAGGUAGUAAAUUAUAUUAAGAUUGCUUUUGCAGUUUGUUUUAUUCAACCUAUAUAGUAGUAGAUUGCUUGCCAACCUUCAUGAAAGAUCAUAAAUCCAUAUAGUCCCAUCGAUAUAUGGUGUUACUUACUGCAAAUUUUGAACCAAAAUCAAGCGUGAUGAACUUGCAGCACAAAGAAAGAUUUUAUUUUGAAGUUUUGCACAAUCAGCCAGUUUCAAAUUCUAGUUACAACAAUGCUACCAUAAAAUAAAUACUUGAAGUUCAAUGCAAAUAUAAUUUCAGUUGAAAGUUUGAUGGUGUUGAGUGCAUAGUUCAUGUACUUAUAUGAUUAAUACGGAUUGAUAUUCCUCAACUCGAACACGCAAGAGAGCUGCAUACCCUUAUAUUUUAUUACUCUCGGCAUAGUGAUAAAUAAAAUGCAGUAUACAGUUUCCUGUUGAUGUUUGUAUAUUUGAUACAAAAAUCAUUAUUGACCAUAGAAUACAUUCAGAGGAUAUGCCUGUUAUGAUUUCUUGUGUAUAUUUUUUCAGUGAUAUGAUCAUGUUUCAAAUUAAUAAUGUUGCAUUUCAAAAUUUCCUUUCUGAAAUUGCCCUGUUAGGCCCAGCAUUAGGCUUUUAUGAAUUUCCUCACUAUUUUGUAGAAAUUAAACUGUUGUUCCCUCUUUUGGGUUGGCAAGUCUUAGUUCUCUUUCAAUGUUUCAGGGAUGGGGAUGUGCAUAUCGGUCUCUACAAACAAUUGUCUCUUGGUACAGAUUGCAACAAUAUUCAUCAAUAGAUGUUCCUUCUCACAGGUUUGUGCCUAUUUUCCUUAUUGACUUGAAUAACUAUAACUUGGUCAUAUUGACUGCGAACUGACCCUAGGAUUAUGGUCAGUUGAUAAUUCUGACCUUCUGGCAUUAGUAUAUCAAACAAUUAGAAAUGUGCAAUUCUAUCUACAUGUUGCAUAAAGAGGAGGAUGUGCUAAGUAAAUCAGUAUAUAGCCUUAUUACAAGACACCAUCUUGCAAUCUGCACCCAUUGAAAUUCAGAAAAUGAACGGGCGUGCAUUUCAAUAUGUCUCAAAAAAGCAUCACACAUGAAGGACCUAAUGGUGUUACCAACAAUGUGAAUCAAACAUUCCUUUCUACCAUUAUUUCGUUCCUUCGUUUUAUAAGGGACCAAGGGCAAUUUUUUUCAUGCCCAUUCCCAUAUGCUACAAAUGUUAGGCAUAGCAAACUGUCAUGCUGCAAUUUAUUUGUCAAUAUGGACGUGACCAUAUAAUGUAUAGUUUGAACAAAUGCUUUUAAGUAGAAACAUAGAGGAAUCUUGCAUUCUUGCCUGUUAUUGAAAUAUAUGAUGUCAGUUUGAUUCAUAUUGCUGUCCAACUCCAACAUUCCUAUUCAGGGAGAUUCAACAAGUUCUUGUUGAAAUUGGUGACAAGGAUUCAUCGUUUAUCGGAUCUUGUGAGUGGAUUGGAGCCAUUGAGCUAAGCUUUGUCCUCGACAAACUGCUGGGCGUGAGUUUUCACUAUUCUUUUCUUGAUUUUUUUCUCAAAAACAUGGGAGAGCUGCGCUUCAUUAUAUUAAGAAGAAAUAGGAAAGAACCCUUAGUACAACACACCCGCACACACACAUAUCGUUAUUUCAUAAGAUACAUUUAUGCCGGUUAAGAAUGAAAAAGCGACCCUGCACCUAGAACAAAUCAACUAACAGCUUGGGCAGGGGCAGUCAAGUGGGAUAGCCCAUGAGCCCCUGCUAUUGUCCACUGUUGACGCUCGUCACCGGUCAACUUAAGGUUUCAGCUAUGUAAGGAAUUGCUCCAUCAAAGACGCAGCUACUGCGAUGAUUCCAAAUUAUCCAUGCUCCCAGAACUAUUAGGGAGUUCAAACCUUUUUGUGUUAAACCAGAAGUUGCUGCACUUUCUCUUUCCCACCAAUCACCGAAUGAAGUGUCAGAUGGCUGUGGAGCUAGAGAGUGGAGACCGACCUGUCUCAAUAUAUAGUACCAAAAUUGCCUUGAAAAUACACAUUCAGUUAGGUGAUGAUUAAUGCUUUCUCAGCUUGAUCACAAAGUGGACUUCUCUGGAGGAGGCAGUCCUCUCGCGAGUUCGUGGGAAGCAUCGGGUGCAUGUGGUGGGGAGGGAAGAUGAAGUUUGUUUACUCAUGGCCGGUUCAUAAGCAUAUGGACUACUGUAGGCCUGACACAUGUGAACUGCUUUAAAAUUAGCACAUAGUGUAUACGGACACUCUGGUUGGUUUAUAUACCCCUUUUUGUACACAACAUUGUGGGUGCCCUUAAGCAGGACAAAUCCAGUCUUUUUUUCUGUGAGCUUCCUGAGCAUACCUGAGUGGGAGUGUAGCUACCAUUGUUCACUUCACAUCUUGUAUUAUUUAUGUCCGUACCGUACCACGUGCUUCCAUUUCUGCUUAGCAGAAACUGCAUCUUGCAGGUUAGUUGUAAGGUUAUCAAUGUGAGAUCUGGCGAUGAGCUUCCUGAAAAGUGCAGAGAACUUGCCAGGCAUUUUGACACCCAGGGAACUCCUGUGAUGAUUGGUAUGUGCUUUUGUCUAAAGGGUCUAAUAUUUAACGUGUUUGAUAUACAAUGUUAAGAUGGCUACAGUUGAUUCUGUGAAUAUUAUCUGACAUAGAAUUGGCAAAUCCAGGUGGUGGAGUCUUGGCUUACACCCUUAUCGGAGUUGAUUAUAACGAAGCCAGUGGAGACUGUGCAUUUCUUAUCCUUGAUCCGCACUACACUGGUACUGACGAUCUGAAAAAGAUUGUAAAUGGCGGGUGGUGCGGAUGGAAGAAGUCUGUCGACAGCAAAGGCCGAAGCUUCUUCUUAAAAGACAAGUUCUACAACCUCCUACUACCCCAAAGGCCAAACAUGGUGUGAAACCUAUGGUGUUCAAUAUGUUACUAGUGCAUGUUCUUGCAAUAGUCGGUGUUAUGUUAUUUUUUAAAAAAAGCCUCAUAGAUUGGAAGUCAUGAUUUGUAAAGUUGUUAAAUGAGACAUAUUUUUUUUAUAAAUAUGUAGUGAUUAGUAAAUUUGUAGCACCCUAAAACAUCAUUUUUUUUAAAAAAUAGUUUUGAUCUCAUUAUGCAAUUUUGUGUGCAUUAAAUAUAGGGGAUUUUUUUUAGCUAUAAAAUCAAAUAAAAAAAUAUGUUGACAACCAAAAUUAUUUAUUUUGUGAAGUUGUUAAGAUAGGACAUGGACCUUAUUACUGUUUCUCUCAUCGAGAUGGUAAAAACAUAUAUGAAAUGUUGUAAUUCAGAAUCCGGACGAUAGAGUUAUGUCUUUCAGAGGAUACUUCAGCAUCGGCGUUGGUACUACCGACAACUGGUGUAAGCCUAGGCAGCGGUAGCGUUGGUACUGCCGACAAUUGGUGUAAGCCUAGGCAACGGUAGUACUGAGAUGCUGGUGACAAUUGGCGCAAACUUGGAUGUCGGUACACCAACAGGCUGGCUUUUUGGAGCCUGAUCCAAAUUACUUCAGACUCAAAACUUAGAAAAAAAAUGUUUCCUACUUGGACAAGACUACUCUAUAUAUAUAAGAGGAUUAUGGCCGAUUGAGUAUUCAAACUUUCAAUCUUCAAAAAUCAAUUUAGUCUCUUUUACCCUCUUUCCUUAUACUUCUCAUUCUUUUGUGGGCGUUGAAUGGAGGUGGAUUGAUGAUGACGAAGCUCUAGAGCGGUCAGGCUAGCUAGAGCAGCCCAUAGUCGUCGCACACCCCAACGAGAUCCUCCCAGGCGUGUGGGAGUUUUUGGUCUUAAGAGACCUCGUUGGCAUGUAUUGCAUAUCGUGAUCUGGCAAGGCUUCUCUAGCGGACAUAUCUUGUGUAUCGCAUUCAUCGUUGAAAGCACGAGAUCCGGGUGCAAACAUCUCCUAGGCAUCGGCCAUCGGCUGACCUAAAAGUCGGCUAGGCCGUACAUGUACCGUGGCUUUAUGGCCGUGGCGGACGCGUUUGUCCGCUGCCGAAAAUGAGCGGUCUAGCGUCUUAUUGGUGUGGUGACCUAAUCAAGUGUCUACAAAUUAGAAAUUUGAAUGUGCAUACAUGCCGGUGCAUCUAUUUUUGUGACACUGUUUUUGGUUAAACAUCAAAACAUUAUUUGAGUUUGGGUUUGAAAACAAACAUGAUUUGAAUUUGGGUUCGAACACGGUUUCUAAAUAAAGGAAAAAAGAUUUCCUUUAAACUCUCCCCCUCUUUUCUUUCUGGCCCGAAGUGGCAAUCAGCCCAGGUCACCUUGGCCUCACCCGGUUCACUCCCUCGCUUCUUUUCAGAUAGCCCAGCCCAGGCCCGCAGCCCAGUAGCUAGGUCGCCUCGGCCAUCUCCAUUUCCAUCUCUGAAGCCCAGCUCGCCCUGUUCUGUGUUCCGAGGAGCCUGCUCAGCUCCAUUUCCAUUUGUGCACCAAGCCCAACUCCCUCCCUCAGCUCCCAUGCACUCAAGCGGACACCCCGUCCCCGUGUGCACUCUUUGCUAGCAGGAUGGCCUCGCUCGCGUCAUCGCGUGUGACCUUUUCUUUUUCCUCCCAUGGCCAAAAGCCCAAAACCGACUCCCUUAUGAGAAAAGCGUCAUCACCUCUCCACAUACCUGUGUUUUUCACCCUACGUGCCGCCUUUAGCCCUACUAGUGGCCGGGCCGGUUUCCAAGCUGGACAGGCUGGUUUUGCUGGGAGUUGCGCAUCUCUCUACAAUCUCGCUUCUUUCAUUGUGUUUUCGGCUGUUUCUAGAGGCGGCUUCUGUUUUCCGUCAUCUCUAGAAAUCGAUUUUUUUAAGGCAGAGGAGCAAAGGCAGCUAGGCCAACCGUUUCUAUACAGGCAUUCUAGCCGUCUCUAUAGUUGAUGAAAUCUGUAGUAGAGAAUGUGAAAAUGUUCUAUAGUUUUGGAACUGGAGGAAUAUAUAUAUAUAUAUGCUUAGUAGCCUACUUUACCUGCGCAAACCUAUUUUGUGGUUGGAUCACAGUAAGUUGAGAAAGAAAACAGUGUGUGGUGAACUUGAAGAACAUUACAAUUGUAUCACCGCAAUAUUUUCCUAUGUAUAUAGUUGCUUUAUAUUUUAUAUUUUUUUCUUUCACUAGUAAUAGAGAACCAACCAACUUUUAGUUUUUGGCGUCCGGUUCAGAUUGGACCCAGGACUAAUAAUAGAAUCAGUCCCGGUUGGAACUACCAACCGGAACUAGAUCCUGUGCCCAACAAAUAGUACACGAGGCUUUUUCAGCCAGACAUUUAGUCUCGACCUGUGGUUCAAACCGGGACUAAAGGUCUCAUUUCAGUCCCGCUUGGAACCACUAAACGUGACCAAAGGUCCCACUGCCCUUUUAAUCUGGGUUGUGGCUCCAACCGGACUAGAGAUUAACCCUUUAAUCCUGCUAGGCUCUACCAAUCGGGACUAAUAUCUCCACUAUAUAAACACUUCCACGGUCCCCCAAACCAAGGCAUCAGUUGAAUUUUUUGGUUUGUGCUGGUCCAUGUUCUUGUUGCUUGGGGGAGCAAGUUCUUGCUCCCAUUAUCUCUUGAGAAGAUUUUUAAUCUUUCAUCCAGUCAACUUUAUAAAAGUUAGCAACUUCAUCAACUAUUCUUUCAUUGCUAAUAAUGUAGAUCAUCAAUUCAUGGUUUAGUAAUAACAAAGAAGUAUGUGGUUUUAUUUAAAUUAGGAAUAAUAAUGGUAGAUUUUAUUUUUAUUUAUACAUCGUUUCUACAUAACCUUAAACAUUUGUAAUUUUCUAGAUUUUUGUUAGCAAUAUUAGUUCUUGAUGAGAGUUAAUAAUCAUUAAAAAAAUUAUGUGCCAACAAGUAGGGUGCAAAAAAAUGUUUAAGUUUACGUGGCAUAUAUAUAUAUAUAUAUACACACACACACACACUUUUUAUAUGUUACUCUAAUAUAUUACAUUGUAUAUUUAUAUGGGGGUUCUAUAGUUCUAUAUUUAUUGGGAUGUUUUUUAGUUUCAGCCACAGGAACUAGGUUUCUACCAUGGCGAUCUUCCAUUCGCGCCACCGCAAAAUAGGGCCGCUCCUCGUCACCCAGACCCAUCAAUAGUAUGGAAUAUGUUAAGUUUUGCAUGCUUAUAUAGUUUGCAUAUAUACUUUCAUUUAUAAUAGUGAUAUGCAUUUUGGUAUAUGAAAAAUAUUGACUUCAGUGACAUAUAUGAAUUUUGAUAUUUUGUAUAUAAAUAUAUACAAAUAUAUGAAUUUUGGUGUAUGAAUUUAUAUAUUGACUCAAGAAUAGAAAUUUUUAUAUAUUAACUUUAGUGAGAAUUGAUGGUUGGAUUCGAUGCAAGGUUGCCGGUUGUACCAUUCAAUCAUCCUAGCAUAGUAAGCAAAGAUAUAUAUGUUUUCAACAAAUUAAUAUGUUUUAAAUAUGCUUGUACACAAUAUCUUUUUUGAUAUGUAUAUAUAUAUGUGUUUUUUAAAUGCACUAUAGGUAAUUGAUCCAAUCAUUUGGCUUGAAGAGACACUCAAAUUUUAGGGUUGAGGGAGUGGAUGUUGAGAGCUUUGAUGUAGAUAAUGGUCAAUUGGUCCAAUGUCGAAUUGGAUUUUCCAUUGCUGAUAGGAAGGGUACAGGUGUUGUACAUAUCUAAGAGAUGGGAAUAAAUAAGGCACUUGAGAAGAAAAUUGCAACCAAAUAUGUUGUCAUUGCACGUUUGAAUAAGCUUGUGAAUAAUUGGUACACCCUCCGUACAAUAUCUUCCUUAACGAUACAAGCAAUAGAUGCAGACUGCUAUCAUGAUGUUGCAGGCUUCUGUGCAAGGAUUGCUCAAACCUAUCGAAAUGAUGUGUUUAAGUCGAAGAUGAACUCAUAGCUUAUAUCAGAUUUGUUAUUAUUGGAAAGCUUUGUUCUCAUAUUCAUUUUUUCAACCAACACUAACAGGUUGAGGACUAUGGCUUAACCUAUGCAGGUUGUAGCUUUGAAGCCCUUCUAAAUCAAACAAUGUAUGCAUUGUGUUAUGAUUGGAAAUAUGUUGAUGAAUAGCCAACACUCACUAUGGAAGGAUUUCAGGAAAAGCUGAUUAUGACUAAGACAGGAUCAUCUAACCCACCGACUUCUCGACCACUGCUAACCAUCAUUAGUAGACCCUAUGCUCAUACUUUGAAGCAAGGGAGAGUGCACUACUUAAUGUGUUGCUCUACAUCAAUGAUAUUUGUGGAUAUCACAUCAGCGACUUACACACUUCACCGAGUACACAAUACGACAUAGUCAAAUUUGGCGGUGAUCUACUUGCGCUUGCAUGAACUUUGGUGUGUAAUUGAACAUUGUUGAUGGUAAUUAACUCCAAUUUUCAACUCUCAACUAACAAAAGGAGUGAUCUAAAAUGACUUAUAAAAUAAGGUUAUAGGGGUUUAUUCUAACAAGUUUCACGAGUUGUGUUGUUCUUACUUGUCUUGCAGGAUAUUGAAUAUUUCACCAUACAAAAGUAUUUCAAGUGAAGAAUCUAAGUAUACCAUUGUGGAGAGCUCGUCGAGGUGAUCAAGAUGGACAUAUAAUUUGCCAUAUUUGGAGCACCGGAGACAAAGUCCUCGAUGGAUACGACGUGGAAGACUCUAAAAGACUCUAGAACCAUCAUCAAUUACAUGAACAGAGGCUAAACCGAUAAGAUUUCAUAGCUCUGCGAAAUAAUCUUUUUUAGGGAUUUAUCUAGAAGCUGGGGAAGAAAAAAAUCAAUCCACGACAUGACUCAUUGUGCAAACGAUUGGAAAGAGGCACUAGAAGGAUGUAGAAGACACUAGAAGACACGGGAACAAAGCGGAAGACCGAAGGCCACCAGGUGGGGCCGACCGGCCCCACAUGCCAAGCUGACCGUCCUGUCCCCCUGCCAGUUGGACUCUCCUUCGCGUGAUGGCCUCCAACUGACCUCUACGACACAUCUUGACCCUUGUUCUAUUUCGGUUUGAUCUAAGGGUUGCGGUUCAUCCCACCAGACUAUAUAAGCAGAGCCAUACCCCCCUGAGGCAUUGAUCAAUCAAUCCAUCAUAAUUCAUCAUAGAUAAUCAGUCAAUCAUAUCCCACUGUUUAGAGCUCCACCAACUUGGGCAUAGCUGUUGGGCAUUCUUAACGUCAUUACCAAAAGUAGACUUAGUUUUCUAUUUCUGAUAACGGCGCCAAAAAUACCGAACCUAUCCCUCAUGCUACUUAAGCCAAGUUGUCAUCCACAGCAUGACAUAAGAGACGCGGUAUUGAAAUAUGCAAUUGCUCAUCUAGAUAAAUAAUAAAUGGGAUCUGCAAGCGCACAGAUUAAUACCGAUGUAGCAUUUUAACCGGGAAGUAUUCUAGGUGUCAUUAUUUAUAUUUUUACCACUGAGAAGGGAUUACUAAUAAUGAUGGAAUGAAAUAUAGAACUGAGUAUCAUUGCAUGUGUUAGAGAGUAUUCAUCUAUCUCAUCAAUACAGGGUAAGUGUCACAUAAAAUAUAGAUAAAAUAUGAAUGAUGACAAAGAUAACUAUUCUGAUCAACAUAACUAGCCACAUAUGAUAAUGAUAAGCACCUCAACAGAUAUUCUAGCAAGUCAUUAGCAUGGAAUUAGAAUGAACUACAAGAAUAUUUCCUAAGUUAUUCUUAACUAUAAAGUCUAGUAUAUCAUAGUUAGUGCAAUUAUACUUGGCAAUCAUUGCGAGACAAGAUUACGCCCAUGCAUAUCAAAGAAGAUGAGAAACAUAGCAAUCACUCCCCUGUAAUAAUGUUGCUCUGCCUGCCCUAUACACGGGAGGGGAACUAUAUAAGAAUCAACGGAGCUGUCAUCACCAUGAACCACCCCACUAUCCGGCAUAUAGGGUACAAUUGCAGAUAAAUACGGUAUAUGCACCACGCCUACACAAUACUUAUCAUUUAUCCACUGUACACAUGGAUAAACGAUAUACGAUCCUAAUCAUGUAUAUAAUUCUAAUCUAACUAAGCCAAGCAUAUAACCAUGAUAAACUAAGAACGAUAUAAUCGCAAAUAUAAACAAGUCACUACAGGAAACUAUAAUUGCCUUGGCGGCCUCAAUUUCCUUGGGGGCCAAAAACAAACCGCCAAGGAAAUGACAGUUUCCUUGGCGGUCCUACUCCACACUGAAGAAAACAUAUAUUUCUUGCAGGUUUAAGUAAACCACCAAGGAAUAUGGGUGUUUCUUUGGCUGUUUCCAACCACCUCCAAGGAAAUGAGUGUUAUUCUCAACCGCCAAGGGAAAUACUCAUUUCCUUGGCUAUUUUUCUAAACCGUCAAGUAAACUAUCAUUUCCUUGAGGGUUAUUGAAUUUCCUUGGAGGUUGGCACCCAAGAAAAUGCUUAUAAGUAUUUUGGUGACUUCGACUGAAAAAGCAAUAAUAUCUUAAAGGUGUCCAAAAAUCAUAAAAUUUGGCUUGAGAUCAUAAUAUGGUUGUAUUAUCUUACCAUAAAUUUUUCAAAUCAUAUUAACAAUGCAAAGUGCAACUUUGUUUAAAAUUUUCACAAAUGGAUACAUCUCUCGCUUAACAGUCAUAAUCAAUAUAUUAAAAUAGAGCAAAGUCAUAUUCAUAAUAUUGAAGAACAAUGAUGAACAAAUGAAGAACAAUAGAGGAAUUACCAAGAAUCCUCUUGAUAGAUCCGGAAACCAAUCGAAGAUUGACUCCUUCUAGUUCUAAUCCUAUGUAGCUAUGCUAAACUAGAGAUCUAGUUGAUGUGGUGGCUCUAGGGCUUGAUCACAGGCUCUUCUCCUUAGAUGAAUGAAAGAAUUAGGGUUUGAAAGAGCUGCCCUCCUCCAGGGGCCAGGGGCCUUGCUUAUAUAGCCCUCCCAAAUGAACGUGGGCCGUCGGAUCAAACCGACCUUAAUCACACAGUUUUCCUUGAUCCCUUUGGUUGGUGGAGCAUGAUCUGUGAGGCAGAGCCUCAUUGGCUCUCAGGCCAGGGCGGGCGCCCUGCCCCCGGGCCCCCUCGGCCACCCGCUCGUUCCCGUGGCUUCUAGAGUCUUCUAGAUGAUAGAAAAUUGCCGCACACGUUAAUAUCUCUAUGUAAACCCGAUGUGUGAGCUUUUCCUCCAUAUUUCCUAAUACCCCCCUCUAGAAAUAGACAAACACCAAAACUCGUGGAAUUCUGUCAGAUAAAACCCUAAGUCUAGGUGUUGGUUGCAUUUAGAUGCUUUUCCUUGUUUAUUUGAUAGUUAAAUUUGGUAUUUAACGACCAUCAACAAUAGCUAGAAACUUGAGAAUAGAAAUUAGAGGAGUCAAGCAACGCUUGGAUUCCAGAUCUAGUCGUGAGGAGGCUAGGUAAAGCCUUGUACUUCUCUCUUGAUUCAAUAUUGUUAUCUAUUUGAGUUUGUCUUCUAGUUCAUUGUGUUUACCUUCUAGUUCAUCUUUUGUUCUUCUAGUUCAUCAAUUAGAUCAUCUAGUUUAUUUUGUUCUUGUUCUAGUUCAUCUAGUUCAUCGUCUAGUUCAUCAUGUUCUUGUCUAGUUCAUGUUUCCGUCUAGUUCUUAUUAUAGCUCGUGUUUGAGUUGAAUACUUGGUAUGACUUGGUAUAAUCAUAUAUUCAUAAUAAUAAUUUUCAUUGCCUACUUUGAUUAUAUGUUUAGUAUAGUUAGCUUAGCUUUGUGUUUAUGCCCUUGUUCGUAUAGCUCUUACCCUUUGAAUUCAGGGGUAGGUGAUAGAAGUUGCGUAAGCGUGGUGCUUAGACAUUGCCUAUCUGCGAAUGCACCCUAUGUUCUGGGUCAUGUGUUAGAUCGCGAAGGUGACAGUUUCGCUGAGUCCUAUGUAGUCCACUCCCCAAUGUAGGACUAGUAAGGCUGAGUUGUGGGUUGAUGUCUUGUUAUGUUCCUGACCCACCUUAGCAAUGUCUCUUGUGUAUAGAUACAAGUUAAGUCUGAUCAUGAUUACUAAAUGUAAUUGCACUAAUUCAUGUAGCUCAAUGACCUAUAGUUAGAAUAACCCUAGGAGUUAGUCUCUAUUUUCUAGUUCUUUCUAGAAUCACGCCCAAGUAGGAAAAUGCUCGGCGGAACCCCUUUGGGAUUAUGUUGAUCUAUUAUUAAUUAUCUUUUAUUUAUGAUUGAUCCCUAUUUUAAGUAUUGAUCUAGUGGAGCUCUUAUCACAAGUGUAAGAUAUAGCUUUUAUACCUCUAAGUGUCUUCCCAUGAUAAAAUUAUAAAUAUCGAUACCUGAAGCUUUUCUGGGUGAAAUGCUACAACGGGUGUAUUUUAUCUGUGCGCUUGUGGCUUACAUUGCGCUUGUGGUAAAAUUAUAAAUAUCGAUACCUGAAUUUAGUUAUAGAAGAAAAGAAAAAAAGUAAAAAGUAAAAUUUAAUUCGGUUAACUAGAGGUAAUGUUUUCCUAAACGCUAAACGGUAAACAGUCGAUGACGUUUAGCCAUUACUCGGUCUAAAUAGUCAAUUAAACAGGCUAAACAUUCAAUUAAGCAGGCUAAACAAAUGAUUAAAUGGAAACAGUGUACCACUGUUUAGCGUUUAAACAGUCUAAACGGCUAUUUAGGCGAACAGUGACGGGAGGUGGCCACCCUCGGGCUCGCCCUCAAGCUCCCGGCUCUCUUCCUUUUAGUCUAGGUUGGUUUAAGUAGCCGAGACCACCCCAUUUAAUCCCAAUUGGCUACCUGGGAAUAGAAGACGUGCCUUUAGUCCCAGAUUUGCAAUCCUGAUUGAAAAAGCGGAACUAGAGGGGUUUCUCAACCGGAACUGCUACCUAGUCAUGCACUAGUAUUUCUUCCAUAUGUGUUUGCCGUUGUUUGUUCAUGGCUAGCUGUUCGCAAGUCGCCACGUUACAAUGCAACACACACAGGACGUCAGACACGAUUUAGUGGUCACGGUGUUUCUUCGGAUUUCGCACGAUCCGACCAUGAUAUGUUGUUAGCGUGACGCGCAAGGGACACCCUAGCAGAGGAACGCCGCAUACAUUCAGGCACGAGUCAUGCGUACCGACGCGACGCCGCCGCCGGCCUCAUCUUCCACGCAGGCAACAACCGGCCGUCCCGUCCGCCACGUACAAGGGCACACCGACUCCUGCAGCAUGCUUAUCGGCAGCUAGCGAGUAGGGAUGAAAACGAUACGGGCCGACCAUAUUCGAGACCGAAUUCGUUUAAAGCGGUUCAGAUUUGUCCGUAUUCGAGUCCCGAAUAUUGAACAUCCGAUACCGUAUCCGUAUCCGAAUACUUAAAUCGUAUAUUUAUGAUGUCAACAUCCAAUCGUAUCUUAUCCGACAUGAUUAACAUUAUCUGUAUUCGAAUUUGAAUCUGACCAAAAAUAUGAAAACAAAUAUGAUAUCAGUAAUAUCAGUUCCUAUCUGUUUUCAUCGCUACUAGCUAGCAUAAAAGCUAGGGCCUGCCCCCGUGGAAAGAUAGCGAUGGCGCAGCGGCAGCAGCGUAUAUAGCGCCUUCAGAGAGGAGAGAUACCUGCCGGUCCAUGCAGUGGAGUGCGAGUGAAGAUACGUGCCACCAACCGCCUAAUUGCUAGUAAUUGCUAAUUGCGUUUAGAAUUAGACCCUGUCCGGCCGUUAGUUAUUAUCCAUGCUAAUAGUAACAUGGAACGGCCUCGACGACGUCGGUGCCCUACACUGAUUUGAUUGGUGUGAAGCCGAGUGGUUAACCAACGAACGCGCAACUAACGCAAUAAUUUGGCAGAGAUUAGCGACCAUCAUCAUCAUCACUCAGUGGCGGUCACACUUUUGCCUGAUUCCGCCUUUUUUUUUUUGCUUUGCCAACAAUCCGCACCAGUUCCCAGUUGAAUGAGCGCGGCGCGUUUCCACCGUGAGAUUGGCAUAUAUCGUUACGCGUUUGCUUCUUAAUUUAUCCGUAGCCUGAAUAUAGACUAUGGGCAAGGCACCAGCGGAGACGCUUCUUCGGAUCUUUCUGGAGAAAAUUAAAGAACGUCCACCGACAAAGCAAAUCAACCAUACAUACCACCAGCUGCAUCCUGGUAUAUAUCCAUCACCUUUGUUAGAUAGAUUUUUUUUUUUAUAAUGAAAAUAGCUAUAUACUUCCUCUACCAACAAAAGAAUAUAAUUCUCACUUUUUGAAGAGUCAAGUAAUUUGAAAUUUAUCUAAAGUUACAUAAAAGUACUCACUUUAUUUAAUUAAAAAAUAAGUAAAAUUAAAUUAAUUAUGAAAUAUAUAUUUGUAUUAAAUCUAGCUGGAGAAUAUGUACUAUAAAAUCGAUUAAAACUAGGCUAGUUUGUCUUACAAAAAUUUCAUAGUUACAUCUUUUAUAGACAGAAGUACCUUUUUUUUUCAUGGUAACACCUCUCUUCUCCCUCCCUCACUAGCUAUAUAUAGUUACUAGAUAUAUGCCCUUGCGUUACACCAGGACAAUGGUUUAACCUUAGGCCAGUCUUAGUACAUGUUUCAUAAGAGUGUCAUACACAUUAAAUAGUGUGCCACAUAAGCAAAAUUGCUGACUUGGCAGAGUCAUUAAAUGAUGGAGUUUCUCAUAUGAGAGAGGAGUUUCAUCCCCAUGAAACUCAUAUGGCUCGGUUACCUAGUUUAUAAUCUUGGUAAUUGUGCCAUGAAACUAUGCAUUGAGACUGGCCUUAGUACUCGGACACAUACACGUUUCUCAAGGACUUCAUUGUAUUGGAAACGGGUAGGAUGUGAAUACACGAGCUCUGAGUGGAGGAUGAUUCGUAUCAGACGCAGAUAUUUAAGUAGGAUCGAGAUUUGGUAUCACCGGUAGAUAAUGACUUUAGAUUCUUUUUAUAUAGGUGUAGAAAUUUGUAUGUUUACUAGACAUAUGCUCGUGCGUUGCACCGGGAUCAAUUUUUUUGACUAAACCUCCUUACUCAGACAUAGACACGUGAGCUCCGAGAACUUCAUAUUAGAGGUGGACGCGUAGAUCCCGUCUCCGUAUUGGAACAGGGGUAGGGUGCGGACGUGUGAGCUCCUAGUGAAGGAUGAUUCAUAUAAAAAGAUAUGUGAGCAGUAUCGAGAUUUGAUAUCAUCAGGCGAUAGCUGAUUACAUUAGAACCUUUUCAAGUGUAGAGAUAGAGAAGAGAUACGUGGAUUGACAUUUGUAUCACCAAGUAGAUGAUUACUUUAAAAUUUUUAAGUGUAGAGAUAGAGACAAGAGUUAUUAUCAGGUCUUAUGUAAAAGGACUAGGGGAUACAAAUAACGUGAUAAAUUUUAAGACGGAUUGUAUGUAAGCGAUAAAUACGCUGUGCGACGAUCAUAGGCAUCAUCACCUAAUUUGUACAGGUCCCACAAUAAUCUAAGUGUUUCUUAGGACACCGCACCAAACUCCCCCAAUUCGUCAAUACACGUAUGAACCCUAGCUAGCUAGAUAUCAUUGCAGCUUCUGUUCAUGUGCUGGCCGUCCCAAAACGAUCCCAACGGCCGAACCUUCGCCGCCCGCCCACCCGACAAAGCAAAAGAAAUUAUGUGCCCCACGCCACGCAUCAACAACAACAAGACGUCGGCCGUCCUUUGCUCUGUCGUCCCCAGCACCACCACCACCAGGGCAGCAGGGGCGCAGCAAACCACGCACCAGAGGGCCGGCCACCAGUAUAAAGCCGGCACCACCUGUCCGUGCAUCGCCGCACAGCAGAGCAGCACACCACCACCCAACUCCACUGAACAACACGACCAUUCUUCAUUUUCCAGGAAGCUCUAGAGCGCAGGUGCAGAGUGCUGUGCAGACACCAUGGCGCGGCGGUCUCUGGCCCUUCUGCUCGCGUCGUCGCUGGCCCUCGUGAUGAUGGCGGCCGUCGCGUCGGCGGACUCGUGGCUCUACGAGAAGUUCAGCACGGACGGCACCGUCCGCACCAACUACGACGAGUCCGGCGCGCAGGUGGCGAUGCUCAACCUCGACCGCAGCUCCGGCGCCGGCUUCAACUCCAAGGAGCAGUACCUCUACGGCCAGUUCAGCGUCCAGAUGAAGCUCAUCCCCGGCAACUCCGCCGGCACCGUCUCCUGCUUCUACGUACGUCGUCGUUCCUCGUUCGUUCGUUGAUAGCCUCGAUCAAUCUUGACCUGAAUCAUAUCUAUCUAUCACUGACAGUGACAGAUCGAUGUUCCCGUACUAGCUCUACACAUAUACCUGGGUUAUCUUAUCUAUCUACUACUACUGCAUUAAUUCAUGCAGCUUUCUUCUGGCGACGGCGACGGGCAUGACGAGAUCGACAUGGAGUUCAUGGGCAACGCCACGGGGCAGCCGGUGGUGCUCAACACAAACGUGUGGGCCAACGGCGACGGCAAGAAGGAGCACCAGUUCGACCUGUGGUUCGACCCGGCCGCCGACUACCACACCUACACCAUCAUCUGGAACCCGACCAACAUCCUCUUCAAGGUGGACGACAACGUGAUCCGCGUCUUCAAGCGCUACGCCGACCUGGCCUACCCGAGCUCCAAGCCCAUGACGCUGCACGCCACGCUGUGGGACGGCAGCUACUGGGCCACCGAGAAGGGCAAGGUGCCCAUCGACUGGUCCGGCGCGCCCUUCGUCGUCUCCUACAAAGGCUACUCCGCCGACGCCUGCGUCAGCGGCGGCGCCUGCGCCGCCGGCAGCGGCGCGUGGAUGAACAAGCAGCCUGACAGCGCCGAGUGGGGCACCGUCAAGUGGGCCGAGAGCAACUACAUGCGCUACAACUACUGCGACGACGGCUGGAGGUUCCCGCAGGGGCUGCCGGCGGAGUGCAGCCGCAGCUGAUUCAAUUCGAUCGUUCGCCGGCGUCUCCCAUCCUUUCAGACUCAGUUCAGGCGUCCAUUAUUGCCAAAGUUCUUGAUUUAUUUUUGCUGGAUAUAUAUAUAUAUCUAUGAUUCUUGUUCUGUUGUUGUGAAUUUUUGUCAUUGAAAAGCAGCCCCGCAGCAACGCGAGGGCGGGAAUAUAUUACUGUAGUUUUGCUUGUGUAAAGAAAAGAAGCUUUGUUUCUACUUUUUGGAUAAAGGAAUAAAAUACUUGUGACAUGCAUAUAUAAACAUGAUAAUAAAAACCUAAAUCUGCGUCAGUUCAAAAUAUAGAGACAUGUUAUAUUUGCAGAUUUAUGUGACCUGUGUUACACUAACAUAUAUAUAACAUAUAUAUCUAUAUUCAUAUAUCUAGGAAAACAAGGAUGUGGUUCUUAUUCUUGAAGCAUUUUUUAAUUGUUUGUGUCAAAUGCAGCAAUCUGCUAGCGUAAAUGGUGGGCACAGCUCUAACCUGUUUGUUUGAGCAAAAUGGAGGGCACAACACCGAAUCUGUUAGCGUAAAUGAGUGCAAUGGAUGCUGUGCGUACAAGCAGUGUACUUCCAUAUUCUUGCGUCCAAUCAAUUCAGAUACACAUUUAAAUCUGCAUGUUUGGAAAGACGCAACAAUUAACAUUCUUGCUGUAUUAAGCGCGUAGUACUACUCGAAUGUGCAAAGUGCAAACUCCAAUCAUUUGGCGUUCAUACAUAUACAGUAUCAAUUAAUCUGCUCCGGGCAUUACAGGAUGUACUUUUGUGCUGUCCAUCAAUAGUAGCAGUUGGGGAUACGACUGAUCGGUGGCGUGAUAGUAUGGUCUGGAUGGGAGUAGGAGUAGUGGUGGUUGCAGUGCAUGACAUCCUCGUCAGUCUGUUCUUCCACUAAAAUCCUGGCACUUCGUUCGUUACAAGGGAAUUAUUGGCGCUUUUGCUAAAGUCCGACGAGACAGUGGACCAGCGAGAAUGCUGCUGCUUUCUGCACGCGGGAUCUACGUGUGCUAUUUUUUUUAUUAUGCAUUAUAUUCUCUCCGUCUUUAAAAAAAAAUACAAUUAUAAGAACUGUGUUGAUCAAAUUAGUUAAAAUUUAGCUAAAUUUAUAGUCACAUUAUUAACAUUUAUGUCUCUAUAAACAAAUUUAUUAUAAAAUAUAUUUUUACUAAUCUAAUAAUAAUUAUUUGUAUAAAAAUGUUUAUUACUUACUUUUUAUAUAACUAUAGUUAAAGUAUAAACUGUUUAAUUCCUCAAACAGUGAGAGUUGUGGAUGGAGGGGCCCUGUUUGGUUAGACAUGUUAAACUUUACCGUCUAUCAUAUCGAAUGUUUAUAUACAUGUAUAAAAUAUUAAACAUAGAGUAUUUACAAAACUAAAAACACACAUGUAGAGAAUAAUUUGUAAGACAAAUCUUUAAAGUUUAAUAAUUAAUCUAUAAUUGAAUACUAAUUACCAAAUAAAAUAAAAAUACUACUACAAGAAAUGGUGCUUUACAUGACGAUCGUUUUGGUCAUAAAUAGUCAAAAGCAUGUCACGAUUAACUUACCAUGACGAUCAAAAAAUCAAUCACGUAUCUCACGUUAUACAUUUGCUGGACCUACUAAAAGUCGUCACCGAUUGACAUUUUAUAUCGUCAUUGAAUACAAGGUUAGCAACAAUAGCCAAAGCCAAUAGUGAUGAACUCAAACGUCAUGAAUUUGUUCCACGUCAGCAUUUGCCACAUCAUUCGAUGAUGAUGGAUCUGACAUGGCAGCUACAUCGCCAUGUCAGCACCAAGUAUACAACCAGCCCAAUAUGGAGAAGGCCCACAUUAGCACCAGGCAUACAACCAGCCCAAUAUGGAGAAGGCCCAGUUGUUCUUCAUAAUGUUUGUCCAUUAGGCCCAUGUUGGCUGAUUUUUUCUAAUAGGCCCAUACUAUUGGGCUAACCACUUGCAACAUAUUGGCCCAUUAUUUAAAUUCAAAUUUUUGCCAUAAAUAUUAAAUUCAAAUUUAAAUUUAAAUUUUUGCUAAAAAAUAUUCAAAUUCAAAUUUAAAUUAACCCAAACAAAUCAUCACAGAUAGUCACUGAUGGUCACAGAGUGACUGAAUGAAUGGUCACAAAUAACAUCACACAUAUAUUGAAAUGUAGCACGACACACAUAUAUAUUAUAUAUAGAGAGAGACGUCCCAGCUCACAGAUACAAAGAAAUAUACAUCUUAGAUCAUCACAGAUCACUUACAUUUAAAGAUAGCCACACCAAAUGGCAUAAGUUCAAACAAAAGCAUUAAAACGCAAGUAGCUACAGCACUACUUGCUACAAAAUCAGUCACUACAGAGGCCAACAUUGCACAAGUUGAUACCAGUUCACAAAAGCUAAGGCACCACACAAGCCGGGCCUUGCAUAACAGACCAACCCAUACAUUCGAACUCAAGUGAGAGUGCUGCAACCGGUACGCCACACACAACUUUACCUUGGUGGAAUCAUAGACAACAGACCCUUGAUCAGUAUGUCUGUCUCAGCUUGCUUUUUCUUAAACUCCUCCUCCUGUUUAGCCCUUGCUGUUUCAGCAUCCUGAAACUUCUUCAUCAUGUCAUCCAUCUGCAGUUGCUGGGUCUUCAUAAUCUCCCUAAGAUCAUUUGAGGUUUGUUUCUCCACCACUAGUUCAGCUUGUAACUCACACUUACUUGCAUUAUCCUCACUAGCAGAUGAUGUUUUCAGCCCCACAUUUACCAAAAAACUAUUCUUCUUAGUCUUCUGAACGAGAACCUCUGAGACAACAUCACCCACAUCCUUUGGUUCCUCAUCAUCUACCGAAGCAUUUAUCUUCUCCUCUAUUUCAACCUAGCAAUGGAUGGAAUACAUAGAUAAAUGAUCAUCACAAUAUAUAUGGACCUAAUGUAUCAUUUCAUUGUGCACUAAUUUUGACUUUACUUACAAUGGCAGAUUGAACUGCAGGAGUGAACCCUUUCUUUUUGCUGUAGUGCAAGUCUUUAAAUAUAUCCAGUGCAUUUGGUGGUUCAUUUUGAUACUUGUUUGCCUGACAAUGAAUUUAAAACAGCAAGAUUUAAGCAGCUUGUUUACAAGCAAUCAAGUCUGCUAUACAGACCAAUCAAGUAGUAAGACUUAGCCAAGUUCCAGUUAAUUACAUGGGAUGUAACAGCAGGAUCAUUCCAUUUGUAACAUAGGUAACAAGCAGAAAAGUAAACUAAUUGACAUGGGAUGCAAUAGCUAGACAAAUUUUAAGCAGUUUGUUUACAAGCAAUCAAGUCUGUUGUACAGACCAAUCAAGUAGUAAGACUUAGCCAAGUUUCGAUUAAUUGUACUCACCGAAUUGAUCAGCUCCAUUUCAUAGCUGCGAGAACCAGUUGUCUGGUGAAACUGCACUUUGCUUCUAUUGUCUUUGUUUUUCUCACAAGUCAGCUGCACCAACAAAGUUGUAAAGUUUGGCUUAUAUGAGAUCAACAUCAGAUUUUGCUCAGUGGCAUGAACUUACUAUUUUUUUCUCAUUUUCCAGUGUUCGACAAGUGCAUCCCAUUGGUCAUCACUCAUAAAUGAUAUAGGAGAUUUCUUGGGCACCUGAUGUAGUGGAAAGCAUCAAAAUACGUCUUUUUUGGCUUAUAGCACCGCUGAUGAACAACUUUCUUCAGCAUAGCCACACAUGCUUUUUGCACAUGAAUUGAAGUUUUCUCCAUGUCAAACUUGGACUGCAUUUAACAACAUUAUCAAUAGUUAAUAUUCAAUAGACAAUUUAAUGGUUGAAAAUCUCUAAUCCUAAAAAAACAGUAACAAGGAGUUAGUAGGCAUCCUCUUGUCGGUAACAAGGGGGUCAAAAUGCUAAUGGUUGUGCAACUAAACAAUCCAUAUAACUACUUUAGAAUAUUCAAAUUUCUGUCUUGCUUCUUUGGAUAUAGUCUGUUGCCUUGCCUCUGCAUCAUAGGAUAAGAAUACAGAUAUUGAAAUAACAAUAAUAGUUGGUUCUUUUAUACUCCAAGGAUCAAUCGUGCACCUAAAGAACACAACAUCCCAAUAAAGGACAGUUCGGUUAUUCUGCAUUAUUUCCAAAGAGAACUAUAAAACUAUAUAAGGUUUGCAGCUGUUAUCUAUCUGUCCAUCUGUAGUUUGUGAUAGACCAUGGUCCAUGGAUUAUGAACUCUAAAUAUUUUUUUUUCUGUAUAUACACCUUCUUAACCCUGUUUAAUGCUAAUUCAAUGCAUGGUGUUGGCUUGUGGUGUACAAAUUUAGUGCCCCUGAGUGAAAGAGGGCCUCUGAAUAUGCAGCCCAAGCUGAGAAAAAGAAAUCUAGAAAGGCAUGAAAUAAACAAACAGUAGAGGCUAUUGCUUAUGACAUAGAAAGAACCUCAAAGGUUGAGAAGGAACCUUCACUGAAUAUCUCAGUUGCAUGAGUUUUCCUAGGUAAUUUGCUUUGCUGCUAUGCUCUAUACUACUAACAUGUAAUUUCAGUGUGAUAACUACAUAUGCCUUUCUAGCAAACCUUAAAUGUGUCAUUUUGGCCAUGUUUCUGUGCUUCUAUGGGUCUAACCGUAUCUUUUUUUUGUUUUAGGUGAUGCCCAUGCCCCUGUAGAGGGCGUGCUGUAUUGUUGGUGAGGAAGACCGUGAUAUCGUGGUGGCAAAGAUGCACUGCCUGAUGUUCCAUUAAUCAAUGCUCUAAGUAAUUAACAACUCACUUUUUUUCCUCAAAUACAGAUCUGUGAUAACAGUGCACUCUAAAGAAGCUCCUCUUUCUUUUAUUUGUGAUAAUAUAUUGCUGAAGUUAAGAGGGCACAUAAUUCCCUACUAUUCACCCCUACUUUUAUUUGUGUUGAACUGCAUUGAAAAUUUAAAAGAUCUUGUGGCAACACACAGCCAUAUAUACACUAAAAUUCUCUUAAAAAGAUAGACAAAAGUAAAAAACGAUCAAGUGGCUCUUAUUCCAGGAAUACUAGGCAUGGCUAACCAAUGUCCACUUUAUGCUAUUAAGGUACGUGUCUAAACUUGAGCAGAAAAAAAUUUGAAACUAAACAUCCAUUAUAAGAUAUAUUCAGUAAUUGAGACGUUUCCCAUUUCAUUGUGUACAACACAACAGAAAGAAAGAAAUAGAAUAGAUGUCCAGAAAGCAGUGUAAUGGUUGGUUUUGUGGUGUUUUAGUCCAGUGGUGAAUAGCAUAUCCUCCCUAAUCUCUAAGCUUCUUUUAUUCAACACUUCCAUACUUUCAUUAACUUGCUAUACAUAGACAUCUGUAAAUAUAUAAACUUUCAGCUCAGAUAACUAGACAGACUAGUAAAAACAAUAUCGUAAAUCAACUAUAAAUUGGUCAAAAAGUUGACUGGUUGGUCUCCACUUGGUUCCUACUCUCUCCAUUCCAAAUGGUCAAAUGUGUAACAUAUUCAGAUAAAAUCAUUUGCUCUCCCUAUACAAUAUCAACCUUCACAUAUAUACAUGAUGCUGUUAAGAAAAUUUGAUGGUAAUUGUAUAUCAGCUUCAUUAUUAGCAUUUAGUUGAUUUUUCUUAUUAAGAAGAGCAAUCUCAGCAGCAUGAACAACAAAGCCAGCCUCAUCAUCUCGGCUUAAAGGCAUGUCAGAUACUUCUGGUCUCCUCCCAAGGUCCACAACACAUGUUUGCUCUUGAUAGGGUGCAGCAGUGGAUGCAACACCAUCUAUUUGAGACACAUUAUACAAAUGGCGAUGAUUAAACCUUUGAACAAUCCGCCAAUUCUUUCCAUGCUUAUUAUCUGGCAAAUAGAAUACUUGUGUCGCUUGAGUUGCCAAAAUAAAACUAUCCUUUUUGCACCACAAGUUGCUAAUAUUGAUACUCUUAUAGAACUCAUCAUCUUUUAAUGAGGUAUGCUUACCAUCUAAUUUGUACCAGUCACAUCUAAAAACUACAACUGAUCGUUUUGUACCAUCAUCCUUGUCAGUGUACAGAAACUCAAUAAUCUCUUUAGGUGUGCCAUAAUAAUCAAUUAUUCCAUUUCUAUAUGCACCUGUACAGGUCAACCUGGAGUUUUGUGUCGUCUUGUUUUUGUCACGCUCGGCGGUGUUGAACCGAACACCAUUGACAACACAAGUGGAGUAUGAUCUUACUCUAAUGUCAGGGCCACAAGCUAAGGCAAGUAAAUCAUCAUCAACCACGUCUGUUGCAUUCAACCUCCACAUCUACAAUGGGAAAUGUCUCAGCGCCUAAUUAUAAUUACUAAAACAUUACAGAAAUACUAGGAUACUAUUAAGAGACUAACAUGAUUCCUGAACCAAUGCACAAAGCCAUUCUCUGUCCUUCUUUCAAGAUCUGCAGCAGCCACCCCUGAUGUUGUUAAGUCAUCUUGAAACUUUCUGUAACUAAAAAAAAAAUCAGUAAGUGACUAAUCUGAAAAAAAUGAUUAUAACAUACAUAGAUAGAGAUUUUGGAACAUACUUUAUUAAUUUCUCGGCCUGAUCACAAUUGUUGAGAACAUACCAAACCAGCUGAUCAAUUUCCUCAGAGUACGAAUAAUCAUAUGCGCUUAUAAGAUUAACACCGUGCCCAAAAACAUCAACAAUAUAUGCUGACUGAUCUGAAAAUCCAACAUUUCUUGGAAGCCGAUUAAACCUUGUCUCCACAUCUUCCAUAUAUCUAGAGCAAAAUGUGAGGGCUUCAUCUACCACAUAAGCCUCUGCAAUUGAGCCUUCUGGACAUGCCUUGUUCCUAAGACUUCUUCAGAGUAUACAAACGAUGUUCAAUUGGGUACAUCCAACCAAAUUGUACAGGUCCCCGAAGGAUGGCCUCAUCAGGCAAAUGGACAGCAAGGUGAACCAUAACAUCAAAAAAGGAGGGGGGAAUAUCUUCUCAAGCUUGCACAAUAUGAUAGGUAUUUCUGUCUUCAUUCGAGCCAACAAAUCUGUGUUCAGUCUUUGGCUGCACAAUUCCCUGAAAAAUUUGCCAAACUCAGCAAUUGUUUGAUAGACAUCAUCGUCCAAUAACCCUCUUACCACAGCAGGUAUAAUCCUUUGCAACAGAAUGUGACAGUCAUGAGUUUUUAGGCCUUGCCACUUGAUUGCAUCAGCAGUUAAGCACUUUUGUAUAUUUGAAGCAUACCCGUCUGGAAACUUGGCAUCCUUCAAGAAAUUAAGAAAUUGAGUCUUCAUUGACUGGGACAACGUAUAUCGAGCUUUAGGCAUGUCAUAGUCAUCAUCUCCCUUAUGCUGCAAUUGCAACUCCUUCCUAAUUUUCAGAUCAGCAAGAUCUAACCUUGCAUUAGUUGUAUCUUUUGACUUCCCUUUGAUGUCAAGAAUGGUACCAAGCAGACUUUCACAUACAUUUUUUUCAAUGUGCAUCACAUCAAGAUUGUGUCUGAGCUUUAGAGAUGACCAAUAUGGUACGUCCCACAAACAAACCCUUCUACCCCAAAUUGGUACACGAUUCCCAGAACGCUUCCUUUUCUGUCCAACUCUAACAUCUCUAACCUUUUCUAAUUCUUCUAGCAACUCUUCUCUAGUGAAAGUACCUGGCUUUGCACUAGUACCAUGGAGAGACUCAAAAUCAUUGGCCUUGCGCAAAUGAUGACCUCUUGGAAGGAAACGACAGUGCCCAAUAUAGCAUAUCUUGCUCCUGGCAUAGGAUAGAGGAUUUGUGUCACAAUGGAGACAAGCAAAGUAACCACUAGUGGUACGCCCUGAUAGAGUACUUAGUGCUGGGUAGUCAUGAAUGCACCACAACACUGCAGCAUGAAGCUUAAAAUCUUUUCCUGUGAUAGCAUCAAGGGUAUCCACACCUCUCCAUAGCUCAAGUAAAUCUUCUACUAGAGGCUGCAAGAAAAUAUCAAACGCCUUCCCUGGUGAAUGAGGACCGAGAAUCAACAAAGACAUCAUGAAAUUAGAUUCUUGCAUGCAUAACCAAGGUGGUAAGUUGUAUGGAAUCACAAAAACAAGCCACAUGCUAUAAGAUGAACUCAUGUUGCUAAAAGGAUUGAAACCAUCUGUGGCAAAGUCCAAGUCUCCAAGUCUUAUGUUUCGUGCAUCUUUAGCAAAAUUAGGCCAACACUUUGUCAAAAUCUUCUCAUGCCUUUCCAUCAACAGGAUGGGUCAUUUCCUUCUCAUUUUGUUUCCUCUUCAACUUAUGCCACUGUACUUCCUCAGAUGAUUUCCUAGAAACAAACAACCUUUGUAGCCUAGGGAUCAAUGGAAAAUGCUUCCUCAGAUGAUUUCCUAGAAACAAACAACCUUUGUAGCCUAGGGAUCAAUGGAAAAUGCCACAACACCUUUGCAGGAACCUUCUUCUUCUCAGGAUCUUUCCAUCUUGAUGCUUGACAAACUGGACAAUUAUCUAAUUCCUUAUAUGUCUUUCUAAAUAGCACACAAUUGUUUGGGCACACAUGAAUUGAUAUAUAACCAAGUCCCAAUUCAUGAAGCAUUUUCUUUGCUUCAACAUAUGAUUUUGGAACAGUGUUGAACUGUGGGAAAGCAUCUGACAACAUCUCCAAAAUCAUAGAAAAUGCUGAGUUAGUGAUCCUAUAAUAUGACUUGACAUGGAGUAGCUUGAUCACAAAUGUCAACCUUGAAAAAUUUGUGCAACCCAGAUAUAGUUCAUGCUUAGCCUCUUCAAUCAAAUGUUUGAAACGUGAUGCAGCAUCAUUGGAUGGGUUUCCAUCAUCAUGUCCAUCAUCAUUUACAUGUUCGGAGCUGACAAGGUCCCUUAACAUCGCAUCCAAUCCAUCAUCAUGUACUGGUUCCUCCAAAGAAUUAUCAUUUCCAUCCUUAGGUACUGGCUCCUCCAAAACAUGAACAUCGCUGCCCUCUUCAUGGUUUAUCCACCUUGUAUAUGUAGUGGACAUGCCAUUGAGCAGUAGGUGCCUCUCCGCAUCAUUCUGGUGUAGAUAUUUAUGGUUUAAACAAUUAGUACAUGGGCACAGAAUUUGUUCAGUCUCAUUAAACCUCUCUUUGAUGAAGUCCAUGAAAGAUUUCACACCACCAAUAUACUGAGGUGUAAAUAACACACCAUACACCCAACGUCUGUCCAUCUACAACAAAAAUUGCAAAACAUACAUCUUCGAUGCAUUAGAACCACUACAUGGACUAACAAACUAAAGCACUAAAUUAAAUGUACCAAAUGUACAAUUGAAAGAAUUAGAAAAAGAAAUGAUAGGUCUGCUGCAUCAAUAAGAUAAGGGGUUUUUUUUGCACGCUUCUUAUAUUUAGAGAAUGAUUAUUUGUUGGAAUAUGAUCUGACAUGGUUGUGGUAGCAAGAUAAGAUUUAAUCCUGCAUUUCACAUUUCUUUUGACAGAACUUUGAUGUCAGUUGCACCUAAAAUAUUCAAGAAAAUGCAUCUAUGGAAUGAAAUAUAGUAUGAAUUCUAAGGCUCUCAACGAUUCAAGAAACUCAGGUUGGAAUGGUUGAUUAUUGUUAUUGACCAGUACAUAUCUUUUUUCCUGUGCUUACAGGCCCAAGUGGCCAUUUUUUUAAGCCACAAAUAAGAGGAGCACAUCAACAACGCCUGGAGAAGCUCCUCCUGCAUUGGUAUGCCCUCCUUUCCAAGGACAUUCAGCAAUUGCUCAGUACUGAGUAGCAGUUAAUCUAUGGCCACCUGUUCAGCAUUUCCAUUCUUACUUGAGAAUUUGGAAAUGCCUGGACUAAUUUGGAAUCACAAGUUGUCAGAUCAUGCUUCAUAAACUUAUUAAUUUGGUGCCUGCAUGCAUCCUUACUCACAUGCAGCUAUAUCCUUGCUCUGAAUGUUUCCAUUACUAAAGCAUCUCAAAAUUCUAAGGAUUAGAAUAUUUCAGCUGCAAAAAUUAGCCUGAUAAGUAAUGCUAGUAAGGACCUGUUAUUAAGUACAAAUGGUUUAGAAAUAUCUAAGAAUGUUCAACAAGCUAAACUAGCUAACUGACCACAAUAUAUAGAGUUGGUGGGAAGUUUUUAGGAUUUUAUAUAUCUAAAACUCUGAGUUGGCCUUUAGAGUGUUGACAGAUAAGUGCAAGGUUUAUUAUAUUGGAUUUAAUGAAACAUCUGCCACCCUCUUGUGCGCAGAGCGAUAUCUGAUGACAUUAUGGAGUUAUGUUAAGAAGAACAUUAUCGAGUCUAACCAAACAAAGUGGAAUCACUACUACACCAACAAAUAUGCUGUGAUCCGAUUUCAUUUCUAUUUUCAUUACCAUUCCAUGAACAAAACAGCGUGAGAUUUAUCAUGCGCACACAUGCUAGGAUUGCAAGCGGCAGCGGGUUGAGCCAUGAGCCCGCUGGGCAGCACGUGCCGCAAGCCCACCAGACCACGCAUUAUGGCCUGCAUCUUUUUAGCGGCGCAAUGCGGUCAACCCACGUAACCCAGCAGCGUCACAACCCGCAUCUUUUACGGCUGCGAAUCCUAGCGUUGUCGGCCUUUUAAGCUUCACCGUAGGCCUGCCCAGCAGCCUGUCAUCGUCUUCAGACUUGCUGCCUUCGGGCCCUCAGCUGUGAUCGUACGUAAUCAUCACUCAUUGAUGAUUUCAUCUGGGCACCAAAUUGAUGAUCUCUGAACCUCUUCAAUUCUUUGAUGGAUGUCCUCUGAAGAGUAACAGGGGAUCCUCUGUUCUAUAAUCUAGAUGCUUUGUUCUUAGUUUAUUUAUUUAAUUUUUCACUGUUCUUGUCUCAACUAGUAGUAGCAGUUUAGCAUGAGCUAGCAGUUAGACUUGCAGAUAAUGGAGCAGCAAUUAAACAUGAAGGACCACUGCUUGCCCAAAGGUUUGUGCAAGUAUAUCGUCUUGUGGAUAGCAGAUAUUACAGCUGAGUUGUUUUGGUUGUGGCAACAUGCGGGCUGCGGCGAAGCCCACAAAAAGCAAGUGGUGCUAUGCGAACUGCCGCAUGUGGCCACAAGCACUUUGCGGCUCCAGCGGGUAUGGCGUGGGCUGCCCACCGCCACCCCACUUGCAUUCUUGGUAUAUACACAACUUGAGUCGAGUCUCAAAUUAAUAUGUUUCAUAGUCUGCGCAACAAAUUAAAUAACUGUAUUUUUACUGUUUCAUGUAAUCCUUUCUACCCAAUGGAGAAAAGGGGGAAAAUGAACCCGCUCACACACCCAUGGUCUAAAACAUGCAAGACUGGUUUAAAACAUGCAAGACUCACAAAUCACAAUGCAGGUACCAAUUUCUGAACUCAUUUUGUAGACCAAACUAGUAGGAAACGCGCGCCCCUGCGCGCGUCCAGUAAAGGCUUACCGAAGCUUGUGUGGAAGCAAUGGAGAUACAUGUAUAUGGUUCUGUGUAUGAGUGUAGAAACUGAGUAGGUGCAAAGUACCACACAUAGGGCGACCAUUCAUACAAAUUACAAUACAUGAUAUUCAUAGUGCUUAUAUCCCGUACAUGCUAGGCUUCCUUGGACAUAUGGAAGCAUUAUGGGAUGGUUGUGGGCUCUUAUAUUAGAGAACACAAUUAGAUAGGUGCUGUUUUUUUGUGAGAUGCAGUGCACAAAUUCAUCCGACAGGGUACUGCAGAACAUAUAUUAGCUGUUCAACUGAAUGAAGUCACAUGUACUGCCUUAAAAUGAACUGGAGGGAACAUAUAAAGUCAGAGCAAGGCGCUGAAGGAGGCAACCUUAUAGCACUAUAAAAAAUCUCGAUGCUUUUAUGUACAAAUCAUAAGGCACCUUUGAAACACCAUCAUUACUGCAUCAGCAAGCGAAAUCAUAUAUACACAAAUUGCAAACAUGGCAAGGCAGGUAUGAAUUUGAAGUUGUAGCUCUAUCCAAUCUAUUUUACAGAACUGAAAUGUAAUUAGAAAAUGUUGCAUUGUUAAAUUUUGCAGAACUGAAAGGUGUCUUUACCCUACCUUGCUUUCAUCACGUCGUGGACUCCCUGAUUUGGUAGUGAGUUGACCGCCAAAGUGUUCCGUCACAUAUAGGCUAAAUUUAGAGUUAAACAUAUUCUGCUAGAACCCAUGAGGGUUUCUAAUCUUCUUGAACAGUAAUCACGUAAUCUACAUGAUUGCUCACAAAAUGUACAUACCUGUGUGGAGGCUGAAGGGCAUUGAAUUAAUUUUCUCUGCAACACCCAGUUUCUUUUUUUGCAUAGAUGUAAUAGGUUGUGAGCCAACCUACAAAUGAUUUUAUCUUCCAGAUAAGGGAACUCAAGUGAAUAUUUGGAACAGUUUGAAUAAAAACUAGAAUAAAGGCACAUGUCAGGUUUGAAAAGGAAAAAAAGAGCUAAUACUUUUUACAGCCUCCAUGAUCAACCAAUAGGUUUCACCUUCUUCAAGGUAGAUGGUAGCAAAAAUUGCCUAGUGCAAAUCCAUGUUAUAGUGAGUAGCAAAAAAGGAAAAACAAUGACAGAGGGCAAAGCUGAUUUGAUUCUUGAAAUCCUGUAUAUAUACAUGAUCAAAUAGCAUAAACUGACAAAGACAUCAACUGUCAGAUUUCUGGAAGCCAGAGAAUUCGUCUCUCAGAUUUUGCUAGGUUACAUAAGACAAGAAGGCUGCGUGAGCCAAACAGAGAGGCAUCACAUACCAAUCUUAUGAACAGAAGUGUCAUAACAGAAAAUAUAGCAGUUUAUAUUUUAAACAACCAAAGACAAUAUGUGAGAGCAGUAAAAAAUAGAAACAUUAUAGUUUCAUAAAGCAGACCUUGAUAAUGACUCAAUCACUCUCAACGCAGAUCCACUAUAAUCAUGUGGCAAGCGUUCAAGCUAAAAAACAAUGAUGGGUAACAUUAGUUAGUAGUACUUGAAGUUCAUAUAAUACAAACCAAAAUCUUUAAAGUUGUCAGCACUAUAAAAAAGGAAUGCAUUUAAGUUGCCAAGCUCACUAAAAUUCUUAUAGUAGGAUGCCACCUUAGACUCAAUAAGCAAAUAUAUUAUUGUGUGCCUCUCGACUUCAUAUAAAAAAUCAUGACCCAACUUGGUUAGUGCACCGAGAAAUAGAAGUUUAAAACAUAGUUGUUGGCGACGCUCAUAACACUUGGUUGUUGUCGAUAUAUCAUUGUUGAUACAUGUAAACAAAAGGAGAAUUAGUUCAAACCUUAUCCUCAGGUGUUAUGUUGUGGUACGCUUCCGAACAUUCCCGGGAGCUAAAGUGGAGUCUUCAUGUGUUGCAGUAGAUUUGUAGGAACAAAAGUGAAGGGAAACAAAACAAAUGAGUUGUUAGUUGUAAAUAGCUGUCUUUCUGGACCAAAAAAAGGAAAACCAUUUAUCUGCAGGUACUGAUGGAUCAAUAAUAUUUAAUAUGGUCUUCAUUGCUUUCUGUACAUCAUCUUUUGUAAUGUACAGAAAUUUGACAGUUUCAAAAUUUGUAAUGUAAUCCUGGUGAGGGUGUCUGCCAAUAGAAACAAAUAUUAAGAAUUGUUAGGAUUGUCGUAACCUAUGUGACUAAUUGUAGUUGCAAGUGUCGAUAUGAAAUUUUCGAAGAUCAGGGAUAAACAUGAGUAUUUCGUAAUUCGAGGACUUCAUGUUUACCCUGAGUGGCUGCUUGUUCUAUUUGGUGCGAAGAUGCCUGAAAUUUAUUCGUCAAUACAUUUUAAAAGGUUUGUUCAUAAUUAUCUGUACAAAUAUAAUGGGCUAAGGCAACUGUCAUUUGAGUUGCAUAUAAAAGAAGGGACAUAAAUGACUUACUGCAGUAUCAGUAUGGUAUACUAAUCUAGCACACACCUUUAUGGAAAACCAUCCACUAUCUACCUCUUUUGUGCAAAAAGAAACGUACAAUAACAAAGGAUGGCAAUGUAGCUUCAAAAUCGAUAUUAUCAACAUCGUAGUAGCCAUUUGCAAUCUCCUUAGAUAAAUAAUUUUCUCAUGGCAGAAAAUAAUGGAGGCAUUUUUCUUAGCAUACAGUCAUGGAAGCAUAUGAAUAUAAUACCAGAUCACUCCAAAAGACUAAAUCAUUCAGCUACAUAUAACUGUAAAUUGAAACUCCAAUCCCAAGUUGCUAUGGCAAGUAAAUAGUAAGGGACAGGUAGGUACAUGAAUAUAUUUAAUUUGUAUGAUCAUGUUGGCAUUAAGAUGAAUGACAAACAGAAAGUACAAUUAGUUUUAGCAGUAAUUGGUGGAAGGGACACCUUCCAAGAUAGUUCAGUUUCAUGCAGGAUUAAUUCUAGGAUGCAUAAGUCUAGUUUCAUGCAUAUAAAAUUUGAAACAAUACUAACCUGAAUAAUAAACAAAAAAGCAGCUAUUCCCUGAGGCCUUGUAGCCUUAUUUCUUUCUGUAUUGGCUAAGUUGUUUCUAGUUACAUUGAGCCUGCAGGUUAGUUGUAGCACUUGUGUCUGUGGCUAGUAUUCUAUAUUCCACACAAUAGGUCAGGAAUGAAGAAAACACACACAUAAAAGUAAGGUGCUUAAAGGAUAUGACAAAGGCAAGCAACUCCGACCAAUAAGGUUAACAAAGAUAAAAUACAGAAAGUGCCAAGUAAUCAUUGCAUUGAAAAACUGUGACUCAACAUAUGAAUAAGUUAGGACCCAGAUAUUUCAUAGAUCAUACAACUGCACACUAAAAAAAAUUAGGCACACAGCAUUAUGAAAAAGAAUUUUAUUGUACAUUAGGCAAGCAGCAGUAUGAAAAAUAAUUUUAUUGUAUACACAUGAGGCAUUCCAAAUAUUUUUUGGUGUGAGACGACAUAAUAUCUUCAAUUGUUACUGAGAUUAAUGGGUAAGUUCGUUACGAACGACUAUGGAAAGAGGAUAACUACAAUAUGUAAAUACGGGGAAAAGGUUCUUUUUUGAUAUAGUAUCGAGGACAUGCAUGCCUGUAACAGAUUGGAAGAGACUGUAAUUAACAGUUACAAACAACUAUGGAAAGAGGACAACUACAAUCUAUAAAUACGGUGAAAAGGUUCUUUUUUGGCAGAGUAUCAAGGACAUGCAUGGCUAUAACAAAUUGGAAGAGACAAUAAUUAACAGUGCAGAGAAGUUUUUUUUUUUUGUGUAAAUGAGGUAUAGCAAAGUUUACACCAUUGAAACAAAACUAAGAAGCAUGGUAAAUCCUUGUCGCUAGAAAUCAAUGGAAACAUGCACAUAUAAAAACAUGAGAUCUAUCAACAGUGGACAAAUACAUGAAAUGAGUGGAACAUGUACUGCAGAAUUAGAACCAUAUACAUGAUAAUAGGGCAAUAUAUCAACCAGACAAUUCUCCUACUCCUCCUACUAUUAAAGGAAUUUCUUGUUGUCAUUAAAUAAGAAUGGAGAAGUGCACAUGUUAGAAUCUGCAUUUUUUUUCUCUAGUACAUAUGUUUCAUUCUUAGUUUCCUGUAACCAUGUAGAAAACCUGCAAACCCUUUUAAUCAGUACUAUAAAACUAAAACCAAAGACUAAAUUAGAAGAAAGUGAGGGCUAGAGACAGGGGAGCUGAGAGUUUACCUCGUUGUUCAUGCAGCCGCCGCUGCGUUGUCAGCGAGCAUCUCCACGCAUGAGGAGGGCACCAACAGCAGGGGUGUGGUCGGCGCUGGGCCGUCGAGACCUGCAGCAUAGGCAGCUAGGGUUUCUUGUAGCACUCGCACAACAGAGAGAGGAGGCAUCACCAAGGGGCAGGCACACCUGCGGCCAGCAGCUCGCACCCUCGCACCGCGCUAUGGCCUGGGGCAGGCAUCGCCAGUGUCCACGGGGUAUGCCGCACCACAGCACCUCGUGCCGUGAGGUGGUGGUGCGGACAUGGCCGGCACAGCACGAGGCGUGGGGAAGAGGAGGAGGAGGAGGAGGAGGAGGAGGAGGAGGAGAGGAGGCCGGCCGCAGCCGCCGCCGCCGUGCCCGCCCGUGCCCGUGCCAUCGCCGCCUUGUCCGUGUGGAGAUCGAGUGGGAGAGGGAGAUACCGACGGGUGAGAGAGGGAGGAAUUUGGGAGAAGAAUUUGGGAUGAGAAGCGGAAGCCCGAGUAUAUAUUGGUGUGCUCGGAUUCGGAUGAGAAGCUAGUGAAGCCAAGGAAAAGCCACUUAGAAGCUAGAUAAAACACGUGAAGCUGCUUCCGAUAGAAUCCGCUUCGUGUUUUCUAGACCGUCGAUCUGCAGAUCGGACGGCCGUAGGAAUUUCGGCCGACGUGGCCUGGCUGGACGCGCAGGAGCGUGUUCCAAAUUGUAGGAGAGAAUUUGCAAUUAAAAGAAUUAGAUAAGGAACUUUUCAACAGUUGACUGAAGGGUGGAUCUAGGGACUAGGGUGUUCUGCAUCUACUGUGCUCACCUUGCUUGAAGCUGCCGAGGGGGGUUGUUCGACGGUGCUGCAGAAGGGGCGCUGCCGCCGCCGCUGGUGCCGGCUCCUUCGCGGGUGCCCGGCUCCUUCGUGCUGGGGCUCUGGGAGGAGGCAGCCGCAUGCCGCAGCAGUUGAAGGGGCAGCGCCGCAGACGUAGGGCGCGAGCCGGGGUGAGCUGCGGUGGGGAGGGGAAGGGGGCAGUGCCGCAGGGGCGAGUUGGCCGGAGUGGGAGCUUAGAGGUGGCGCCGGUCGCCUGAAUGGCGGGGCGAGCAGACGCGACUGACGGCCUGAGCUGCGGCGCGGGAGGAACCGAGUGCGAACAGCUAUCUCUUAAUCUCAAUGCAACUAGUACGUAUAAAAAUGCUAAAUGAUAUGCUAUAGUCCGUAACACAGCAGUAGCCUAGUGGUAAGCACUUAGCUCUUCAAAAGAGGGGACAGAGGUUCGAAUCCUUCGAACGGUAUGCCAAAAUUUUUUGUUUGUACAUUUUAAUAAACUGACAGGUGGGCCCACCAUCCCAAAUACACAGGUGCAUCCCACCUCUAUUUAUUUAAUAUUAUAUAUGUCCACGUAGGAUUAUCCGGAAUUGAUGUGGUCGUCCACAUCAGCGCCUUAUUGGAUGCUUCACCUGUGACCAAACCGAGUUGUCCAUCACAAAUUCACAACUGCAUUGUCAAAAUACUCUGUGAUGUCCAAUCGUCAUAAUUGUAUCACCCUUGGCACAAAUAAUAUAAUUCUGUGAUGCUUGCUGAGAAGGUCAUAAAAAAAGUCAUGUAAAGCACUAUUUCUUGUAGUGAUAAUACCGGUUAAACUUUAAAAACCUCCCUCGGCUACGCACUCGCCAAGACAUACCGAGUACGUGCACGACGCGGCAAGUGUUAAGCUGUACGGGCGGCCUAACCAUAUAUUUAUGUGGACUAGUUGAAUACCCGUGCAUUGCUAUGGGUAAACAAGAUAUCUCAUGACAUACAACCGCACAAGUACAAAUUUAUGUCAUUACAAAUGCUUGUGUAUUGUAACGAGAGCAAAAUAAUACCAUAACAUACAUUGCAACAUGAACAGAAUAAUGUCAUGGUAUUUUUAAGUUUGAUCUUGGGUUGUACAAUUCCAUCUCAGCCCUUAUAGCUACAAUGGGCAAACUCAUGCAGAACCUUGUUUCGUAUCCUACCUAUUGUGACAAAUUCACAACUUAGAUGACAACCUUCUUAUUGUGUCUCGGAUUAAUGGCGCGACCACAAAAUGACCAUGCAAUGAUGCCUAGACCCUGGAGCUUGUACACCAAGGUUGAGAAAUUAUGUUCAAGGAUUACCACUUCAUGCCUCACAAGCGACCAGCAAUAUGCCUUCUAGACAUAGUAUUGCUUCCGUUUUGUCCGAUCCCUGCAAUGGAAAAAUAUUGCUUUUCCAUUAUAGAUCUUUUAUCCAGUAUUCAACAUAUUUUCUAACACUCCAAACCCACCUAAUGAGCGUGGUAAAAGAGUAAAUUGAAGUUAAACAAUGCAGUUUUCUCUAGCUCAUUUCAUUUAUAGAUAUAUAGUAGCCUUACUUCAAUAUUUGUUAGAUAAACAUUCGAGAAAAACUGAGUAUGCCAAAUGUCAGGAUUAUAUCAUACUAUCACAAAUAUUUUUAAGUGUCAAACAAAUGAUAUUAAACAAUUUGAAGGAAUCAUGAGGGUGACUAACUGGUCAUUAACAAUUGCAGGAAACUUCAGGGCCUACACACUUCAAAUCCUCAACAUAUUUCUGAGCCAAACAUAUCAAUAUCUUGAGAACUGGAAUUUAACAACCAUCUUAACCCAGAAUUUACUAAUUAUGUUCAUUGAAAAAUUAGGGCAGGAGAAGUAAAUGUACCACGCACUUGCUUGCACGAAGCAUGACCUCCUUGUGCUCUGGUUUCACAGUGGGUGGUUUCUUGAUUUUGAUGGUUAACUUAGUUUAUGUUGAUCACAUUGAUGUCAUUCUUGUUCAACACUAUAUUUCACUGCCACUAUGUCUAGUUCCUGCAAAGAUAGUACAGAGCUUGGUAUUCUCACAAGUCAUAUCACUGUCAUCAAGCAGUUAUUAUUCUCAUGCUUCACAUUGCACUGAAAAUAUGUAUAUAACUAUGUCAUGCAUAAUCAAGUUCCACAACAACAUCAUUCGACUAAUAUAAGUUAUGAUCUAGGGCUGUCAUUGGUUGAAAGAAAAAUUUUCAGAAAAAUGCAAGCAGAAAAAGAAAUAAAACUUGAAGCUUAACUAAAAAUCAAGAAAUUGUUGCCUUGGAUAUUCUAAAUAGUGUUGGGGAUGGAGAAAGGACAAACCAUGAGCCUAUUCAAAGGGGAAAUCAAUUUUCAAGUAAUCAUAGUGGAUUAUGUUAUCAGAUCGAUUAUUCUAAGAAUUGUCUAAAUUAUAUCCAACAGUCAAUGCCAUCAUCUUCUCUGCUGCCGACGGUAUGGACCCAAGCAUAAUACAGGGAAAUGAUCUACACAACGCCAACAUAUUUUGAAAAAAAAAACAGGAGAAGAGAAAUCACCACCAAUACAUACUGGAUUUUGAGGCUCAGAUAAGAAUCUUAUCCAGAGUUAUUUGUACUGUAUAUGUUGAGAUGGCAACUUAUUGAGCAAGGUUACUCUGCCUGCCUGAGUAUUUUCACUAAAAUUGUGCAUAUUCAAUUAGUUUGUUGGAAGGUGCAGGUACAUCUCGAAAUGUCCAGAGCUCCAGUCUGAACUCAUGGGCCAUGGCCUUGGUAAUUGGAGUAGUAGGCGGUUACACGAACUAUCUUGUGGCAGAGCAACAUGAAGAACAAUUGUUUGGAAAAAAUGGAAAGAUAGAGCAUAAACUAAGUAAAAGAUACAUCACUUUAACUACAGGAGCACCCACCAUUUUAACAUCCACCGACUGCAAACUUGGUUGUUUGUUUGAGAUAAACGCAACCUACCAGUCAAAAAUCAAACAAACAGCUGUAACUUGAAAUAGAGUAGAGAAUUAGUAAAUUGGUGUGCAGCUCAAUUUUAUCUAUAAUAUUUAACCUUAUCAGUCAAGAAAUCCAGGAUUGAUCAUUAUAAUAAACAAAGCAUGGCUGCGACAACUGGAUUCCAACAAGCAGAGAAAAUACCAGUUGGUCAAGAUGAAAUGGUAUUUUUACAAUUAUUUAGGGAACUCAAUUGACUUAAAACACACAACCAGCCAAUUCCAUAAUUUGCAGAAUAUUAAAAUUGCCAGAGAUAGACUUAGCUUCGAUCUAUCGAGGAAGGGUUGGAGAUAUAUAUAUAUAUAUAUAUAUAUAUAUAUAUAUAGGACGCGUUUCUCACAAUUAGUCAGGCGCACCUUCUCACAAUUCAUGCAUGCAUGCAUGAGAACUUAUCUCCUCCUAGAUUUCAGUUGAUAGGCUUCGCUUGCCUUAUAAAAGUUGUUACGCACAGGUGUCGUGGCAAGUAUACGUAUAUAUGGUAUAGUAUGCGUUUAUACUUUUUUAGAGAGUAUACGUGCCAGGUAGUAGUAUGUGCCGAUACGUGCCAGGUAAGUAUGUCCAUGUAUAUAUAUAUAUAUAUAUAUAUAUAUAUAUAUAUAUAUAUAUAUAUAUAUAUAUAUAUAUAUAUAUAUAUAUGGCCUUUUUAAUAAGAGUAUGUGCACAUACACACAAUAAUAGAGUAUAUACUACAAGGUCAUAUUAAAAAAUAUGUAGUAUGAUACUAGAGUACGUACGCAUGUGCACAUACAACAUGUACAGUAAUCAAGUAUACACACAUAACACAAGGUGGAAAAACUAGUAUGAAUUAGUACUUUUGCCAAAAAAAAGUAUGAAAAAUACUCUUUUAAAAAAAGAAAGAAAGCACGUCAUACUUUUUUAACAAAUGAGAGUAUAUGUAUAUGUAGAUACACAAAAAUUUGCUUAGUAUAUGUACAUACUUUUUUGACAAAUGAGUAUACAUAUAUACAGAUACCUUUCUUUGAAUAAAAGUAUUGGUUCAUACAUUAUUACGAGUAUAUUAUUUUACUACUAGCAUUUAUCUCUCAGCUUGCUUAUGGUCCUCGCUCGGUGCACCCAAUGCUUCGUGGUCGUCGCAGGGAUGGACACGCGGACCACGUGGAUGAUAUAGGCGAAUGCAGACAUAGCUUUCUCGAGAAUAUAGGAUGUGAAACGAGUUGUAUAUCUCGAUUACUGCAGUAAGGAUUAGGACUAUCUCGACCUUACCUGGAUCGCAUCGACGGAUGUUCCUAAUUAAUUAAUCACAGAUAGAAAUUAAAUGUGAUGCCUAGACGGAUCUGCAUGCCACUUCUCCUGUCAGCUAGGGACGAUGCAGCAGAUGAAUUAUUGGAGCAGCUCAAGAAACGCCUUAACACUACACCACAACACUAAAAUAGCAUCAGACGUGUGUUGCUAAAUAUUAAAAUUGUCGUUGAACGGUCCGUUGCUAAACAUAUCCCUCGGAUCCUCCGUUGCUAAAAUUCAAUACUUAGAUGGAUAAUCCGUUGCUACAAGUAGUUUACUUUUGCGUUAGAUCGUCCGUCGCUAUAUAUCAGUAAUUGAUUCCGAUCGUCCGUUGCUAAAUAAAUUAUCCAUUGGCGCAUAGUUUUCGGCCCAUUCCCACAAAAAUUUUGGCCAGAUAGAAACCCUAGUUUUCACACACCAACCACACGAAAAACAUCCACACAUCUCUCCCUGCUCCCGCUGCCCCUUCCCACGCCGCCUCCCUGCUCCCAUGUUGGUUUCGUUCGUACGGCGCUGCACAGGCCGCCGCAUCGAGCCAUUAGGCAGCCGCCCGCCCCGGCCCCUACCCUUGUCGGCCGCCCGCGCCCUACCACGCCCCUGCUCCUGCCCUCGCCGCCCGCCGACCAAUCUCCAUCACUGAAGGUCGCCGGUGCACUAGACGUCUGCAUCAGGUGCCGGCCACCGGACUACCAGGUGCCCCAGCCAGUGCUCCAGCCAACAGUUCGCCUAGGUGCUGGCCGCCUGAGCACCAGACAUACUUGCUCCCAUCGUGUGCCCACACUAGCAUGGUCCUCUGCAGCUGGUCAUCCCAAAUCUUCUAAAGGUAUGUGCUUUAUCUGAAAUAGAUGCAAAUACAGGCAAUGGAUGGCACGUAUAGCAUUGGAUUUGCAGGAUCUAUUUUUGGUUCUUGAGUCCGUCCAUUUUUUGGAUGGGGGAAUUGUUUGUAGCCUCAAACUUGCUUGUUGUAUUGGUUGUUUCACCUCAAACUUGCAAGGUAAGAGGAUAUGGUCAAUAGAUCUGUAAUCUGCAAGGCAUUAGAUAAUGAAAAUAUUGAUCCAAAUAACAGAAGAUUUGGGAUGAUGUCUCACCCAUGUAUGGAUUUCACCAUCGAUGGAUGCUUCUGCCUUCUAGUCGCCGCAUCAAAAUAUCGCCGGGCCUAAUGAUCAACAGCUACGCUAUUGAAUCUGACUAAACCAGCAAAAUUGUCGUCGUUGCCGCACGUUCAUCUGUGUUACCAAAAAAGAAUCAAUAUAAUGGGAAAAAGGAUUUUGCAUUUAGAUGCUAGUACCUUCCAACAAAAUUGCCCAAUGAUGUGGUCGACCGGCGGCCGGCCGCAUGCCAGUUCCUCGAGGGAUGGCCAAGAUGAGAUGGGAAAUGACGCAGGCCGGGGAUGGCCAAGAUGAGAUGGGAAACGACGCAAUGGGGCGGAUGGAUGAUUAUAUAUAAGAAGAAAGAAGAAACGUAAAAUUAGGAUCAACAGUUCUUAACGGGUUUCCUAUAUAUGCCCGGUAUCCAUUUGGCCGGAUGGCUUGAAAGGAGCGUCGGGUGAGGGCGGCAUACUCUACGUGGGUUUAGAAGGAGGGAGUAGUUACUCUCAGAGAGUAGGAAAAAUUUACCCUAUAUAUAUAUAUAUAUAUAUAUACUCCCUAGGAGUAGUUACUCCUUUCUAAUAACCAUGCACUGCCCACGCUGGCACUCUUAGCGGGUUGUGAACGAGUAAACCCAAUAACAUGUAUACAAUCCACGCGCGCGUAUACCCAUAUUCCACCAAAUAAAUGAUUUUUUAAUCAUUAUUUCUCCGCUCGACUCGCUAGAUGAUAGGUCCGACUUCCGUUCGAAUUCAUUCCUCUCCGUGACAUGUGCUUCCAGAGGCCAACCGUAUCUGGAGACGGCGAUUCCUCUCGAGCGGUGGCGGCGCUUCCACCCAGCGUCGGUGCUCACCCCACGGCCUCUUCCUUGAGUGUUGGCUGGCCUCGCGUGGCCGAGGGGCCUGGUCGCGGCAGUCUCUGACCCGUUCCACCGCACCAGCGGCACCCUACCCCGUUCCACGGUGGCGUCGAACCCUACCCUGUUCCCCCACGACGGCGCACGACACGAUGUACCGGCUGACCGUUUCUCCAACGACGACGAUGCCAUCUCUAGCUAGUUCUUCAGCAGCCAUGGAUCUUGUGUGGAGUGGCGUUCGGUGGAGGGCGAGCGAGAUCUGCAGCAUCACCGGCCUCACCGUCGAUGUUCCAGAUCGUUGUUGCAGUCUAGUAUGUUAAGCACACCUCCUCCUGUAAAGAUGGGAUUCAUAUUCUAGCAUUAAUUUGGGAACAGCCGCACCUCUCAUCGGCGAGAACGCCGAGCAGACGUUUGGCGGCGGCCGCACGGGCGCGUACGCCUCUACACCUCUGCCUUGCAUAUAUACUCAUAUCUUGAUUCUAUUUAUCUGAUCUUAAUACAAAUCACCAUCACGCAGUGCAGCGCCUCUCUUUCCUUAGGUUUCAUCGCCGGAGUAUGUUGCACAACAUUGUGACUGGCCGGAGACGAGUUGAAGCCAAGCAACCACAAGAUGGAGACUAUGCAUGGCAGCAAUUAGUCAGAGAACAAGACUAUGAAAAUUCCCUCUCAGCGGCAAGCAAAAUUGGGAACAAAUAAGGUGUACUAACAAAAGUAUGCACGAAUACUCUAUUUUGAAAAUUAUGUACCGAUACUCCAUUCUGAAAAUUAUGUACAUAUGUACGUAUACCACAUUCUGAGAAGUAUGUAUGUUGCACUCCGAAAAAAUGUACAUAUACUCCAUUCUUAAAAGUACGUACAUAUACUCCAUUCUUAAAAGUACGUACAUAUACUCCAUACUAACAUAUAUACUUCAGUUAAAAAAAGUAUACUCAUACUAUAAAUGAGGCACUUCUAUAGGCAUACUAGUUUUUUUUAUUAAAGUACACACAAUGACACAAGUAUACACGCUCCUUCCAUUGGUAUAUCGACAUACUCUAAUAAAAAGGUAUGAACGCAUACUACCUAGUAUGUAAGUACACAUACUAUAUUUGUCUUAGUGUAUAUGAACAUACUCUCUAAGAAAAAGUACGUUCACAUAUGACUUUCGAUCUAGAGUCCUGAAGCCGUAAGUAUGAAACGUGCAAACGUACCUACGUAUACAACAAACCCAGCGUCAAUCUGAUCCGAUUUUAUCUAGACAUCCAGAAAAUACAAAUACAUAUGUUGUACAUCCACCGCAAGUCUAAAUGGGUCACGUUUCCCGACCCGUUAAGCAUCGUGUGAAUUGCCGGAAGCUCCCUGGUGCCUAUACUCUCGGUGGGAGUAAUUACUCCCGGGAGUAUAAAACAUGCACACCAACUAAUAAUCAUCACUGGCCUCUUUAAUCGAGAAUUGGAGAUCUAAAUCUUUUAACAUAUUGUAUUACUGUGCCAAAGAAGUUUGUGUACUCACUAAAAUAACCUAAUAUCAGAAACGCCCUUCAUCAUCACCAAUGAGGAAAGUUCUAAUUCAUCCAAAAUUGAAACAAUAAACAACAACAUAAAGGUAUUUCUUUCACCAGCAAGUGCGGACACAUUUGCUCAAUGACACCACUCGUCCACUCCAUCCAAGGAAGUAGAAAUCCAAGAACGCGAGACCUGUACCUAGCAGGGUCGAAUCCCAUGUGGAGGGUGAGUCGUAGCUCGUUGACGCUUUACCAUGGAGAGCUUCUUGUUUACCGUCAUGGCUGACAUACCCAACAAUGGAGCAGAGCCCCUGGAGAGCGUUGUGGUAGGCAGCGAAGUUGCGGAGGAUCUGAUGCUUUCUAUAGAGAUAGAAGGGGCUGCGGGACUUUGGCUGGUUCAGGUGGUUGGUUUGGGUAGGGUUUAGAGUGGGGAGUUGGGAGAAGGGAGCCCGAGAGCAAGUUCGCUGCCGCCAUUGCUAGGCUGGCUGUGGCUCAUGACAACGACGUUGACGGUGAGGGCAAGCGCUCCUGGGUGCGGGAUGGCUGAGGGCAGCGGCAAGCUGCCGGCGUCAGUGGGGAGGGCUGGGAGGCAGCAGGGCAUGUCGUGGAGGAGGCAUGGCGGCAUCGGCGUGGAUGUGGUGCCAGAUGCUACGGCGGCACAGGUCCUGUAGGUGGUGGUGCGUCUAGCGGCAUCGGGGCAGCGGAGCAGCUCCGGGAGCCGGCGCGUCCGGUGGGCGGAGCAGCUCCAGGAGCGAGCUGUGGGCGGCGCUAUGGUGCGGGCGAUGUGUUGCGACGGCGAGGGAGCAACGGGAGUUGCUGUGAAUGGUAUGUGCCUGGCGCACGGUGGCAAGGAGGGAGUGGCGUGAGCUUGAAGGCGAUAGGGAGGGGAGCUGGAUCUGGAUUGAGAUCAGGGAUUGCGGGAGGGGAGGGAGUGCAGCGUCGCUGGGGAUUGCAGGAGCGAGGGAGUGCGGCGUGACUAGGAUUGCGGGAGCGAGGGGAAGUCGGGUGGACGAUUGCUUUUCUCGUGUUUUAUUAUAGAAGAGAAUAGAGAAGUAUGCCGUGACGAUGCCGCACACGCUGUCGCCCCAUCGGCAGCCUCUCUGCGUGUGCGGUCGCUAGCUAGUAUGUUCUCAUCAUCUCUGCAUGUGCAUAUAUACAUAUCCACGCACCGUCGUCUGAUAUCCGCGCGAGAGUCAAGAAAGCGCAGAGGCAUGCAACCUAUGUUUUAAAUAGCAAGUUAAGAUGUUUAGUGGUUCAUGUCUAAAACAGCUAAUAGCGGAGCUAAAUCGGGCUAUAGCGGAAUAUAGCGGCUAAAUUGUACAUGAACACAAAUAGCGGCACUCUGCCUCAAAAUGCUAUAGCUGGCUAUAGCGGCAGCUAUAGCGGGAUAUUUAAAACUAUGCAUGCAACAGGGGGCUGCUAGUGUCCACCGAAACAUCGGGAUUCUUCGCAUCCGAACGACCAGAAAUAUCUUUUAUGUUUUUUCUGUUCUUCAUUUUUAUUUAUAUUUCUUUUUUUCGGUUUUAUGUGACUUUUUGUUAUCCGUUUCUUUUUAUUUUUUAUAUUUCUUUUAUUUCUUAUUUCUUUUUUCUUUUAUUUGCUUUUAUGUUUUCUUUUUAAUAAUGUAUUUAGUGAUUUUCUAUAGUGUAUUUAGUGAUGUUGACUAAAUAUAUAUGCAAUGCUCUAUAAUGUAUAUACUGAUGUUCUAAGAUAUAUUUAGUGAUGUUCACUUAGUACACAUGUGUUGUUUUAUAGUAUAUUUGAGAAUGUUUCAAAAGUAUACACGUGAUAUUCUUUUAAAUAUUUUCUCUAUUACAUAUUUUAAUUUUUUUCCCUUAUACUUUGCUCUAGAUUUUAUUAUUUUUAUUUAUGUUAUGUAUUUUAUUUAUUUUUGUGUAUAUUAAAAUACCAAAUUCAUGAAUCUAAAACUAGAAUAUUGUUGUUCUAAACCAAGAACAUUUUUCUUACAAAUAUAGAACAUUAUUAUCUAACCUAGAACAUUGUCUCUACUCACUAAAAAAUGUUCUAUCUUUAUAAGAUAAAUGUUCAUUAAUAAAGUUUUGAAGAAUUUAUUAUAAGAAAUCUGAUGGUAUAAUCAAAAUUUAAUUUUAAUAUUUACUUUAGUAGUUAUCACUUUUUUAGUUGAUUCCGUAAGUUAGCUGACGUGUACUGUGCCACGAAACGAUACAGGCUGCCUGCGCGUGAAAAUUAUUGGCUACCGGCCUGAGUGCUGGCAUGUGGGCGGGAAAAGAUGUGAACGAGAAAAAAAUCAUCGGUGUCAGUAUACUGUCCGGCCGUCCCGACCGUGUGAGCCCCCACCCCCCGAAACAUUGGUUUGACAGAUUUUCACGCUCAACACGCACAAGCCAAGAGUAACACCCAACAUGUUUUGGCUCAGCGUGUGGGUGGAUACUUCUAGGCUGACCCACGCCCACCCCAUCCUAGGUCAGACUUGAGCUGACGCAAGCAAACAGUUUUCAACGGAUUUAAAAAAAUCAUAACUUUAUAGUAAUCAUUUUUCAAAUUAUAUUCUAAUUACACCAACGGUUUUGUUACUAUAAAUCCUUCAAAAUAAGAUCUCACACGGAUAUAUUUAGAUAAUAUUUUAUUAAUGAACAUUUAUCUUAUGAAGAUACAACAUUAUUAAGUAGAGAUGAUGUUCUAGGUUUAUAGAAAUAAUGUUCCAUCUUUAUUAAAAAAUAUUCUUAGUUUAUAAGAAUAAUAUUCUAGUUUAGAUUCAUGAUAAUAUGGUAUAAAAAUAAAUAUAGACAAAUAACAUAAAUAAAUAACAAUAAAAUUUAGUGUAAAGCAUAAGAGAAAACGUAAUAAAGAAAAAUUAAAAAGAAUAUAACAUGUAUACUUAUAAACGUCCUAAAGUAGACUAUAGAAUGUCACAUAUACUAAGUGAACAACACUAAAUACACCAUAAAAUACCACUAAAUGCAUUACAGAACAUCGUAUAUAUAUUAUGUGAACAUCACUAUAUACAUCAUAAAACAUCACAUGUAUAUUGUGUAAACAUAGAAAACAUAAUAGAACAUCACAUGUAUACUACACGAACAACACUAACCGUAGACACAACUAAAUAUAUCAUAGAACAUCACAUAUAUAGUAAGUGAACAUCACUAAAUAUACCGUAGAACAUCACGUAUAUAGUAAGUAAACACCACUAGAUACACCGUGGAACAUCAAAAAAACAUAGUAGAACACCACAUGUAUUCUAUAUGAACAUCACGAAAUACAUCGUAGAACAUCAUUAUAUACUACGUGAACAUCACAUGUACACAAGACGAACAUCACAAAAAAUAUCAUAGAACAACACAUCUAUACCACGUGGACAUAAAAACAUCAUAGAACAUUACAUUUAUAACACAUGAACAUCACAAAAAGUAUCAUAAAACAUCAAAUAUAUAUUACAUGAACGUCAUAAAAAACAUCACAGGACAUGACAUUAUAUACCACAUGAAUAUAAAAAAACAUCAUACAACAUAACUCUGUACUAUAUAAAAAUCUCAUGGAAUAUAGAAUACAAAAAGCUGAACAUAAAAAUUAAUCAAUUCUAGUAACAACAACAAUAAUAUAAAAGUCAACAAUAGCAAAGAAGAGAAAAUACACAUAAAACAUGAAUAACAAAUGAUAAAUGUAUAGCAAAAUAAGAAAUAAAUAUGUAUAUGAAAAAUAAAAUAAUUAAUUAGUGUAAAAUAACAAAAGAAAUACAAAAAGAAAAAGAAAUAUAAGAAAUAAAAAGAGAAACUAAUGUAACAACUUACUAGGAGUUAAUCAUGUAAAAAUUCUUCUAAAAAUACUGAACCCAGUCAUUGCAUAAAAGUUCAUACCACACAUGUGUCAUAGACAUAGAAAAAUAAAAUAUAAUAUAAAAAAGUAGAAGAUAAAGUGAAAAAAGGAAAUAGAAGUAAUAAAAAAAGGAAAGAAAAGAAAAAUAAAUAAAAGAAACAUACAAAGUAUAAAAGAAAGUGAAAAGAAUAAUAAGAAAUAUGUAAAAUAUAAAUAAUAAAAAAUAAAAAAGAAGCAUGAAAAUAAAAAAGAAUAGAAUAGAAAAGAAAAGAAAAAGAAAAUAAAAUGAAAAGGCUACAUCACUCGGCAAAGCCUGCGUUUACAAGAUUCUUCAUCACAUCGAAUCUUUAGACGCUUGCAUAAAGCGGAUAAAAAAUAAUUAAUUGCACAAUUUACCUGUAAAUCGCGAGAUGAAUCUUUUGAGCCUAAUUAGGCCAUGGUUGGACAAUGUUUGUCAAAUACAAACAAAAGUGUUAUAGUGUCAAACUUUAAAUUUUUUUUUGCAUCUAAACAAGACCUUAGAACCCCUACCAUUUUUUUGGAUCCACCACUCACUACUGGGAACUCCCCCUUUUCUAAGUGCCGGCAGUACUUGGCAAAGCCCACUCGGCAAAGAAGUAGUCGACAAAGGUAACGGGCGCCGUGAGUGCCGACAUGGUAGACACUCGACAAAGGUAUUUUUUUGAAAAUUAUUUGCCAAGUGCCGAUGUGGCAGAUACUUGGCAAAGGUUUUUUUUGAAAUUUUUUUUGCCGAGUGCCACGCGUGGGGCACUCGGCAAAAGUUUAGUCACUUUGCCGAGUGCCGACAAAGGCUACAUCACUCGGCAAAGCCUGCGUUUCCGGUAGUGACUGUUUAUAUCUCCAUAGUAAUCAAAUAAAAUAAAAUCCCCUACAAACAAUUCAUACUAUCAAAAAAAUGAUAUCUUAUCCAAAUGUAGCGAACUUGUAGUGAUUGUACAUUUCCAUGACUUUCUCAAGAAGCUAAGUAACGGCUACAAAAUAUGUCGCUUUCUAGUGAGCCAGCGCAGCACCAACGUACGUAACGCCAACGGUGAAAUGGACCUUGGACUUCGAUCGGUCCGGCCUCGCAUCAACCUCUGCUCCAUAUAAGCGCAGCGGGGUGCCAGCAGACUCUUUCAAACAACGACAAUACGACAUCCUAGCAAAGUAGCAAGGCCGGCGAUCGAUGGCAGCGUCUUCUUCCAACAGACAUCACCGUCCUCACCUUGUUGAUCAGGGGCUGCCUCCGGUGCAGCAGCUGCUACUGCUACCUACCGGUGUGGAGGACGAGACAAGGGAUUGGGCGGAGCUGCCGCUGGACGCGCUGCUGUCCGUGCUUCGCCGGCUGGAUGCCGUCGACGUCCUCAUGGGGCCAGGCCAUGUGUGCCGGCCCUGGCGCCGCGUCACGCAAGAGGAGCCCGACCUGUGGCGCAACAUCGACAUGCGCCACCAUGGCAAGCUAGCCAACGGCGUCGACCUCCAGCCAGCGGCGCGCGCUGCCGUGAGGCGCAGCUCGGGCCGGUGCGAGGCCUUCUGGGCUCAGAGCUUUGGCGUCGACCGUGACCAGUUCUUCUUCUUCCUUGCAGACGCGUGAGCAAAUUUUUCCUCUUCUUUCUUCUGAUGAAAUUUUAUAAUGAUACUAAACAAAUUAGCAACCGUGGAUGCUGCUGCAUAUAAAUAUGUUCUUUUUGCGAAGAUAUAAAUAUGUUACUCCGACAGUACGUCCGAUUGACCAGAGUAUAUACUUGAAUUUCUAGCCUUUAUGUAUAUGAAAUAUACCUGAGUUACUAUUGUUCCAUUUGUAGGAUCAUAAGCUUUAGGACCAGAAUACAUGAAGAACACAUAUUGAACAAACCUCGUUUGACGAAUUAGCCAUAGUCUUGCUGAAGUCCCGUGCAUGCUUGAUACAUGCGAGAUCUAGACGACAUAGAGCUUAAUUAGGUUGCCCUCACGGUGCAACAAUACAGCUGCCUGAUCAAUGGCUAUAUCUUAGGAUGGAUUCACUACGGGAAGCAGUGGCUUCCCCUAGUGUCAAAUGCACUUGGGAAAGGCUUAGUUGCACUCGGAGAAGCCUUCCCCGAGUGCAACACUCGGGGAAGAAUGUCCGGGGUAUCUCUUCACGGAAAAGGCGUCUUCUCCAAGAGCCAAAAAUCAUGCAGUCAGGGAAGGCUUUUCCGAGAGCCGUCCUAGCACUAGGGGAAGAGUUGACACCGUUGGUGGUAGCCGGCGCCAUUUACUUGUUUAAAAAAAAAUCUUCCCCAAGUGCAACACUCGGGGAAGACACCCUCUUCCCCGAGAGCCGCGGCCCAGGCACUCGGGGAAGAGACCCUCUUCCCCGAGAGCUGCAGCCCAAACACUAGGGGAAGACAGCCUCUUCUCCGAGAGCCACUUCCCAGGCACUCGGGGAAGGCACCUUCUUUCCCGAGAGCCAAGGCUUGUGCACUCGGGGAAGCCACUUUGAAAUUUCUUUUUUGCUUUUUCAUUUAAUCAACAAAGCAUAUAUGUAUAUGUAUAUAUAUAUAUAUAUAUAUAUAUAUAUAUAUAUAUAUAUAUAUAUAUAUAUAUAUAUAUAUAUAUAUAUAUAUAUAUAUAUCACAAUCCAAAAAUCAACAGCAAUAUAUCACAAACCACAUUUAUAUAUAUCACAAAUGACCAAAUUUAUACGAAAUUCAGAAUAUAUUACAAACCACACGUUCAAGAGUACAUAUUAUUCCAAGUUCACAAGUUCAAUAUAUAAAAAACAACUUCAAAGACAGCUCACGACGACCGUCCAGUGCGAUGUCGGCGAGGGUUGGGACGCCCCAGCUUGCGAUCCCGGCGACGGUCCAUGUGUGCAUAGCACGUCGUGCGAUCCUGGCGACCCUCCGACAUGGUUGGAUGCCGCCCCCGAUGCAUGCUAAAAAAAGAGAGAGCACUAGAUGUGAGUGACAAAUAAAAAUAUAAAGAGUAUAAAGAAAAAUUAAAAAUUUCUGCAGCUCCACAAGUUUACAUGCAAGGUAGGUAUUGUCUUUUGGUGAGAAAGCAACCAAGAGAAUCUGUUUACAUAUGCACAUUUCGGUCAUUAGCUGUUAUUUGCAGAGUGUGAACAACGCCAAAGCAUCUCAUGACCAUGAUCGCUCAAACAAAACACAUACCAGAGACCAUUAUUAUAGGAGUAAGAAACAUGGAAGGCACAACAUAUUAGCAUAUAUCCUAAAAUUGGACGUCCGGAGCAUGAGCAUAUGGACUGAACCAACCACUUCCGACAUACUCACCAAAGCACGUCGCGAACUUGAUGGGCUUCCUGCCAUGGCCUUCUUUGAUGACUUGCUUCUUAACCUUGUCAUGAAGCACCUCCAUGUCAGAGGAAACCACGGGUGGGGCGCUGCCAUCCUGGGGAGGUUCAGAAUGCACGAAAGAAGCCUCUUCCACUGGAACCUGAGAAUCAGAAAGCAGCAGAAGUCAAGAACCAGGGACUCUCCGUCUUGAAAUAGAUCCCGAAUUGCCACACUGCAAGGAGAGUCUGCAAUUCAGGAAAAAAAAGUGCAGUGCUACUGCGGCAGCGGUGGACUCCAAAUUGGCAAAGCCGCGGGUGGGAUCCGAAACUGCCUCGUUUGCUGUAAAGUACUAGCGCCCCCAACUUUGCUCUAAUCCCCCAAAUUAGCUGAAACAAACAAGCUGACUGCUAAUUUGUUAAGAUGCUUGUCCAUUUCACAAUCCACAUUCCACAGGCUGAAACAAACAGGGCCUGAAUUGCUAUGCUUAAAAAAAAAAGUUAUCGCGGGCACGGUGCUCACAUCAAGCUUCUCUUUCUUAGCAAUGGAGUCCCAGUCCUUUGCUGCGAUCCCUGUUAAGGUUAAGGUUGACCACCAUUCCCUUCUCCAGAGUCUCGGUCCAGAAGCAGGCAAGGUAAUUGCCAGAUUCCACCGUGGUAAAGGCAAACUGGCCAUGGCUAACCUUGUCGACGUGAUGCAGGACGUCUCCCAAAGGCGAUGUCACCUGCAGGAACAAAAACAAUCCAGGAAAAAAAACUGCAGUGACGACCACAUCAUUACGUUUUUUUUUCUCUCCUCUCAAGUGAUAGUCGAUCCAUCUGUUCUUGAUGGAGAAAUUUCAAUAUUUAGGACUCAAUUCGCAUGCCUCUCAAGAUUUAGGACUCAAUUCGUGUGCCUUUCAAAAAAUAGGACUAAAUAUGCGAAUUGCUUCAAGAUUUAGGAUUUCAGGUAUUUUUAGUUAUUUCUAUUUUUUCUGAAAUAUUUUCACCUCUCUCUGGAACCUAAAAUGACCAAAUUGCCCCUUGAAUCUAAAACAUAACGAUCUCUCUCCCUGUCUCGUUCCUUCGUACCUCUUCGGUCCGUCGCGGCCGCGACUCGCAGUCGCGUGAGGCGACGCUCCCGUCCUCCGAAUCUUCGCCGGUGCUUCACCGCCGGCCACGGCCUCCAGCCCUCCACCGCCGUCUGUCUCCGCUGCCCUCCCCUUCUUCCCCUGCGCUCCAGUCCGUCGCCCUCCCCAUCCGGUGCCCUUCCCUGCGCUCAAGCUGUAGCAGGCUAGGGUUUCGACUGGACCCUAAGAGGAGGCUCGGCGCCGCUCUCCAGUGGAGGAGGCCAUGAUCCCCUCUGAGAUCCCUCCAAUGUAAGGCACAAUCCCCGAUCCCUCUUUCAAUUUGCACUAUAUUUUAUAGUUCGUAGAUUUUGGGGGCACAAGCUUAUCAUGUGUCUCUUUUAUUUGUUUUGUUGGUACACGUAGAAUGAAUGCAGAAGCUGCGUUUAGGCUGUGUGUUCACUUUUCUGAGUUUACUGCAAAGCUUGAUGAUGGUUGCUGUGUUGAUGUGCCACAAAAUUAUGACGAAUGGACCGUGGAUUGUCGAUGUUAUACUUUAGACAUGCUAGAAAAGGAUUUGGCAGCUAGGAUAAAAUGGGGCAGUGCCCAGCAGCUAGUAGUAUCUGAGUUUGUCAUGAGUGGAGUUGGAGAAAGAAAACUGCAGAAUGAUACAGAUCUGUCACUUGCUUUCAUUGAAAGAAAGAAUGAAAGGAAGAUGCUUUUGGUUGUUAGUGUUGUCGACAAACCCAUAGAAAUCGAUUGGGACAGUCUGCAGAUUACUCCUCUAACUGUUAAUCAGAUUGGUGCACCUAUGCCUGUGAUUGAUGAGGAUACAAUUUAUGAGUUUCUUGGUCUUAGAGCAGAGGAUGAGAGAGUUGAGCAAGCUAGGGCAGUGGCUGCUGAAAAGGGAAAGCAAACUGCUCUUGAACCAGUUGAUGAGUUGGUGGUUGAUGAUCAUGUGCCUGGUGAGAACUCAGUGCUUUAUGAUAGAGAAAAUCCUCCUAUGAAAGAGGGAACCAUUUAUGCUAGUAUGUCUGAAUUCAGGGCUGCAUUGAAGCAUCAUGCUAUUGUGGAGAAGUUUGAAAUUGGAACUGAGAAAUCUUGUAAAAGUGUGUUUAGAGGAUACUGCAAAGCGGAUGAUUGUCCAUGGUCUAUUGUAGCAAGGUUGAUGCAUGACAAACAGCAAGUCAGGGUACUAACAUUGUUCUAACUUGUCUUCAUAUGCAACAUACUUACUUAAUGUAUCUGUUAGGACAUUUUUACUCCACAUGUUUACUUAUAUCUGUUUUAAAUUUUCAGAUUACAUUGAACAAAGAAGAACAUUUUUGUCCAUCUACUGGUAGAGUGAAAACGAAGAUGGCAUCAUACACAUGGAUAGCAGAGAAGGCAAUUCCUUUUCUAAAGAAGAAUCCUAGCAUGGGAUCAAAGGAACUGCAAAAGGAGUUAGAGGAAAAAUAUGAUGUGACACUUGGGUACUCAACUGUACAUCUUGGUCAUGAGGUUGCAUCAAAAAAACUUUUUGGUACAUGGGAAGAAAGUUUUGGAUAUCUGUUCAACUUCAAGGCAGAGAUUGAGCUCAGAAUGCCAGGAAGUGUUGUAGAGAUAGAUGUAAUCAAUCAGGAAGAUGGUGUAUAUUUUCACAGAUUCUUUUGCUGCUUGAAACCUAGCAUUGAUGGAUUCCUAAAUGGUUGUAGGCCAUUUUUGAGUAUAGACUCCACAGCUCUCAAUGGUAGAUGGAAUGGCCACCUACCUUCAGCUACAGCACUAGAUGGUUGCAACUGGAUGUUUCCAGUUGCAUUUGGAUUUUUCUCAGGUGAGACUACCGAUAAUUGGACUUGGUUUAUGCAGCAACUGCAUAAGGCGAUUGGGAAUCUGCAACACCUAGCUAUAAUUUCAGAUGCUUGCAAGGGCCUAGAGAAUGCCAUAAAGACAGUUUACCCUUGGGCUGAGCAUAGAGAAUGUUUUGUCCAUCUGAUGAAAAAUUUCAGCAAGCGUUUUCAAGGGCCCGCUUUUGGGAGAAUGUAUCCUGCAGCUAGAACUUUCCAACCAGAUUACCAUGAGUAUCUCAUGAACAAGAUGUACGCAACCAAUAAACAAGUCGAGCCAUGGUUGAAAACCAAUCACAAGUUAAAGUGGAUGAGGAGCAAAUUCUCAGAACAUAUAAAGUGUGAUGCUAUUACAAGCAAUGUGGCUGAGGUUUGGAACAACUGGGUAAAGGAUAUUAAGGACCUUCCUCCAGCUAGCCUUGCUGACUCCCUUAGGUCCAAGUUUAUGGAACUAUAUGCAAGGAGGAGAAGAAUAGGUGAGAAAUUCGAAGGCCAUAUAAUGCUUCCAGUCGUGGUUCGCCAACUAUAUGCGCUGAGUAGGGAGUUGGCCCACCUGAAAGUCAAAGAAGGUGGAAGGGAAGAAGCUGAGGUGACAGAGGUUACUGAUUCACAGAAGAUCAUAAGACAUGUGGUCAAUAUUAGAAACCACAUAUGCACGUGCAGGGAGUGGCAAGUCUCAGGAAAACCAUGCCCACACGCUAUGGCACUCAUCACCACAUGUAGAAAUCCUAAGAUGGAAGAGUACUUGCAUCCUUACUUUUCAGUUUACCAUUUUAGGCUAGCCUAUGGUGGUGUGAUUAGACCACUACCUGAUAUGUCCCAAUGGGCACGUGUGAAUCUUGGAUUCAAAGUGUUACCGCCUCUCGAAAAGAGGGAGCCUGGUAGACAAAGAAAACUCAGAAUUCCUAGCUGCAUUGAAAAUAAGGGCAAUAAACCUAGGGGCAAAGGCAAGUGGCAAGUGACAUGCAAAAAAUGCGGAGGUCUUGGCCAUAGGUCGUCAUCUCCAAAGUGCCCGAUGAAUGGAACAAAGAAAAGGUAAAAUGCCACUUGUUUUGCUUCAUUAAAAUAUUACAUUUUAUUAACAGCUCCACAAUUUUAGGAAAAGCCGAGCUAAAAAGGGGAAGGCUGGGAGGCCUCCAGGCUCUAGCAAAAGGCAGAAAGUUGCUGAGCAAGGAAGUCCAGAGAACAACAGUCCUGUGACAGCAAGGUAAAGUAAAUAACAUGAUUUGUACACUUCUCCUCUAUAUAACAACAUUAACCAUUUUCUUUAUUUUUAGUCAAUUCUCAUCGGCCAUAGUAGAGCUAGAAGGCACAAGUCAAAUCAACACUUCUCCUGGUCCUGUGACAAGAAGGUACCUCUAUGAACUGUAUGAAAGACUUGAGCUGUACAUUUUUAGUUUUUAUGAACACUCAACCAGCUAGAAAUUUCCUUCUAUUUUUAGGCAAUCACUUUUAGCAAUGGUGGAGGUAGGAGGGUCAAACCAAAUCACUACAAGUUUUGGACCUGUAACAACAAGGUAAAAAGAACUACUCAAUUGAGCAUGCAUAUACUCAACUCUGUUCAUGUACUGAAGCAUCCCUCUCCUAUGUUCCCAUGUAUUCAGCCAAACCGGAGAAGAGGCACUAAAUAUUGUUACCACUCCCACCAAGUCUCCAGCAAGGCGUCGGAUAGGACUUAAGAAAAAGCUCACUCCAAGGAAGGGAAGAAAUAGUGCUACCUGAUCAAUUGAAGAAUAAUUAUAUAGCCUCUUUUGUGUUCUAAGUUCAAAGAAAAACUUUAUUCACCUGAAGGUUCUUUUGGCUCUGUUGACUGUAUGAUUGUAUGGUUGUAAGUUUCCAGGAGACGAUGGUUCUUUUGUGUUGCCCAGGAAAACUUGUAUGCACCAGGAUGCUUCUUUUGGUUUUGUGUGGUUUUUAGUUCCUAGAAAACCUGUGUGCCUUUAGUAUGGUUUGCUUAUAAUGACUGCUUUAUUUUUAUGAAUAUAUAAGCAUAUGUGCAUCUCGUUUAUAUUAUGGUGUGCUGGCUUUGCUUUGUGCCAAAAUGUACAUUUUUUUCUACCAAGGGUUUAGUAUAGUACCCAGGAAACCAAAUCACCUGCCUCUAUGUGGCUGGGUUCCUGGUGCCAAGGCUUCAGUUUUUUUUAAUGCUGCAGCGAUCAGCAGCCCAUCAUCCAGCGCACAGAACUGAUCUAAAUGAGGCAGGGGUACUUUGGUCCAUUUAGGAGGACAGAGAGACAUGCAAACAUUUCAUGAAAGGGAAAAGAUGGAAAAAAGGCCAAAAUCCUAAAUCUUGAAGCAAUUCGUAUGUUUAGUCUUAUUUUUUGAAAGGCACACGAAUUGAGUCCUAAAUCUUGAGAGGCAUGCGAAUUGAGUCCUAAAUAUUGAAAUUUCUCUUCUUGAUGUCUGUUCAGUCCAAUAAACAGGAGCUGUGACAAACAAAGCGAGAUGGUACCAGGUACGCAUCCUAUUCGUGCUGGAAUUGGCAUCGGUGAUCUUUUCCAAUCCAUGUAACUUCGCUCACAUCAAGCCAAAUUCCCAACAGAAAGUAAGAACAAUUCAACAGCACCCGAUUCACUGGGCACCAGCAUGCAGCCACGCGUGGGUGCGAGGGGUGGGGGGCUCACCAGCGGCGGGAUCUGCAGACGGCGCCGCGUCUUCUUCGACGACAGCCAUGGGAUGCGGGUGGGGAGAGCAGAGCGCGGACGGCCGGCAGAGACUUCUAGACUGCGGCGCGGCGGGUCGGAUAGUGAACUUGGUCGGGGUCGAGGCGGCGCGCGGCGCAGGGUCGGGGCCGGCUGCUGCGCGCGGGGCUGGGCUGGACGCGGCGCGCGGCGCGGGGUCAGGGCGGCGCAGGGUCGGGGCAAGGGUGGCGCGCGUGGAGACAGAGAGCUGCGUGGAGAGGAUGGGGAUAGGGUUAGACGGUUUUUGGGCCACAUUAGUUAUUUGGUCCCCGAGUGCUGUGAGCUUUGCACUCGGGAAGAGUACCUUCUUCGAAAGUUACAAAAGACACUCGGGAAAUUUUUUUUUUGUUUUUGUUUUUUUGUCUUUUUUUUUUUGAGGUCUUCCCAAAUUACUUUAAACUUCUUGUUCAAAUUUGGGGAUAUUUAAACUUUUUUUAUAUAUUUUAUUAGUUUUUUUCGUUUCAUUGAUUUUUUUGCAAACUUCAAAUUUGAACUGUAGGUGCAUUAAAUAAUGAAAUAUCUUUAUUCAAAAAAUUAUAUUCACGAUAUUUGGUGUAUGUUAAGGCCGUACCCAGAAGCUCAAAUGAAAUGUGAAACAUCUUGUUGUCGUAACAUGAGAUACAACUUGCGGAAAAAAUGUUUUUAAAUUAUAUAAAAUCCUUAAAAAGUCUGAAAAUAAAGAAACUUGUCUGGACGUCAUGUUAUCGCAUGUAGAGGCUAUGAUAAAAAUUUGAAAAGGUUUUGAACAAGUUGUAACAUCGGAUGUUUAAAACCUAGACAUCUCCGUAUAUGAUCAUAAGUGAUCACAUGUAAAGAUGUCUAGGUUUUAGACAUCCAACAUCACGCCUUGUUCCAAACCUUCUCAAUUUUUUAUCAUAGCCUCUACAUGUGAUAAAAUGACGCCUAGACAAGUUUCUUGAUUUUUAGACUUUUUAAGGAUUUUAUAUAAUUUAAAAACAUUUUUUCCGCAAGUUGUUUCUAAUGUUACGGCAGGUAGAUGUUUCAUAUUUCAUUGAGCUUGUGGAUAUGGUCUUAAAAUACACCAAAUAUCAUGAAUAUCAUUUUUUGAAUAAAGAAAUUCUAUUAUUUAAUGCACCUGCAGUUCAAAUUUGAAGUUUGCAAAAAAAAAAUCAAUGAAACGAAAAAACAAAUGAAAUAUACUUAAAGAAGUUUAAAUAUCUCCAAAUUUAAACAAGAAGUUUGAAAUAAUGUGGGAAGGCAUCAGAAAAAAUGGGGCAAAAAAAAACUAAAAAAAGAAAAAACUUCCCCGAGUGCCUUUCUUAGCUCUCGGGGAAGGGCCUCUUCCCCGAGUGCCUGGACCGCAGCACUCGGGGAAGCCAGUAUUUUCCCCGAGUGCCACGCUUUAGCACUCGGGAAAGGGCGCCUUCCCCGAGAGUUUUUUUUGCGUUCGGGGAAGAAUUUUUUUCAUUUUAAACUCCAACGGCGCCGUCGGUCUGGGACGUCAAGAAACACUUUUCUUCCCCGAGUGCGUCUCUUCCCCGAUUGUUGCGCUCGGGGAAGAGGACUUUUUUCGAGUGUCAUUCUUCCCCGAGUGCCAGGUAGGCUACGGCACUCGGGGAAGCCUCUUCCCCGAGUGCAAUUCUUCCCCGAGAGCAACACUCGGGGAAGACUGGCUUGCCCGAGUGUUCGAUUUUUGGCUCUCGGGGAAGCCUUUGACACUCGGGGAAUUUCCAUUCUCCCGUAGUGAUUGACAGGACCAUGGGAGUUUCUCUUCUUUUAUACCGGCUAUUGCACACUAGGGAACAUACGUUUAGGAUGGCUUUGGGUUGGUCCUUAUUAGGCGAACAGGCUUAGGCCCGGAUCAAGGCACACCUGAGCUCCUCCAUGGCUUGGACAACAAGCCAUAUGACUCCUUUGCCAGCAAUUCACACACUUAGCUUGUUAAUCAAACCACAUCUCAAUAAAACAAUAUAUACCUAGACACUAGAUCAGAAUAGUCAAUUAAGUGCAAUCGAACCCUAAUCACUAUAGUAUAUCAUUUCAUUUAAAAAUAAGAGUAUUGAUAUAAAUAUAGAGAGUAUUUACAUGAUUGUCCCACUUUAACUCAAGAAUAUGAGGCUCUCUACCAGACCCAUGCUGGCAACAGGUGUAUUGAAAACAAUAGGUAGUGGGCCUUUAGUUCCGCCAACAUCAACCUUGUGUAUAUAUUUGACAUCAAUAUAUUGGUACGAUCAUGGAUUCUAUAUUUCACAAUACGAUAAUUAUUGUCAAUGUGUUUGGCAGCACCAAUUGACAUCUUAAUACUUGGAUAGGUAACCUUCUAUUGAUUAUCGCAGAUGUGAGUUAGAUAUGCUGUCGACCACUCAUAACCCUACGACAAAAUUCAUUAGCCAUAUUGCCUAGCCAACAGCCUUGUAACAUGCCACAAAUUCUCCCAACAUUGUCAAUGAUGCAGUAGCACUUGCUUUGAGCUUUUCCUUAAAAUAGCUCCUCUAGCGAGGAUGAAGAUAUAUAUAAAAUGAUAUCUAGAUCUCUUAGUAUCCAUACAACCCGCAAAAUCAACAUUUGAAUAACCUACAAAGCGAGUGCAUACACGAGCAUACAUAAUGUUAUCAAUAGCUCAAGCAUAUGGAACAACACCUGAAUCCAAUAUAUGCUUAUAUGGAAAUCUCCACACGUGGAAAGAGUCUGCAUACGCAUACCAUCACUUUUACACUGUCGUCCUCGCUUCGUGUUAAAUGGUUAACCAAGAGGUACUAUGUUUGAAACAACAAAAGUUAUAAGUUGCUCUUCAUCGUGAUAAACUUAAAAGGUCAUACUAUCUACCUACUACAACUUUUCAUGGGCCAUAUGGGCCAACAAUACAAUUACUACAACCUUAUAACGGGUUGUGGUCUUACAUUUAACCACCCAUAAGGGCUGAUGCCCUUAGUAGCUCACUGCAUAUCCAGUGGAUGCUUAAAACAACCCCUUGGUACACCCAUCCAUGGACACAUGCAACAAGAGUCGAUACUCUGAAUAACACCACUAACACCCCGCAUCUAUUUAUAUGACCAAACUCCACACGUGGAACAGGUGUCUUAUUUUCACAAAUUCAGAAUAAUUCACUUAUAAAUAGAAAAUAUGAAAGCAACAUCAGUUUUUUCAAUGAGAUUUGGAGUUAUUUAUUAGACCUUAUUUGUACUUGUUCAUAGUGUUCUAUUGCGCAUAGAUGUGCUUGAUAUUUCUUCAAAUCAUCGUUUUGUGCUAUAUUAAACUUAGAUGUUGACAAGAGAAUCCAUAGUCCAAAUAGAGUAUCAAAUAUAUUGCAGUCAAAUUAAUCAAAUUAGUUUUUGAGGGCUAGCGAAGUCAUUCUAAUUGGAAUGCUAUAUAUAUAUACCUACAAGAUCGGUUUCAUUUUGCAGAUCUUUUGUACGUUUCAUGUGUUCUCAAGACCCUUGUGGUCAAUUUCAGAUGUAAAACAAUGUAAAAUGUUCUAUUUAUUAUUAAAAUAAGUAAUGAAUAUGACUAUGAUCAUUAAACACGAGUAUAAAUUGAUUACAUUUUAAGAAAAUUAUUACUGACUUCACAUCAUAUGAUUUUAAAUGAAUUAUUUAUCAAUAUUUAGAACUAAACUACUAGUUAUUAUUAUUAUAUUAGAAAACAUAACAUCACCUUAACCAACUAGCAGUUGCUAAACUUGUCAGGUAUUAGAGAAUUAGUGAUUCAUUGGUAAUUUUCUUUUCAGAUUGUAAAGUUACAAUAACUAGUAGAGAAAUAACCUUCGGUCCUCACCUUUAUUUCCAAUCAUGUUGGAGCCACAACUAAUGUGAGCAUUAGUUCCGGAUCUAAAUUUCACGGGCACUAGAGGCCCUUUUGUCCUCCUAAAAGUCACCCUUUAGAGGUCCCCCACCCAUACUUGAUCAUAUAUGUUGUGAGGAAGCUACACCUGUGACGAUAAAGUCCACGAUUCAAAUCCCACGCACCGCAAGAGGUUCCCAAGAUUUACUGGCCCGUGGGCUGUAUAUCCACCACAUGGAUUACUAUUGCUAGUGGUGAUGUAUAUUUCAGUGACAUUCUGCUAAUAUGUCACAAAAAGUUCAUCUUGGAUUGGAUUAAGUGGUUUGUUAUAUGUGUGCCUUUAGUCCCGAAUCUGGUGUCUUAGUUGGGAAAUCAAGACUGGAACUAAAGCCCAUUCAUGACUGAGAUUAAAGCCCAUUCCUCUAGUAGUGAAUAUAUGCGUGACAAAAAGGAACUCAAGCAAAGUUAUAUGGUGGACUUCGCCCUAGGUAGAGACCAUGAAAGAAGGUGUUUCUUGUUAAGUAGUCAAGGUUUUAGUAAAGAAAUGUAUUUCGUUUUUGGAUAAACUUAGGACCACCCUACUUCUUCUAGUGUUUUUAAGUAAUAAUGAAAUACUACCACUGGUCAUAGUAUAUGAGAAUCUCACUAGGAGACAUUUAAGGGGUGUUUGGGACUGCUUCACUCCAGUUUUUGCAGCUCUGCUCCACGAACUCCAUCAUGGAGCAGCUUCAUCGUGGAGUUUGUGGAGCACGAGGUACUGUUUGGCACGUAGCUCUGCUCCAGCUCCAGGAAUGGGUUGGUUCCAUGCAAAUGGUCCAUUAUGUCACUGAUUGAAAUUGUUCUUGAUAUUUUUUGAUCAAAAUAGAAAUCAAAUGAUGGAGCAUUAAUAAAGGUCAUAAUUAAAAUACAAGUGCACAGGUGAAGAGACAAGGGGCGGCGUGCACAAGAAAAAAUGAGGUCGCGACGUCGGGAGGUGAAGCAUUUACGAGAAUUAAUCUGUGUUUAAUGAGUGGCAAGAUGGGUAAUUACCUUAUAACUCUAUGUGGGAGUACCAAACUCUAAAAACUACAGUACCCCUACUCGAGGAAAACAUAGAGCUGACAUCUUGCUCCACCUUUUUUGCGGAGCGGAGUUUGUGGAGCUAGACGUAUUUGACCACAUGGAGCGGAAAAACUGGAGCGGAGCAAUUCCAAACAUCCCCUUAGUAGAAAAAAAAUUAUACUAAAAUUUGAAUGUAAAACACCUUGACUACUUUGAAUGCUAAAACACCUCACUACAAGAAGUAUUCGCCUUAUCCAUGUACUGCUCCCGUGCAGGGCUCCGCAACUGAAGAGUCUUCGGCUUAUCUCGUGCGAGAGCAUCUCCAAGCAGGGCCUCAACUUACCAAUAAGGAAGUUCCACAUGCUUGAGGAGCUGGAACUGUCACUCCACUCAGGCGUCGUCACCACAUCCAGCUUCUUCAGCCUCGCUGAGACCUGCAACGCAGCGGCCGAGGCCUGCCCGCUCCUGAAGCGCUUCCGGCUGAACAAAUACUGCUUCCACUGGCGGUCCGGCAUCGGCGACAGCGAAGCCACGGAGAUCGGGAAGAUGCGCGGCCUCCAGUUCCUGCAACUCUUCGGCAACAGCCUUGGCAACGACGGCCUCACGACAAUCCUCCGUGGCUGCGUGCGUCUCGAGUCUCUCGACGUCCGCCAUUGCUUCAACGUCGAGAUCAACGAUCAGGUGCGAGCGGAGUGUGCCAGGCUGCAAACGCUGAGGCUACCGGACGACUCUGUUGACGACUACGACCUCAGUUUCGGCAGUCCUGAACGAGGGAUCCCAGAUUUUUAUAGGAACGUCGGUGAUCCUGAUGAUGAUCCGGAUCCGACGGGUAAUCCCGGAUCAUGGUGGUACUUCCGCUAAUCCGCACGAUUCAAUCAGGAGAUUAUAUAUACAUAUCCACCGUUACACCACUGUCCACUGCUCCUAUGCAGGAAGAUAGUGGACAAAAGCAUUAUUACAAGUUCGUGUUAAAAAUACACAUGGCUGAUAGAGAAUAAUUAUACUUAUGCUGUCAGUUACUGUUUGUUUUCAGACAUACUAGACGUUAUCGCUACUCUGUAAACUUAUCAGUUAUACUCUAUUUUAUAUUUGCAUUUAAUUUAUAUUUUUUGCUCACAUGUAUAUAUCACGUCUGUGUGUCCAUAAUAUAUAUUUAGGGCUCCUUCAUUUCGAACUAUAUAAAGCCAGGAUUCUUUCUAGCUGAUGGAAUCUUAUACAAAUAUAAACUAUCCAGCCGGAACGGGAGGUCAAUCCCUCACGAAGCGAACGGGGCCUUAGUUGAAUUCCUUAACUUAAACUAUGGUGUCUUUUGUUACAACUAAUAUCCUCAUCACAUCAUAAAUCUACACUACGUGAAAAAAGCACUAAGAGAACGCCACCCUCUCUACUGUAGGGGUGGCUGGCUUUGGAGCCGCCCUUACAGUGGCUCGGGUGGGUCUCAACAGGUUACCCGUCCUUACAGUGGCCACUGUAAGGGCGGCUAGUGUUAUCAGCUGCUCUUACAGUGGUAGGUCACAGUAAGGGCGGCUGGAUCACUGGCCGCUCUUAGAGUGGACUACUGUAGGGGCGACUCAAUCACCAGCCGCCCCUACAGUGGUUUUAGACAAAAUUGGUCAAAUGAGAUACUAAAUGACUUCAAAUGAAAAUUUUUUGAACAUUACGAUUGUAUAACUCAUCAAGAUCUACAUUUAUUAUAUAGUUUAUUUUUCUAUUUGAGAAAGUGUUAGUAAUAGUCAUAGGGUGGCUCAAUCACCAACCGUCCCUACACUGGUUUUGGACAAACUUGGUCAAAUGAGGCACUAAAUAACCUCAAAUGAAAAUAAUUUAACAUCAUCUUUUAUUCAAACAUCAUAUUUUAUACUUUAUUAAAAUAAUUACUUUAGUCCUUGAUUGUACUUUUCAUAUAGAGGAACUGCUAGAAUUAACAUAUACUUCCUCCGUCCCAAAAAGAGUGUCGUUUUAGAAUUCUAGACAUCUUGUUUGAUCAUCCGUCUUAUUCAAAAAUUUUACAUAAAUAUUAUAUAUUUUGUUAAGAUCUAUUUUAUCAUUAGAGAUACUUUACUAAUGAUUUAUUUAUUUUAUAAUUUACAUAAAAUUUUUAAAUAAGACGAACGAUCAAACACGAUUUCUAAAAGUCAAAAACGUCACUCUUUUUGGGACGUACGGAGUAUGUCUAAAGCUUGUAUGCCAUCGUCACAAGGACUUCCGGCCCGACACAUAUUUGAAACCAACAUUAUAAUUUAUUUACCCUGUCGGUUUUUGUCUUUUUCUAUCAGUGGCAGAAACUUGACAAAAAAAUAUAAUUAUUCUAUCGGGGAAAAUAUAAUUAUUUUGUUGGGCGUGCCAAACCGAUAGAGAACCUAGUUUCCAGUAGUGACAGAACCGUUCUUCCUAGAGUGUCUUUGAAACCCAAUCAUCCACGUAACAUAAUGAUAACAUUAUUCAUACACAUAAUCUCACUAAUCCUUAGGAGUAGUAGGCUUCAAACAUCACAUAUUUUUACAUAAAUUAGAUACAUCAGAGUAAGAGUAACAUGAAGUGAAUACAAAUUUUAAUCUAAUAGAAAACAGAGUUUCAAAGCAAAGAAACUAUGUACAAGUUCUCAAGUUUGAUAGUUAGGAUAUUACUACUAUAGACAAUUAAACAAGAACUUCAAAAAAUCAUAAGUCCAUAACAAGCCGACCAAUAUGGAGCCCAUGAACACAAGCAACUAUUUCAUACAUGGUGCUUCUUGUAAGUGACCUAGCGGCCACCUGUAAACCACUCUAGCAAGAUGUACAUUUAAGAGUUUUCUAGUGUGGUCUAACUUACUCUCAAUCCAAUAGAGUUAAGAAACCCAUAGAUAAUCCUACCAAUGAGUCCAUAACUAAUCUAGAAAUGUAAAUGUCACCCAAGGUAAGCACGAGCGGACGCAACAAAUGCAAUAAGAGGUCAUAAUAGAAAGGGAACACUUCUAGAGAUGUAACAUAUAUCUUGAGGUAUCAGUUGCCAAAUUGUAACCCCUUAGAUCAUGUUAUAGCUCGACAGAGGUACGCUCUCUGGCACUGAAGGGACCGUCACGCUUAAUAGAGGGGGGAAUUAGGCAACUUAAAAGUCUAACUUCUAACUAUGGCCUCUAUUUUCCAUAGUAAACUAUCUAAAUGUGCAACUACGGUUUUGUUAGGUGUGUUGUUAUCUCAACUGCAAAAGAUUUAUGCAACCUAGGUUCCAGUCCUAUCAACUAGCAUAUCAAGUAAGAUAGGAAAGGUAAAGCACACAACUAAAGCAACAAUGUAAAUAUGGAAGCUUAAGUGAGGUAGAGAUGCAAACUAUCGUUGAUGACUCUAGUAUUUUUACUGAGAUAUCAAGAAGGAUGAAAGCUUCUUACUAGUCCUCAUUGGAGCCCUUCGCAAGGAAGCCCUCACAAGGGCUAAGCUCUUAGUCGGGUAGCUCCAUAGAUAGCUCUGACCCUUCCCCAAGCACAAGUGGGUCUCUACAAACCUCUCCUGGAUGUGCCCCGCUGUCUCCACUAUCAAGCUUCUAGCCAAAAUGUCAUGGGCCUUGUUCCCUUCGGUACACAGUGGUGGCCACAUGACAAAUGCGUUUGAAAUGCGAUCGAUGUGGUUUCACAAGACUACAAGCCUUGCUGAGUACAAACACAAUAUAGGGAAGCACCUCUAUCUCUUUUCGGGUAUGCAAACCUCACUAACUACUAGGCCUAAACCUAGAGCAAGUGCAUAAGCGGUGGUCUAACUAGUCAAAGCACUUCACAAAGCACCUACACUAAUCACAGAAGGAUUUUUUAAGCUCUAUGCAUAAUAUAUGGAGAGCACCUAAGUGGUGUAGCAACACCUUAGUAUCUUUCCUCAACUCUUCCAAGUUUCAAAUGGAUGGUUGGGGCACACAUAUAUAAGCCCCCACUUGAAACUAGCCAUUGGAGGCUGAACUAUAUAGCCUCUACGAAUACACCAGACUAGUCUGAUACAUGCACACGAUAUACACCGGACUAGUCCACUGUGAUCACGUCAACUAGUUGUUAGGCUAGCCAUUGACGAUCUUUGGAGUACUGUUAUGCAUUCGGCCUAUACACAGAUCUUCUGUGCCUUCUAGCUAACUCGCUCUAAAUGCAACCUCUUUCUUCAAAUGGGAUGGUGCGCCGUCUGCUGCACCGGACUAGUCCAAAGUUUAAGUAUGGUUUGUGUCUAGUGUACACAUUGUUGUCCACUGUCCCUAGUUGCAAACUACCCUUCUCUGAGUGACACUGUUCACUUCUGGUGCAUCGCAAUUCAUUAUCCAGUGCUGCACUGCUGACUUGAAUUUCUUCAUUUUUUUUGCAUGUCUUUGUUUGGGCUUCAUCCAUCUCGUGUCUUGUACUUUGCUUGACCUUUGUAGGUCUUCAAAACAACUUCUAACCUCUUGCUUGAGGUGCUAAUCAUUCGGAUGACCACAUUGCCUAUGUCUAGGUCCACUUUGCAUCCUUUGAACUAUAUCUAAAAACACUAGCAAACAUUGUUAGUCCAAAUAGGCAUGUUGAACAUCAAACACCAAAAUCCAAACUAAAUGGUCCAAGGGUCCAUUUUCCUUAGUCUCUGUUGGAAUUUCUUAACAUCAUCACUAAGAAUUAGUAAUGCCGCCAGAAAUGUGUUAAUACCGCAGGUGACGGAUCUAUUAUUAUAUCAUUUCACGCAAAAAUAUUUCGGGUAUCAUUAUUUAUAUUUUCCAAAGGAAGGCAUAUUGGUAAAGUUGUAUGGAUAUGGACAAGUUAAUAUGCCAGUAAAGUGAACCAAGGUUUAAUAAAUUGGCAAAAAAGAUAGUUUUAGUGUAGUAGACACACACUUGAGCCAACCUCAAAGGACAAAAGAUAAGUAAAGAAUAAAAGCAUAUUCUAAGUAGAGUAGGCUUGUUCUAAUAUAGUCGUCUAAACAAUACUGAAUAAUCAUACAAGUUACAUAAUCAGAGUUAGAUCUGAGUGUGAGACAGGUAAGGAGGCCACCGAGUACUAGUUUGCCAGCAACCUCAUGUGACAAUUCAGACACCUACACCCUACCCAAAUGUGAGGGAUUACAACGGACGGACAAGGCUAUCACCACCUGCCGCCUACCUCUCAACUGUGGAGUAGGACAAUGCAUCCACCUGUUUCUAUGUACCCAAGCACCAUGGUUGCACUAGUACACAAAAUCUCUUCAACGAUGCCACCCUUUUACAUGGGAGGCAGUUCACAUAGCAUGCCACUUCUAUAGUGCCACGAGGCACCAAAGCUUGGUGACCACCUGUGAAGAUCCAUCUUCAGGGGCAGUUGUAUUAAGAAAACUAUCUUUGAUACACGUCCAUAUUCAGUGGUAGUUUAGUUAAGAACACCGCCUCUGAAGAUCCAUCUUCAGGGGUGAUUCAAUUAAGAACACCAUCUUUGAUACACUUCCAUUUUCAGCGGCAGUUUAUUGGGCUGCUAUUGAAGCAGAAUUUUUAGAGGAGGAUCUCUUUACAUAAUGGUCUCCAAACCUUUGAAAUUUGUAGAGAUAGUUUAGUUAAGGAGACUGCCCUACAAAGUAAUUUAUAAUGGUGGUUCUCUUUAAUCAAAUGCCUCUAAAAAUGCCCCUCCUAAAAAAUCAACCCGAUCUAAUCUAGUACAAAGUUAUUGCGUGAUUUUUCCUGCAAGGGGGAGCAACAACAGUUCUUGCUGGUCGCCAUCAAAUAUCUUCGAAUGACCAAGUCCUUCUAAAGGAUAGCAUCUUCUUCCAUGCAUUUUUAUUUUGUAAAGGUUAGCAACUUCAGCUUCUAAUAAUAGUGGAUUUUAUUUUCAUUUAUACAUCAUUUCUCCAUAACGUUAGACAUUUUUUGUUUUCUAGAUCUUUAUUGAUGAUUUAUUGUUUAUAUGUUUCUCACAUAUAUGUUGUUGUAUGGUGUAUUCAUAUGAGGGUUCUAUAUUAAUUGUGAUGCUGUUCUCAGUUUUUUGUUUUAAUUACAAUGAAUGGCCGUGGACUUCCCGAGCCACAGGAACCUAGAUUCCACCUUGGUGAUCUUCCAUUCACGACAUUGCCAAAUUGGGCCAUUCCAUGUUACGCAGACUCCUCAAUAGUAUGAAUAUUUUUAGUUUUGUGUGCUAUUAUAAUUCGGCAUGCAUACAUUCAUUCAUAAUAUGAUUGUUGCAUAUGUUGCACACUAUAAAACCUAUCAAGUAGCUAAAAGUAGCACUAUGGAUGUCGGGGUGUGGGACAUCAUUGAGACGACAACAAGUGAGGUUGUGAACGAAGGAGAUGAGUUAUGGACAUGCAAUCUCGCCUUCGACAUCCCCAUGAGGCACAAUAGUGAGGUGCACCAGGGAAUCGUAUAUCUUGGACGACGGUCACCGACCAAGCAAGAUUCAACUAUAUGGAUGUACACGGUGUAUGGAGUAAUAUUUAUUAUUAUUAUUAUUAUUAUUAUUAUUAUUAUUAUUAUUAUUAUUAUUAUUAUUAUUAUUAUUAUUAUUAUUAUUAUUAUUAUUAUUAUUAUUAUAUGAUCACUCUUUGAUAUUUUAUGUUUGUCCACUUGUAGGUUUUGCUCAAUGAUUUGACCUAUGCUACAUGUGCCUUGCAACCCAUUCUCUCACAACCUCUUAAGUGUCUGGGGUACCACUAGGCCUUCGUGGAAGCGACCAGAGAAACAGCGACAGCUGGCAUCUAGUAUUGCUUGAGAUUUAGGCAAAACUAGGCAAUCGAUAGUCCACUAGUGCCAAUGUUUUACCACCGAUAGCCUACCAUGGACGUACCCAAGAUAGUUGUUCGGGCUUUGGCUUAUGCUGGAACUCGAUGGUUAAUGCAAAAGACGGUCGAUUUAUCCUAGUUUGGGCCCUCAAGUUUGAUGUCGAGUAAUCUCCUUUACGUCUAGUCGGCAUUAGCCUUUGUGUUGGAUUACUUGCAUGAUGUGGUUAGUCCUUUAGAUACUGAUCUAGGGAGCCCUAUCCUCCUUUAUAUAGUCCAAGGGACAAGAUUCCUAGUCAGUUACAAGAUAGGAGUCCUAAUAGAAUUAUAGGAUAUACAUUGGUAGAAUCCUAGUUGGACUAGACAUUCUCCCUUCUAUGCAGGGUAUCCUGCAUACUAUGUAUUGAUAAGAUCUCGAGCACUGUAUGGUUGAACUUUGGAAGACUCUUCUUGUGCCUCUAGAUCUUAUCGAGUAGAAACAAGUGUCGUCUAAGUGCUUUCUCAAGUGAAACCAUGUGGCACUUCUUGAGAUCUUAGAGUGGUGUGCACUUUUUUAGAAAAAGUGCACCCACUAGAUGUAGCCCUUGUGCCUCUUGCUUUUUGGAACAAACAGUUGGAGGGUCUUGUCUUGCAAUCCUUGUCAAAAAAACUUGACAACACCCUCUAAGGAUAUAUGUCCCGCAGCCCCCAAGCCUACAAUAUGACCACUUGGAGUCAAUUAUAGGAUCAUAUUGAUGUCCUCAAGGGUGUAGCCAAGUUGUUGAAUGCUUGUAUGCUUGGUCUUUCAUCCUUGAGUCCAAGCCCCCAAGCAUAGUUAGAGUGAAGCUGAUUAAGCUGUGAUAUAUGGUUGACUGAGUAGAAGAGUCAACAUGUGCAUCAUAUUACCAUUUGAUUUGCUUCUAGCUCAGACGUGUGAGCCCCCAAGCAUCAGUUUGGUCUCUGUGACUGAGUAGUAGAGCACCACGAUCAAGUAGUUGAGUACAUGGAAACUAUGGCAGAAUAGUCAAAACUCGUUGUUGGACCCAAGUAGUUCUUGAACCAAUCCUUUAUUUACCAUGUACGUUGUUGACGGUCCUUAAUGCCUAUUUUAUACCAUCAACUAUUGCUCAAUAUAACAUGAUAUCAACCAUAAAGCAUAGUUGUAGGGUUUGAUUCUAAUGAGUUCCAUGAGUUUUGGUGUUCUAACUUGUUUUGUAGGAAUAUACAAUUUUCCAUCAAAUAAAAGUAUGUAAAAUGAUGAUUUGGACUACACCAUUAUUACGGGCUCGUCGAGACGAUCAAAACGGACAUAUCAUUUGCUAUAUUUGGAGUCCAGAGUGAAAAGAUAUUAAUUUUACAAAUAAAGGAGAAUUACCACUAAUGGGCCCCACGCCCAAGCAAGGUCCAUGACAUGAGAAGAGGCUCACAUAGCAUGAUAGAGGACCAAGAGAGGCGCCCAAGCUUCUCCCUUGAGUGGGCUUACAUGAUGGAUGAUUGGAAGGCCCAAGUUUAUGUAUAAGAGCCCAACAGAGCAAAUGGUGGAAGAAUUACUUCCACAUCGCCUAUCCAGAAGAGGUGGGAGGCUUUUCUAAGCUAUAAAUAAAGAUGCAGACCCCCCCCUAAGGGCACCAUAUUAUGGAGAUGUAGAGGCGUCCCUUGAAUGGAUAACCUCUCACCUCUAGUGAAUUAGGGCUAGUCAUUCUAAUGUAGUAGAUUAGUUCUAGUUGAAAGCUAGGGAGAGCGGCGCUACGCCUGGGUUGUGGAGGAGUCUUCGGAAGAGUCAUCAGAGUGUUCUGGUAUAUCUUUGUAUCUUUUGUUAUAAGACUUAUGCUUUAAUAUAUUUCGUAUUCUCUAUUUACUUUUAUGCAUUACAUUUGAUUAGUUAGUAUAGUUGUUAUACUUUAGCAAAGGAUCUCCGCCCGCAUCGGGUGCUCUAGUUAUUAAUUGUGAUUAGAGUAGUAAUUUGUUGUAGAAACAUGGUGUCUAUACUAUAGGUUACCUAAGAUUGCACCCAGUUCUACAGAUAGUUGUGGUAGCCCCAAGUGGUGACGGCCCUGAUGGCCGACGUAUCCCACCAUGUUUGGAUUAGUGUUGUAGGACCGUAGUCACCCCGUCCUAGCCUCCUUCUCAUCUGUCUGUGGCUAAGUGCUCUGAUGUCCCGAAGUGUUAUUGUGUGAUUGCUUUACCUACCAUGAAUUUGUUAUUAUAGAACCGUAGUAUUAGAGAAGUAUUUAGGAACCUUAAACUCUCGCAUUGUCCUCUCACUUUAGCUAUCUACUCUUUUAUCAUAGAAUUCUCCGGUGUGUAUCAUAUAUGCAUAAUUCCUAUCCUUUAUCAUUUACCCCUACUUUAGUCUAGUUGGUGUAUUAGUUAGUAGAUACAUGAUGGUGAACUAUCAAUAUCUUUAUCCAUUGUUUCCUAGUGGGAAAAUAUAAAUAACGAUACCAGGAAUACUCCCGGUAAAAUGCUACAAUGGUUUUCUGUGUGCUUGCGGAAUCCAUCAUAUUUUAAUUGUGCAUACAAAGUACCAACAAGCAUUUUUGGCGCCAUUGCUAGGGAAACAAUUAGCGUAAUGAUUUUGAUAAUGAUCUUGAUAUAUGCUAAUCUAGUAUGCCUCUAGCUUUAGUAGGAUUAUCCCUAUGUUCUAUUGAGUGUGCAAUAGACAGGACAUCAUAUGCCACUUCGACCUUGCGACAAGAUUCCACAAGAUUGAAGAACUCAGGGUGCUUGAACAUUCAAGAUCCAUCAUUCUAGAACCCUGCCAUCUCACAGGUUUGUGUAUACACAUAUAUAUUAUUAUUCUAACCAUGAGUAGAUUGGAAAAAAAGGUCGUCGUCACAAGAAUACAGCCCCCAUCACAUGUGAUGGAUAUUUAUGCUACGCCACUCAUCCCAGUUGUGCAUCAUGGUAAGUGUGAUCAAGGUGAGAUAGUCUUACUCAUGGGCUUUAAACCUUAUGAGUAGUUAUAUUUUUAUUUUCUUACAUACCACUACAUGUUUACUUUGAAUCAUCCAUGCAUCCACUUCAUUUAGUUUUUUCAUACACAUCAUGUUUAGUUCCUUGCAUGCAUACAAUUGAUGUG
rnacentral:lncRNA from 1 species